rnacentral:lncRNA from 1 species
GUUGUUGGGCAUUUGCUGCAGUGGCAGCCAUGGAAGGUCUGAACCAAAUCACGAACGGAAACCUGGUCUCAUUGUCCGAGCAACAAGUAUUGGACUGCAGCGGUUAUAGCAAUGGUUGCAACGGUGGUAACAAGAUACAAGCCUUCAAAUACGUCAUCCAGAACAAUGGAUUAACCAAGGAAGACAAUUAUCCAUAUCAAGCUAUGCAAGGAACUUGUGACUUACAAAAACAGGCAUCCCUAGUUGCCCAUAUCAGCAACUAUGAAUCCGUACCUACCAACAGUGAGCAAGAGUUACUUAAGGCUGUCUCGAACCAACCAGUCGCAGUUAGCAUUGAAGGUAGCGGAACCGAUUUUAGACAUUACAGCAGUGGGAUUUUCAAUGGAAACUGCGGAACUAAUCUCGACCAUGCUGUCACUAUCGUUGGAUUCGGGACCAGCGACGAUGGUACCGAUUACUGGUUGGUGAAGAAUCAAUGGGGUGAAGAUUGGGGAGAAAAUGGAUACAUAAGGAUGCAAAGGAAUGUGGCCGACUCCCAAGGUCUUUGCGGGCUUGCCAUUAGACCAGCCUAUCCAACCGCAUAAAUAUUCAUACAAUAUGGGCAUUUCCUUAUGUUAGGGAUAUCUUCAAAUAUAUGAAAUAAAAAGGAAAGAAAUGGUUAUUUUAGGAUCCCAACUCAGGACCCUAAUUUAGGAUAGUUUUGAGUUUAUUUUCCGAUAUAUGUAUCAUUUGCUUUUAGAAGGUUUCAUUGCAAAAUGGCUUGUGAUUGAAGUUUGGAAGAGCAAAAUCAUAAAUGUUCUUCAUAUAGAAGCAUUAUUAUGAAUUUUGAUUUUAAAUUUACAUAAUUACAUUUUAGUAUGUAUUAAAUAAUAUGUGUUACACCAUCUUCUUUUUUUUUUUAUAACUAAUACUUUAUUAUCCAAUAAAAAAGAAAAAAAAAGCUACAAUAAUAUCUCUAUCAGCAUAAACACCAAUAUCUAUACAUUCGAUCCCCAAUUUUGUAUCAGUUCACUAUUUUUUUUGGUAAGUCAUAUAUGGUAUUAUUGAAAAGAGACAUUGUACAAAGCAUGUCACAACACCAAGCUUGACCAUAAGUCAGCAACACAUUAAUUACACCUCAUAAAGCGAGUAGAAAGACCUGCUUCUAAGAUUGGUGUAGUAUUAAAUAUUUGGUUUUCACAAACAAAGUUAGAGAUACAUGAAUAUAAUAAAAUAUUAAAAACAAAUAUUUAAAAAAUACGUAAUCUGUCUGUGAAAUAAAAUGUAUAUAUUUUACGCCUCUUAAAAUAAAUAUUAAUUCACAUCUGUUAAAUUAAUUUAUAGUUACGCCGGAUGUCAUGCAAAUAUAACAUUGCCAUAAAUGAAAACACAUAUAUAGACUUUUGUAUGGCCGUAAAUGAGAACACUUUUCUUAACUAAGUCGCCGAAGUCUUUGCAUGAUAGACUUCAGUUGACAACCCAAAGUCAACUCUAAGUCAAGUUCUUUUUGCUAUUUGCUAACACCUUGGCUAAAAUCCCUAAACGCGUUUAGGAGUAAAAAGAAGACUUUUUUUUUCAUGCGCCUAAACUACUUUUUACUGUAUGUAGUGAUUUAGAAUAUAAAAUUAUUCUUUUUUUAAUAGGAGAAUGAAUAUAAACUUAAAUUAAUUUGUAAAAUAAAAUUUUUAGAAAGGUAUUUUUGACUUUGACUCGGGAUUAAUCGAUUGUUGAUCUAAUAGUAUUUUCAAGUUUUAUAUUAUAAAUUUAUUUUUAAAUUUUUAAAAAUGAAAUGUUCUUUAGUUAAUGAUUUAAAAUUUUAUAUUCUUUUAAUUUUCAUAAUUUAACUAUUUUUAAAUUUUUAAACAAAUAUUUUUCUCAGAAUAUAUAAGCUCUAGAAACUUGUGAUAAUUUAAAAAUUAUUUGUUUCAAAACAAUAUAAUAAAAAAUUUAAAAACUAAUUAAAAAAGAAUAUAGAAAUUUAUAUAUUAGAAAUUUUUUAAAAAUUUUAAAAUAAUUUUUUACUAUAAAACUUGAAAAUACUUCUAGGUCAAUGUUCGAUCAACAACAAUCAAAAGUCGGUCAACGUUCGAUCAAUAUGUUCAAAGGAUUGGUCAAAGUCAACAGUAACGCUCUAAAAUUUUUAAUUUAUUUUUUAGAAUUUUUAAAAAUUUAUAAUUUCAUUUUUAUUCUUAAUACAUUUAGAUAACACAUGACAUUUUCUAAUUGAAUUAAAUUGCACGUGGCAUUUUCUAAUUAUGCUGCAUUUGAAUUUUUUUUUUUUAACAUUAGUAGAUUGAACCGAUUAAAAUAAUUAAUAAUGUGAUGAAAAACUAAAAUGAUACAUGAUACCAUCAUUUCAAACGAAAAUCUUAAAUUAAAUUAAACUAUUAGUACAUCUUCUUCUCUCCAUCUUUGUAAAGAAAGUAUUCAUUCCAGUAUUAUGUAAACUCUCUGUAAUAAGCUAUCUAUAGCUGCUUUUGACUGUGUAAGCUCCUGAGUUAUCACCCCGCCAAAUCGAAAUAUCCGAUUGGCUCUAACAAACCAGUGAAUUCACAAGGAUCCGUUUCAUCAAACAGACUUCUAAGGCUUUUAGAGUUUUCUAGAAUUCCAUGUUUUCUAUCAUCGUUGAAGCAUUCUAGAAUAAUGGGAUGAAUUUAAUGUCUGGUUUUGCUUGUUGUUUUUGGAGUAUUUUUGGGCAGCCCAAAGGUAUUGUUUUAUUAAUCCAAUAAAUAAUUUAAAAAAUUAACAAUUCAUCUAGUUAUAAAUUUUUAAAUAUUAUUUUUAUUUAAUCAUUAUUGAAAUAUCAAUUCUUCAACUCAAGGUAAAUAUGAAUAAGUAAUUAUUUCUCAAAUUAAAUUGGGCCAUCUUCAUAAGUACGUUUAGUUUUAUUUUAAUAAACAUUUUUGGCUUAAAUGUAUAUAUAUGGGACCUCCUAUGCAAGAUAUUUUAACAGGAUUUUCAUCUGCAAAGUCAUACAAAACAUCCAAUCACAUUACAACAAUUGCCUGGGAUCUUAUCUCCAAGUGUUCACUCUACCUCUCUUUUUCCAUAUUUCUCCACAGGCGGCCAGAUAAUUUUCUUCCUCUUGCUUUUUGAUUCAUUUUCAAAGAAACUUCCCAAAAUUUCGUAGUGUAAUAUCUUUAUGAAAAACCCAAUCUUUUCGGCCCAAAAAGGAGCUCUCGAAUCCCUCUCCAAAAAUCUUCCAACAUGUUCAUUCAUCGACUCCUUUUUGCUUCGCUAUUCACAGUUUGUUGCCUCACAACACUUACAAAUGGAGCUACACUUCCAAAUGAUGAAGGUAAUUCAUAAUAUUACUCUAGAAAGAAGCUUAAUUUGCUUAAAUAUUUCUUUUAGUAAAUUUCACUUUCUGUUUUUUCUAUAGUGAAAGCUUUGCACCUCAUUAGUUCGAUAUUGGGAGCGGACUGGAACUCUAUUAUUGAUCCAUGCAGUAGAGACAAUAGUUGGACAUUGGACCAGAAUGUUACUUGUGAUUGCUCCUUCAACGAUAACACUACUUGUCAUGUCACCCACAUGUAAGCAUAUAUCUUAUAAUGAAAACUUAUUCACCAUUGAGUUGUGACUAAACUAACUGAUUAGAUGAUUUUAUUAAGCAUAUUUAAAAUUUAUUAGAAAUGAAAGAGGGUUGAGAUUUUAGAAAUAUGAGAUACUUAAACUGACUCUAUUAUGUAUGGGUGUAAUUAUCAUGCGCUAAUGCUUGAGAGCAUGAUCAAGUUACCAUCCAAUAUAAACCUUAUACUUUAUCGCUUUUUAGUAUCUUAUAUAUACUGAAUUUUUGGUCCAUAACUUAUUUCUAAUGUUACCUCUUAAUUGAAUAGUUAUUUAGACUAGUUACAUCAAAAUUUGAUUGGGUUAUUAAUUUAUAAAAUAGUAUCAAGAUUUGCAACCGAUUCAAUUAGUUUUUUAUUUUUAUUUUUUAAUGAUUUAUUUAAUUAGAUUGUAUGGACUAGUUAGACCGACGAAUCAAUGGUUUAAUUAGGUUGAUUAGUGGCUCAGUUCUAAAAAUUUUGAAUGCCACAUCUAUUGUAUAUGAUUCUAUACGUUGAACGUUGUAAUUAAUUUUUUUAAUUGAUUAAUCAAAUUGUUGAACAUAACUAAAUUAUGUUAAUUUAUUUAAGAAAAUUUUUCUAAUCAUAAUUAGAGCUUUCAUAUUAUAUUAAAAAUUGAUAUAUUGUAGACUAAUAUUUUUUAAUAAUAUUAAAAAAAUAAAAUCAUAAUUAUUCAUUGUACGAUAUACGUUACUUCAUUAAUAACUAAAAGUAACAUUAUUUAAAAUAAUAAUUAAAAAUUAAUUAAAACAUAUAAAUUAUUUGAUAAUUCAAAGAGAUAAUAAAAAAUUCUUCAUAAUUAUUAAAGUAUUUUUAAAAAUUAUAUAUGUAAAUUAGACAGUUAGCUAUUCAAUUUUCUCCUCCUCCUUUUUUUCUAAUAGUGAAUAUGUUGCUCAUAAUUUCAUAAAUUAUAUAUAAUUAAUAUAAGAAUAAAUCAUAUAAAUUUAUUUAUAAAAUUUUAUGUAUGAAAAAUAAUUUUGUAUUAUAUAAAGAAUUUAAAAUUUGUUAUCUAAAACAAAAUUAAUAUAUUUUUACAUUUUUGGUUAAUGAAAACAUAGUAAUUUAAAUAUAAUUUAAUUUAAUAUAAUACAUAACCUUUUCUAUUUAUUGUUAUAUAAAUUUAUUUAAUAAAAGUAUCUUAAUAAAAUUAGAAUUUUUAGUUAUAACUACCAUGCAUAAAUUUUCUUAUCAAUUAAUUUUAUUUAACUAAAUAUUUUAAAUCAAAAUUUUUAGUGUUAUUUAUAAAAUUGAUAAACUUAUAAAUAAUUAAAUAUUUUAAAUGAUAAAUUUAAUAAUUUAAGGUAUAUUGGUCAAUUUAAAAGUUUAUUUAAAUUUGUGUUUUUAUAUAUAUAUUAUAGAAUAUAGAUAUAUAAAAUAUUUUUAUUGUUUUUUAAAAUUGUAAUUAAAUUUCUUUUAUAAAUUUUAGAUUUAAUUUAAAAUUUUGUAUAUAUUUUACAAUUUGGAGAACAUUGAUAAGAUGUUUUUUUAACAUAAAUGUUCUUUUAAUAGUUCAAUUUGAAAUUUAUAUCUAAUAAUUAUUUAGCUUUUUUCCUUUUCACGUGAGACCCAUGUUCGGUAGCAAGGGUGGAGGCAGGCAGCGUAUUCACUCUCGUAAUAUUAUUUUUUAAUCUCUUUUAACAUGUAGAAGAUUUAAUGUAAACCAUUUUAUUUUUUAAAUUAAAGAAAAUCAUUUUCACUUCCAAAAGAAUCUUAAACCUUCUUAAAUAUAAAAUUUUUAAUUUUGAUCUUCUCAAAAAAAUUUAUCUAAUAAAAGUUUUGAUUUACUGAAACUCAUUUUCAUUAUAGAUUUUAGCAACAUAACCCUAACUUUAUUUUUGUAUCAGAUUUCUCAAGGAACAAAAUCUUUCGGGUACUCUUCCACCAAACUUAGCAAGUCUCUUACCUACAACAAAUGUAAGGACAUUUCUAAAGUUUCUUUUUCAUGAUAUAUAAAUGAAGCUUAUUUUUUUCAAUCAACUUUUCAUCAAUUAAUAAACUAUAUAUCUAAUAAUAUCUUACUUUUCUUACAGUGACCUAACUCGAAACUAUCUUAGUGGCCCCAUUCCUCCAGAAUGGGGUUCUUCUACACGACUCGUCAGCAUGUAUGUUUCUUUCCUUCUUGUCUAUGCAUAUGUAGAAACAUACAAUAGUUCAUCUUUUGAUAAUGGAAAAUAAUGUUGCUAAAUGCAAAUGAUGUGCUGUAUUUCAGUUUCCUUCUUGGAAAUCGAUUAACAGGUUCAAUCCCAGUAGAGCUAGCAAAUCUCAGAAAUCUUACGUUCUUGUGAGUUAGAUUAUAUCAAUUUCUUUUAUAUAAUUAAAUAUAUAAGAUGAUGAUAACUGUUUUUCAUCUUUUUAAUGAAUGUCUAAUGGUUAAUUAAUUUUAUUUAUUGAAAAAACAUUGUGUAGAAUCCUUGGCAACAAUGGUCUUUCAGGAACUUUACCUGAAGCACUAGGGAAUCUAUCCAAAAUUGAGCGAUUGUAAGAGAGAUUUUUUUUCCUUUUUAAUUCUAGCUGGAUUCCAUUUCAUUAUAUGUGCAGUAUUUUUUAUCAUGUAAAUGAUUUAAGAUCUAUUUACUGUCUGGUUUUGCUUCUUGUUUUUGGAGUAUUUUUGGGCAGCCUAAAGGUACUGUCUUGGAUAUUGUUUUAUUAAUCCAAUAAAUAAUUUAAAAAAUUAACAAUUCAUCUAGUUAUAAAAUUUUAAAUACAUUUUUAAAAUUUUAUUUUUAUUUAAUCAUUAUUGAAGUAUCAAUUCUUCAACUCAAGGUAAAUAUGAAUAAGUAAUUAUUUCUCAAAUUAAAUUGGGCCCUCUUCAUAAGUACGUUUAUAAGUUUUAUUUUAAUAAACAUUUUUGGCUUAAAUGUAUAUAUAUGGGACCUCCCAUGCAAGAUAUUUUAACAGGAUUUUCAUCUGCAAAGUCAUACAAAACAUCCAAUCACAUUACAAUAUUUGCCUGGUUCUCUUAUCUCCAAGUGUUCACUCUACCUCUCUUUUUCCAUAUUUCUCCAUAGGCGGCCAGAUAAUUUUCUUCCUCUUUCUUUUUGAUUCAGUUUCAAAGAAACUUCCCAAAAUUUCGUAGUCUAAUAUCUUUAUGAAAAACCCAAUCUUUGCAACCCAAUUUUUUGUUCAUUCAAAUCAAGCAAAAAGGAGCUCUCGAAUCCCUCUCCAAAAAUCUCCCAACAUGUUCAUUCAUCGACUCCUUUUUGCUUCAGUAUUAAUCAUAGUUUGUUGCAUCACAACACUUACAAAUGGAGCUACACUUCCAAAUGAUGAAGGUAAUUCAUAAUAUUACUCUAGAAAGAAGCUUAAUUUGCUUAAAUAUUUCUUUUAGUAAAUUUCACCCUUUUUUUUCUUAUAGUGGAAGCUUUGAGAAGCACUGGCAAGAUAUUGGGGAAGACAAACUGGAACUUUGACAUUGAUCCAUGCAGUAGAGGCAAUAGUUGGUUGGACCAACCCACACGUUAUUAUGCUAAUAAUGUUACUUGUGAUUGCUCCUUCAACAAUAACACUACCUGCCAUGUCACCCACAUGUAAGUAUAUAUAUAUAUUAUAAUGAAAACUUAUCAACCAUUGAACUGUGACUAAGCUUGUUAGAUUUGUUCAUGGAUUAUAUAUGGUUUUAUUAAGCAUAUCUAAAAUUUAUUAGAAGAGAGAGAGGGUCGAGAUUUUACAAAUAUGUAAUGAUAUCAUUUGAACUGACUUUAUUGUGUAUAAGUGUAAUUAUCAUGUGCUAAUGCUUAAUAUUUGAUAUUAUAUGUGUUAAAAAUCUAACUUAAAACUAAAAGAUGAAAGUGAGUCAACUUGAAAGAUCAUGUACAAUAAAAAAACUUAAAUAUUGAUAUGUGAUAAUAUGCUACCUUAAGGUUAUUACCUAUGGUUUUUUUUUUGUAAGAAUUUAAAUGCAUUACACUAUUAUUUCUUAUUGGUUAAAAAAUAAUUGAAAAGAUUUUUUAUUUCAAAAUUUAGUUUGUAGUGUUGAUGGAUUAAAGAAUAUACAAGUUAAUUUAAACCCAAAAAAAAAACCCUCAAAGUUAAGGGUUCGAUCCAAACGAAACAGUUGCCAAAACAACAUUUACAUAAAAUAUGGAUUUUUAAGAAAAAUUAUCACAUAAAUUAAUGCACUAUAAGAAAUGCUUCUCUCAUAAAUAAUUUCAUUAUCCUUGCUACAUUGAAUUUUAAUUAUGUAAACCCUAAAGCACCACUCAUAACAUAAAUUUUAGAUUUAUUAAUAGGUUAUAAUAUACACUUAGUUCCUAUACUUCGAUAAAAUUUAAAAUUUAAUUAUUAUAUUUAAAAAUUUAAAAAUUAAGUACUAAUUUUCUAAUCUUAAAUUUUUAGUUCAAUCAUUAUAAUUUUGUUUAUAUUUUUGUCAAAAUUUGACAUAUUAAUUAGGCUAUCAUUGAUGAUGUUGUAUAUGAUUUACAAAAAGAAAAAAAAAUAUGUUCAGUUGAGGAAUUCUAACAAAAGCUAAAAAAAAAAAUGGGAUGACUAGACUACAAAUUUUAAAUUAAAAGAUUAAGAGGAUUUGAUUUUUAAUUUUUAAAAUAUAAGAAUUAAAUCUUAAAUUUAUAAAAGUAUAGAGACUAGUUCUAUAUUAAAAUUAUUUUAUGUAAUUCUUUUUUUUUUGGUAAAUUACAAUAAUAUGACAAAAUUCAAACAACCAAUACAACUCGAACCUAAGCCACACUUGGAGUAAUGAACAUCCUUAACUAUCAAGCCAUCACAUGAGGUUCUAUUUAUAUAAUUCUUUUAAUAAAAGCUAAUAGUUUUUGAUAUGAUUAAUAAAUUAAUAACAACGAAUUCUAUAUAAGUAUAAUUUUAUAAAAAAAAUCUAAUUGGACAACUUUUUAAUAUUUUAAAGAUACAUAUAUUAUUAAAAUAUUUUUAUAAUUGAAUUUAAAUAUAUUAUUAUUUAAUUUUAAUUCGAUAAAUGUCAAAUCAAAGUCCAUGAAUGGAGCCGAUAGGUGUAGUGGGAAGUGGAUAGCAAGGUAGUACACCUACUUUUAACAGCCACUGCUGACUAUUCAACGGAAUCCACAUCGCAUGUUGGCUGCCGAUUUCAUUUGUUUGGCCCUCUCUCUCGAGCUUCUGAAAAUGGUUAACAAGUUACCAUCCAAUAUAAGUCUUCUACCUUAUUGCUUUUUAAUAUCAUAUAUAAACUAGCAUUUUUGUUCUACGUCUAAUUUCUAAUGUUACCUCUCAAUUACAUCGACUCAAUUAAUCAAAUCGAUUAGAUUAAAAAUCGAUUGAAAAAAUUGAUUGAACUAUCAAUCUAUAGAGUAGUACCAAAUUAGUUGAUUCAAGAUUCAAUAUAAAUUGAUUCAAUUGUUUUUUUUUUAAUUUUUUUAAUAAUUUAUUUAAUUAGAUCAUAUCAAUUAAUCAAACUGAUGAAUUGAUGAUCUAACUAAAUUAACUAAUAGUUCGGUUCUAAAAAUCUUGAAUAUCACAUACACUGCAUAUAAUUUUUUAUGUUUAACAUUUUUAAUUAAAGUUUUAAAUGAGGUAUUUAUAAUUAUUGUACUUAUUUUUUUAAUUUAUUAAUCAAAUUGUUGAAUAUAAUUAAAAUAUAUAUUAACUUAUUUGACAAUUCAAAUAUAAUAUAAGACACAUUUUUGAAUCAUAAUUAGAGCAUUCAUAUUAUAUUAAAAAAUUUAUAUAUUGUAGAUAGAUAAUUUUAAUAAUAUUUAAAAUUAAAAUCAUAAUUAAAAUAUUUGUACCUUUUUUAGGGUAAACUACAAAAAUAGUCACUUUUGUUUGCCUCAUGUUACAUUUUAGUCACUUAUGUUUGAAAUGUUACGUUUUAGUCACUUAUGUUAUUAUUUUGUUACGAAGUGAUCACUCUUCCGUUAAGUUCCGUUAUCUCCCUAACGGUAAUCCUACGUGACAGUCCAACUAGAUUUUAAGUGCCAAUUUGGAUUUCCUAAUGGGAUGAGAAUAGAUUUUUAAUUAAAUAAAUUUAAUUAAUUAAAAAUUUUAAACUCUAAAUCUUAGUUAAAAAAUCGUUCAUCUCCUCCCUUUUUUUUAGUUUUCUUUUUCAGGUGGCUAAGAAAGCUAUUAUCAUCAGAAUUUUUUAUUCACCUACAAAAACAAAUUGUUUUGGCUUUUCAUUCUAGGAUGUUAACUGGAACACCAUUUUUUCACAUGUUGUAGUCAUUGCAGUUCAUCUUAUUACAUAAAUUUUUCGACAACCACUUGAUUUUAAGUCUUAGAACAUAAAUUUGUCAAUGAAGAAGACAUACCUGGACCCUUCAUUGAAUCCUCUUUUGUUUUUGUAGGUGAAUAAAAAAUUCUGAUGAUAAUAGCUUUCUUAGUCAACUGAAAAAGAAAACUAAAAAAAAGGGGGAGAUGAACGGUUUUUUAACUAAGAUUUAGAGUUUAAAAUUUUUAAUUAAUUAAAUUUAUUUAAAUAAAAAUCUAUUCUCAUCCCAUUAGGAAAUCCAAGUUGUCACUUAAAAUCUAGUUGGACUGCCACGUAGGAUUACCGUUAGGAAGAUAACGGAACUUAAUGGAAGAGUGAUCACUUCAUAACAAAAUAAUAACAUAAGUGACUAAAAUGUAACAUUUCAAACAUAAGUGACUAAAAUGUAACCUGAGGUAAACAAAAGUGACUACUUUUGUAGUUUACCCCCUUUUUUAUUGUACUUUCAAAGUAACAUUAUUCAAAAUAUUAACUAAAAAAUUAAUUAAAAUAUAUAAAUUAUUUUGAUAAUUCCAAUCUAGAGCUAAUAAAAAAUCCUAAUAAUUAUUAAAGCAUUUGCAUAAAUUAUAAUAUAUAUAUAUGUAAAUUAGACACAUCACUAUUUAAUUCAUAGUCUCCAAAUUACACAUAGGUAAUUUUUUUAAUAUCCCGUUUUUAGAAAAGAAUACUAAUUUGAAAGAUCAAAACCACAAAAUUGAAUAUUCUAAUAAAUCAAUGGGUUCAAAUAUGCUUGCGCAUUUAAUUUUAUUAUUGAUGAUUUGACAUGAUAUAUUUUAGUUAAUAAAAUUUUAUAUAAGAUCUUUUAUUAAUUAUUCUUCUAUCGAGAAAAUUUGAAUCCGGAAAUGAGAAUAGGCAACGUAAAACUCUUUCCCUUGAUUCAACAAAGCUUAAAAAUCAUUUAUCAAUCUAAAUCUAAAAAGAUAAAUAAUACAUUUGUAACUAGUGGAUAAAGCAAAGUUAGUACUGAAAAAAGUAUGACUUUUGAUUACCAAAGUUUUACUACUCGAUGAAACAAACAUUGAUUCUGAAUGCGAUUAUUUUCAUUAUAGAUUUCAGCAACAUAACCCUUACUUUGUUUUUGUAUCAGAUUACUCACAGCACAAAAUCUCUUGGGUACUCUUCCACCAAACUUAACAAGUCUCCCUUUCCUUCAAAAAAUGUAAGUACAUUUCAAAAUUUCCUUUUUCAUGAUAUAUAAAUGAAGCUAAUUUUUUUCAUCAACUUUACAUCAAUUAAUUAACUAUAUGUCUAAUAAUAUCUUGCUUUAAACGAUUUCUUAUAGUGACCUAACUCGAAAUUAUCUUAGUGGCCCCAUUCCUCCAGAAUGGGGUUCUACGCGACUCGUCAGCAUGUAUGUUUCUCUCCUUCUUGUGUCUAUGCAUAUGUAGAAACAUAGAAUAGUUCAUCUUUUGAUUAUGAAAUAUAAUGUUGCUAAAUGCAAAAGAUGUGUUGCAUUUCAGUUCCCUUCUUGGAAAUCAAUUAACAGGUUCAAUUCCAGGAGAGCUAGCAAAUCUCAGAAACCUUACUUCCUUGUGAGUUAGAUUAUAUCAAUUUCUUUUAUUUAAUUAAAUAUAUAAAAUGAUGAUAAAUUUGUUUCAUUUUUUUAAUGAAUAUUUAAUGGUUAAUUAAUUUUAUUUAUCGAAAAACAUUGUGUAGAAUCCUUGACAACAAUGAUCUUUUUGGAACUUUACCUGCAGCACUAGGGAAUCUAUCCAAAAUUGAGCGAUUGUAAGACUGUUUUCUUCCUUUUUAAUUCUAGCUGAAUUUAAUUUUCAUUACAUGCAGUAUUUUUAUCACAUAAACGAUAUAAUCUCUAUUUACUGGUUUCUUCAGGCAUCUUAGUUCCAACAAAUUUACUGGUGAAAUACCUGAAGUAUUUGCAAGGCUGACUUCAUUGGAGGAAUUGUAAGCCAUUCUAAUUUCUAACGUUCGUUUCUACUAAUUUAUCUCAUGUUUGAAUAUAUAUAUGUUUGGAUAAAGUGUUUUUUAUACAAAUUAUUCGUAAAUUUCAAUAUAUUUUGUAUUCUCAACAGUCGGAUUAGUGACAAUAACUUUACAGGACAGAUUCCUGACUUCAUAUUCCAAAACUGGACAAAUCUCGAACAGAUGUGAGAAUUUAAUUUAACCUUUUCUUUAUUUAGUUUUUUUAUUUUUUAUUUUAUCAGUCAAUUAAAUGAAUCCAUCUUUUUGUAAUGGCAGAUAUAUGGAGGCAAGUGGUUUGAGUGGUCCAAUUCCAUCCAUUAAUGCCACUUUAGAAAACUUAGAAUACAUGUAAGCUCCAAUAAUCAUAAAAGAUGGUGACAAUAUUCAUUAAUUUAAUUUCUGAUUUAUGUUUGUAUAUGGUUCUUGAUAUUGUUUUACAGAAUAAUUAGUGACUUGAAUGGAGCUGAAACAAGUUUUCCACAACUAUUUAUCAAUGUCAGUUUGCCUAAAUUGGAUAGACUGUAAGCAUAGCUUUGAAAUAAAGCAAAGAUUUAUUAAAGUUAUAAGACAUUGAGGAGUUCUAAAAGAAUAUUAGAAUUACUUUUGUGAUUGAAUUACAGGAUGCUGAGGAGUUGCAAUCUCAUUGGAGAGAUACCUGCUUCUUUUGGGACGUCAUUCACAACAAUACAUGUCUUGUAAGUAAUUACACUUUUUUAAUACUAAAAAAUCUAGUUUAAGUUGUUCAUAAUAACAUUAGCAACCUCUUCUCUUAUAUUUAAAUAAAAUGUUUUCAUUUCUAACUUGUAUUAGGACAUAAUUUACUUGUGAAUUUUGAUGCAUUCUUUCUUUUGCCUUUUCUUAUUUGUACUUUUGAUUAUUCAAGAAAUAAAUUAAUUUUUUUUAUGAGAUAAAAUAUCAUUUUUAUAAAAUUUCUUGUAGGGAUCUCAGCUUUAACAGACUCAGUGGAAAAAUUCCAGAAGAGCUUUCUGCUCUUGCUUUGACUAAUUUGUAAGGAUAUGGUUUUCUUUUAUUUAUAUACUCAUCUGGAACAAAUGGAAAUAAAACAAAAACUUGAUGAUUUCUUUUCAUUAGGUUCUUAAAUGGAAACAAUUUUACUGGAACAGUCCCUUCAUGGAUGCUUAAUACAAACGUACAAAUGUAAGGUCAACUUCUUAUUUAAUGUUGAAUUCCAUUUAUUAUAUGCUUAACAAGUUUGAUUAACCAAAAUCAAAAUUAUUGCACAAACCAUUUAUUGAAAAUAAUAUUCUAAAACUAUUCUAUUUGCAGCGAUCUUUCAUAUAACAACUUCACAGACACUGGUGUAUCAGACUGCCAACAAAAUAGCCCGUAAACUUCCUCAUCUAACUUCAUUAGUGGAUCCUUCUUAUGUAAAUAUCUGUCAUUUUUUUUUAUUAUAAUUUUUCCUCCAUUAUCGACCUAUAGGAACUUGUUCUCAAGCAUUGCAAAAGUCAAUAACACGUAAGUAUUAAGACAACAACAACCAUUAAACUACCUCUUUCUCUUUCAUCUAACUUUAUAAUUGUUUUAUCAGGGGAAUUGUUCCAUGUUUGACAAGCCGAAUUAACUGCACAUCAGAACGUAAGUAUUUCUAUUUUAUGCACUAAUAUAUACAUAACACUCUAUAUUUUAUUCAAACUGUUGUUGAUUGUUUUUUUCCUCAGCAUUGCACUUUGUCCAUAUAAACUGUGGAGGGAGAAUAACAACUGUUAAUGACACCACUUACGAAGCCGAUUACGAUCAAGCCGGGCCUUCGACAUUUUACCGAACUACCAACUGGGCAUUUAGCAGCACCGGAAUUUUUCUUAGCGAUGACCUCCCCGACGACAUCUUAGUUUUGAACAAUGGACAAGUUUCUGUGGAUGGUGAUGAAGAAGAACUCUACACAAAUGCAAGGCUAGCGCCUAGCUCUUUGACUUACUAUGCAAUUUGUCUCGCCAAUGCAACUUACACAGUAAACCUCCAUUUCGCUGAGAUUCAGUUCACUGAUGAUCAAACUUAUAGCAGUUUGGGGAGACGAAUAUUUGAUGUGUACAUUCAGGUAUAUUUUAAUAUCAUUCUUGUGAGUAUGUUAUCCUGAUUCGGAUGAGUGUCGAAUUUUGUAUAUAUAAACAAAUAUUGCUUUACAACAUGUGCUUGCAUGUAAAGUAGAGAUAAACGGAAUGGAUAAAAAUUGCAGGGAAAGCAGGAGCUGAAGGAUUUCAAUAUUGAAGAAGAAGCUGGAGGGGCAGGCUUACCAAUAGUAAAAAAAUUUACUGUAAAUGUAUCCGAUGGCACUUUGGAGAUCCAUUUCCGGUGGGCCGGGAAAGGGACAACUUCUAUGCCGGAGAGAAGCAUCUAUGGUCCUCUUAUCUCAGCAAUAUCUGUUUUCGAUCCUGGUAGGUUUUCAACUUCCAUUGACUCUUUCUGUCCCCAAUUAAUCUCAUUGAUUGCUCCAAAAUUUCUUUUACCGUUUUCUUUUCCCCUAGAACUUUGAUUGCUCCAAAAUUCAAGUGAUUCAGUCUCGUAUGCUAACAUCAUGGUUCAUACUCCAUGCUAGCCCUCAAGCACUUUGUUUCAAUUGACUUGAUAUCCAACAUAAACAUCAAAUCAUUUGAGAUGAAUACCUUGCAAUCAAAGCUCUAGAACUCUAAACUUUUAACUAAAAAAAGAAUUUUUCAUGUGAAAUUUCAUAUCGUUAUUUAAGGAUUAUGUUGUUUUAUAGCUUAAGAAUGUAAUUAACAUCGAUAAUAAGACUAUGGAUACUAUCUUUCAAAAAAAUUAGAAUGGGUGCUCAAAUAAAACAUUACCUCUAACAUUUCUUCAAGUUCUACAAAGGUCUUUUUAACCACACAUGAUUGCUCACUUCAUUGUUAAGAUACCAAAUGUUUUCAUCUUCAAUUUCUUCAUUUUUGAGUGCUGAAAACAAAGUUGGUUCCUCCACGUCUUGCUUAUCUUUAAUGAGAUAGACAUUUUCUUCAUUUACAUUAGUAUCAUUUUGGCACUCUUAAGAAAAGUGACCAAAUUUAUAAUAGCGGUAGCAUUUAACAUUAUACUUGACAUAACUUCAUUUUGCUUGAUCUCAAGUAAUUUUGUCUUGCUCUUUCACAAUUUCUACUUGAUGGGUUACCGCUAUCAUUGUUGCAAUUACUAUGAUCACCUCUUCCACAUCUUCCUUGGCCAAAGCCUUGUCCUCUUCCUCUUUCUAAUCCUCAGCGUCAACUUUUUUAUUAUUUUCUUCUUGUUUAUCUUUUAAAUAUAACUUGGUUUUUAAAACUUGCUCCAAUGACUCAUCUUGUCUUCCAUUAAAUUUUUAUUCUUGAUCUCGUAACUCAACUAUUACUUGUUCAACUGUCAUGCAGUCUAAAUAUUGACUCAAUGACACAAAGACCAUAAUGAGACUUUGAAAUCAAGGAAAGAAGAAUCUUUACAGUCAUAAUUAUCUUACAAUGUUUCUCCAUAUCUCUUUAUUUGAUUCACAAUAGCCAACAUCCUUCAAUAAUAAUCCAAUUUCUUUUUCAAAUUACUUCAUUCACAAAAUUCCAAAUUCAUCUUGUAACACUUAGAGCCGCACCUUCUUCACUUUGUCAACUCGUUGAAAACAACUUUGCAAAAUUUUCCAAGCUUCUUUUUCAGUAAUGGCAUUAACCACUUUCGCAAACAUCAAUUCUUCUAAACAUUAGUGGACGAGGUUGAAGACUUGUUGAUCCUUCUUUCUUGUCUUUACCAAAACAUCUUUCUCAUUUUACAAUAAUGAUACGUUAUUUUGUGGAGAAUUAUAACCGUAUCUCAUUAGACUGGAUAAGAUAAACCAAAUAAUUAAUAACAUAUAAAUACAUGUAAGUAAAUUUGCAAACAUAUUCCAGAAAUUUAAAUUACAUAUCCAACCAUGGAUAGAUCUACACCUCUUUUCUUUUUUUGAUAUCUUAGUAACACUUGUAUAUAAUGAUUUGAACCAAGAUUUUCAUGUCAUCUUUGUAUCUGACUUAUAUGUAUAAUUUUUAAACCAGGUUAUAAACCCCCAUCAAAAAGUGGUGGUCGUAUCUCGACAGCUACAACGGCUGGUAUCGUUGCUGGAACAACGUCUGCUACUUUGUUGAUUGUAGGCAUCUUUUGGUGGAAUUGCUGUUAUAAAUUAGAUGAUGAAGAAUCUGGUGUUCUCUUUGGCGAUGAAUUCCAAAAUGGGAUGGAACUUAGGAAGUUUUCCUUGGUACAAAUAGCUAAAAUGACCAAUAAUUUCAACGGUGAAAAACUAGGAAAAGGAGGGUUUGGUGUAGUUUAUAAAGGGUACUUAAGGGACUCGGAUACUUAUGUUGCUGUUAAACGGAUUUCAAAGGCCUCUAAGCAAGGAAUUAAGGAAUAUGCAUCUGAAGUGAAGAUUAUUAGCCAAUUAAGGCACAAGAAUCUUGUGAAGCUUAUUGGUCAGUGUCAUGAAAAAGGAGAACUUAUACUUGUUUAUGAGUUAAUGACUAAUGGCAGCCUAGAUUCCUAUCUUUUUAAAGGUAAAACCUUAUUGACUUGGGAAGUGAGAUUUAAAAUUGUGCAGGACCUGGCAUCAGCACUAUUCUAUCUUCAUGAAGAAGGUGACCGUUGCGUACUACACAGAGAUAUCAAAGCGAGCAACAUUAUGUUAGAUUCUAGUUUCAAUGCUAAACUUGGGGAUUUCGGGCUUGCUAGGCUAGUGGAUCAUGAAAAAGCGUCACAAACCACCCAUUUAGCUGGGACUUUGGGCUAUUUGGCACCUGAAUGUGUUUCAUCGGGAAAAGCUAGUAAGGAAUCGGAUGUCUACAGCUUUGGAGUUGUGGCAUUGGAGAUUGCAUGCGGUAGAAGAUCAAUAGAGUCCAAAUAUGAAGAAUCUCAAGUUUCAUUGGUGGAUUGGGUGUGGGAUUCAUAUGGAAGCCAACGGUUGCUUGAUGUAGCUGACCCAAAAUUAAGUAUGAACUUUAAUGCUAAACAAAUGGAAUGCUUGUUAAUGAUUGGAUUGUGGUGCGUCCAUCCAGACCAGCAUUUAAGACCGUCGAUAAGGCAAACAAUUCAGGUUCUUAAUUUUGAAGCACCAUUGCCGAAGCUUCCAAGUACGAGGCCAACUGCCACAUAUAAUGCAGAAAUCACUUCAGAAAUUCAAACAAGUGAGCCAUGUUUUUCUGAUAUGAGUAUUACGGUCCCACGUUAGAUAUACAUAAUAUUCAAAUCGAUAAAAGAUGUCUAUUGACAAUAAUAUAUAUAUAUCAAUACAUAUUUAAUGAUUGAAUGCUUUUAAUAUAUGAAAUAAAUAGUUUAAAUUUACACAACAAUGGACAAUGAGCAACAAUAUGGCCGAAUAUUUGCUUGGCCGAACGAACAAAAAUACCCAAAAGGCAGACCCAAUCUGCCAUAUUUUUGUCAUUAAAAAUAAAAAGAAAUUAAGAAAGGGCAUAUUUGAGUGUUGGGCAAUUAAUUGAGUCAUGUUUUCAUGGGUUGAAUAAAAAACUUUUGAGUCGGAUACUAUGGCUUUAGGAUAUAGAUAAAUUAUGUAAAUUAUAAAAUUUUUGGGUCCAAUCGAAUUAUUAUUAUUUCUCCAAAGCCCGAAUUGAAUUCAAAGAUGGGAUUCUUUAUAUAAUACAUACAGAUUUUAGAAAAAUUAAAAAAGUAAAAAGGAUACGAAUCCUAAAAGUUUUAGGCUACCACUACCACCACUUCAACAUCAGUGGUAAGCGUGGCCGGAGCAAGGACAACAAAUAAUAUGUGAUGAUGAAGAGUCACCACCACCACACAUGGAUGCACCUCCAACGUCACUAAUAUCGUUUAAUUAUUAAAAUAUUUUAAAAUAUAUUGUUUAAUUAUCUGUGGUAAGCUGCCAAAGGGUUUGCUUCUCUACCUUUUUGCAAAUCUUUGCUGAACUCUCUUGGUAAUCCUAAUCAACCACCAUGGUUUUCCAGUUGUGAGUACAAUGUAUCCCAAGCUUACUCCCAGCACCAACCCACAUCCGUAUCCCAUCAGUAUAGAAAAUCUCCAAUUCAGAUCAUCGUCAUCUCCAUCAAAUUUGGCUGGAAUUUUCUCAUCAUUAUCACAUCUGUUUGGUAAUGGCAGCCCGCAUAAACCCAAGUUUACUAUGUAGGAAUCAUUAGUGAAAGUAUUAAUUUGUUUUCCUUGAGGAAUGGGUCCUGUUAUAUUAUUUUGAGAAAGGUUUAACACCACUAAGAAUCCAAGAUUUCUUAAUUCCAUUGGAAUCCUUCCUUGGAACAUGUUUGAUGAGAGAUCUAAUGAUUCAAGCUCUAACAAAUCACCUAAUGAUGAUGGGAUAGGACCUGUUAAACUAUUAUGAGAAAGGUUUAGGACAAUAAGUGAAUGAAGUUCACCAAGUGUUUCAGGAAUUUCUCCCAAGAAUUUAUUAUUCAAAAAGUCAAUUACCAUCCAGCUGGUUAAUAGUGAUUCAAACUCCAUUCCCAACCCUUUAGCUACAAAAGAUAAACCUUGCACAUCAUAAUACCACAUUCCAUUACCCAUUGCAUUUAUCAUGUAUUCUGGUUCACCUUUCUUUUCGUACUCUUUUCUAAUGGCAUGCAAAUUCUCAAAAAAACUUGAUAGGUAAGUAGCCACUAAAAUUAUUAUGAGAAAGAUCAAUGACAUGCAAAUUAGUGAAGGAAACAAUAACAUUAGAGUUAACCACUUGACCAUAGAAUCCAUUCGAUCUCAAGACAGGAACUUGUAGAUGCUCCAAAUUUCCUAACCAGUCCGGCAAAGUAUCAUUUAAAUAGUUGUUCUCAACGUUAAGAAACUCCAAAUCUUUGCAAUUAGCGAAAAAUCGUGGUAGUGACCCUUCUGAUUGGUUGUUGUUGACCUGAAAACUUCUUAACGUGCAACCUUUAGCAAAAGUUUUAGGUAUUUUUCCAUGAAAAUAAUUAUUCAAAAGAGUAGAACUCUUAUGUCCAAUGCACUUCAGAAUUGCUCCAUGUUAGAGUGUAGGAAAGAUUUUGUUAGUCUGUUAUUGAUAGUUUGUUAUACAGGCUGGUGUUGUUAGUGAGGUUGUUAGCAGCAAUUACUCAUGCACAAAUUAUAUAUAAAUACUACUGGUGUACAGAUGAAAAAUAAUAACAAUACUAGUAAAUUCUCAGCAUAUUCAUUCUAUUUCUACUUAGUUUUCCAUAGAUACUAACAUGGUAUCAGUCGUCUAAAUUCUGGAGAUUUGCUCUUCUUUUUGUUUGUUUCCAUGGGUACCUCUGCUUCUGCUGAUCACAGUUAUUCAACGUUCACUGGUGCUUGGUUAAUACAAUCUUUUCCUCGCCAUGACACUGCCAAAUUGGAUGAAAGCAGUUUUGUUCAGUGGCAGCAACAUAUUUGCUUGAUUAUUGAGGGUUAUGAGUUGACUGGAUUUUUGGAAGGAACAUUACCUACUCCGCCGCGUUUUUGUACCAUCUCCGUGUUGUUCCAAUAGGGUCGGAAGCGUGUAAAUUAUUGUACUAAAAAAUCACACAAAGUUCAAUUCCCACGGAAGAGAGGUGGAUCACAUGGAUCUCUUAAAUACCAAGUCUUUCCUUAGACAGAAUAUCCCUUCUAUAGUAAUUUAAUAGCACAAUUAAAUACUACUAUUAUACCCUCAAAUAUUGAAAGAAAAAUAGGACAAGAAAGAACACAAGAGAUUUAACGAGGUUCGGUAAAUUAUACCUACGUCCUCGGGCACUAACACCAGAUGAUAACUUUACUAUCUCCAAAAUAUUACAAACAAAUAGAAUUCCUUAAGAAUUCUCAAAUGGGAGAAGAGAGAAAACUAAGAGAGAAAGAUUGGUUGGGAUGGUUGAAAUGAGAAAUGGUUAGGCCUAUUUAUAGUUGAAGUUCAGGGACUAACUUGCAAAUGGCCUAAAAAAUUAGGAACCAAAAUUGCAAUUAUCCCUUUCAACUUUAAACAACUUGCCAACUAUUUUUUUUCUUUCGGUGCCAAUUGCACCUCCCACCAUUUUUGACUUUUCAACCCCUUUUUAAUUUAACUUAUCAACAAUCUCCACCUUGAAGAUUUGAUUAGGAUAAUCACAUCUUCACACACUUCCUUCAACUCCCCAAAUUCGAUAAAGCUAUCUUUUGUAGUGCCUCCAAAUGCGCUCUCUAGCGCCAUACACCUAAAGGUGCUCAAAUUCUCAGGAUGUUAAUCAAGUUCAAACAAUGAUUAAACUUGAUUGUUGUUACCACCUUGGUCAUCAUAUCUGCGGGAUUAUCUGUUGUCGGAAUCUUCUCAAGUAGAAUUUUUCCUUUUUCAAAGACUUCCCGCACAAAGUGAUAUCUUACGUCGAUAUGCUUGGUUCUUGAAUGAUAGACUUGAUUUUUCGCUAAAUGAAUAGCACUCUGACUGUCACAAUAUAGACUAAUGUGACUUUGAACAACUCCCAAGUCUUUCAAUAAUCCAUUAAGCCAAAUAGCCUCCUUAACAGCUUCUGUAACUGCCAUAUAUUCUGCCUCUGUAGUAGACACAGCUACUGUAGACUGUAAGGUAGACUUCCAACUCACUGGGGCUUUCGCAAGAGUAAACAGAUACCCCGUAGUUGAACGACGUUUAUCUAAAUCACAGCAAAGUCAGAAUCAAUAUAUCCAACUACAAACUGACCAAGUGCUUCAUCCUGUUCAAAAAUUAAACCAACAUCUACGGUUUUUCGAAGAUACCGUAGAAUCCAUUUCACAGCUUGCCAAUGUCCUUUUCCAGGAUCAUGCAUAUACCUGCUCACAACUCCAACAGCUUGUGAAAUGUCAGGCCUCGUACACACCAUCGCAUACAUCAAACUCCCAACUGCAUUAGCAUAUGGGACUUUCGCCAUAUAUUCUCUUUCUUCUUCAGUUUUCGGAGAUAAUUGAGCACUAAGUUUCAAAUGAGAAGCAAGUGGGGUACUUACAUGUUUUGUGUUUUCAUUUACACCAAAACAUUGUAAUACCUUUUUCAGAUAUUGCUUCUGAUUCAAACAAAGCUUGCCUCUCUGUCUAUCUCUACUUAUCUCCAUGCCGAGAAUCUUCUUGGCCUCACCUAGAUCUUUCAUCUCGAACUCUUGAUUCAACUGAGCCUUCAGCUUAUCUAUCUCAUUUUGGCUCUUCGAAGCGAUUAACAUAUCAUCAACAUACAAGAGUAGAUAAAUGAAAGAUCCGUCAUGCAGCUUCUGCAAAUACACACAAUUGUCAUAUUUGCUUCUUGUGUACUUCUGCCUUCUCAUAAAGCUAUCAAAUCACUUGUACCACUGCCUCAGGGAUUGCUUCAAUCCAUAUAGCGAUUUGUUAAGCUUACAAACCCAAUUUCUACCACCAGCAUCUGUGUAUCCUUCUGGCUGAGUCAUAUAGAUCUCCUCUUCUAACUCACCAUGCAAGAAAGCCGUCUUAACAUCAAGUUGAGCUAGCUCCAAAUUCAACUAUGCUACCAAGGCCAACAAAAUUCUAAUGGAGGAAUGCUUCACAACAGGGGAAAAUACAUCAUUGUAGUCAAUUCCCUCCUUCUGAGCGUAGCCUUUAGCUACCAAUCUUGCCUUGUAGCGAAUAUCCUUCUUGCUAGGAGAUCCAUCUUUCUUUGCGAAUACCCACUUGCAUCCGAUUGCCCUUUUACCUUUCGGUAAUUGCGCCAACUCCCAAGUAUUAUUCUUUCGGAGAGACUGUAUUUCUUCAUCCAAGGCGCUUUUCCAUUUAUCACUUUCUAAGCUUUGCAUUGCUUCUUGAUAAGUGAUAGGAAUAUCAUCAACAACGGGAAGGGCGUAGGCCACCAUAUCAGUAAAUCGAGCAGGUUUACGAAUUUCUCUCCGUGGCCUUGCAACUGCAACUGGUUCUGGUGUACUUAGUGGUUCUUGGGUCAGAACCUCUUCAACCUCUAAUUCCUCCAUUGUGGCUGGAGAAUUAGACUUAUUAACUGGGCAAAUCCCCAUCUGCUCAAACUCCACCUGUUUUGGAGUACACUCCACCUGCUGUGGAGUAUUGCUCGUCUGAAUAUCUUUAUCUGCUACCUUUUUCAAUGUGGCAGAUUCAUCAAAGAUAACAUCUCUGCUACAGAUCAUUUUCUUUGUGCUUAAGCACCAAAGACGAAAUCCCUUCACUCCAGAAGUGAUUCCCAUAAAGAGAGCUUUCUUUGCCCUCGGAUCUAACUUUGACUCCUUCACAUGGUAAUAUACAGUGGAUCCAAACACAUGUAAGGAAUCAUAAUCUGUAGCCGAUUUUCCAGACCAUACCUCCAUAGGAGUUUUUCUUUCUAAUGCAGAUGAUGGCAAACGAUUAACAAGAUGGCCAGCGUAUGUCACAGCCUCAGCCCAAAAUUACUUGCCCAACCCAGCAUUGGACAACAUACAUCGAACUUUCUCCAGCAAUGUUCGAUUCAUACGCUCUGCCAAUCCAUUCUGCUGUGGUGUAUCCCUAACUGUGAAGUGUCGAACAAUACCAUACUCUUGGCACACAUCGAAGAACGGAUCACUUUUAUAUUCCCCUCCAUUGUCCGUCCUAAGCCGCUUGAUUUUCUUGCCAGUCUGGUUUUCGAUCAUAGUUUUCCAUUUAAGAAAAACUCCAAGCACUUCAUCUUUAGUUUUCAUGGUAUACACCCAAACUCUUCUGGAAAAGUCAUCAACAAAAGUAACAAAGUAGUGUUUUCCUCCCAACGAAGGUGUUUUGGAAGACCCCCACACAUCUGAGUGAAUAUAUUCCAAAAUACCUUUUGUAUUAUGGAUAGCAGUGUCGAAUUUCACUCUCUUUUGCUUCCCCAGAACACAAUGCUCACAAAAUUUUAAUUUGCAAGCCUUUGCACCUUUCAACAAUCCUUGCUUUGCCAGAAUUUGCAAGGAUUUUUCGCUGGCAUGUCCCAACUUCAUAUGCCACAACUGCAUUGAGUCCAAGUCUUUGUUACCGGAAGCUGCAGCGACUGCUCCAAUAACGGUACUACCUUGGUAGUAAUACAAGUUAUUUUUCCUGAUGCCCUUCAAUAUCACAAGUGCGCCAGAUGUCACUUUCAAAAUCCCAUCUCUCAUAGUAACAACUGAACCAUUGGAUUCCAAGGCUCCCAAUGAGAUGAGAUUUUUCUUCAAACUAGGCACGUACCGAACAUCAGUCAGAACUCUGGUUGAUCCAUCUUGAUUCUUUAAUUGGAUUGAAUCUAUCCCAACAGUUUUACAGGCAUUGUCAUUGCCCAUAUAAACAACUCCUCCAUUUAGUUCUACUAAAUCAGAGAACCACUCCCGGUUAGGGGACAUAUGAUAGGUACAACCCGAAUCCAAUAUCCACUCAUCUGAAUGGAACGACGAUGAUGAUGCAACCAGUGAUAGUUCAGAGUCACUAGUAUCAUGCUUAGCAACACAAGCAUCUACAGCAGCUUUUCCCUUAUUCUUCAGCUUUGGACAAUUUUUCUUCCAGUGGCCUUUCUCAUGACAAAAAAGCACAUUCAUCUUUCCCGAGUCUGGACUUUGACUUUGAUCUCCCCUUUUGAGUUUUCUUCCGAGUGUAUGAACGACCUCGGACUACUAAAGCUUCUUUAUCUCUGAUUGAGUUUUUCUGUUUGUCCUUCUUUCUCUGUUCAUAACUGUAUAAGGCCGCACAGACUUCGCUCAGAGAUAUAUCACUCCUGCCAUGAAGUAGAGUAGUUUCUAGGAACUCAAACUCCUCAGGAAGUGACCCCAACAGCAUCAAAGCCAAAUCUUCAUCUUUGAAUGUCUCAUCCAUAUUCAGCAAAUCAGUGACUAACUGAUUAAAUUUGGUGAUGUGAUCAUUCAUUGUGGUACUUGGGACGUAUGUGAAACGAAACAGUCUUUUCUUCAAGUGGAGCUUAUUUUGACUAUUUUUCUUCAAAAAUUUUUCUUCAAGUGCCACCCACAACUUAUUUGCAGAAGUCUCCUUUGAAAAAGCGUACCUCUGCUCUCGAGAAAGGCAUGAUCGAAUUGUGCCACAUGCCAACCGAUUGAUCGCCUUCCAAUCUUUCUCCUGUACAUCAUCUGGUUUUUCUUCAUCAAUGGCAAUGUCUAGACCCUGCUGAAAAAGGGCAUCUAGAACCUCACUUUGCCACAUACCAAAAUGACCUGUGCCAUCAAAGAUCUCCACGACCAGUCUUGCAUUUGCAAUUGUCGGUCUUGUCCACAUAGACGAUGUUGAAGCUCCUACACCGACCGUUUUCUCCAUAAUCUUUCAAUAUAUACCUAAGGAAAUCUUUUCUGAUGUGGAAGAUCAGUUUAAACUGCAACCACAGAGCAUACUACGAUUAACCUUCGGCUCUUGAUACCACUUGUUGUUCCAAUAGGGUCGGAAGCGUGUAAAUUAUUGUACUAAAAAAUCACACAAAGUUCAAUUCCCAGGGAAGAGAGGUGGAUCACAUGGAUCUCUUAAAUACCAAGUCUUUCCUUAGACAGAAUAUCCAUUCUAUAGUAAUUUAAUAGCACAAUUAAAUACUACUAUUAUACCCUCAAAUAUUGAAAGAAAAAUAGGAUAAGAAAGAACACAAGAGAUUUAACGAGGUUCGGUAAAUUAUACCUACGUCCUCGGGCACUAACACCAGAUGAUAACUUUACUAUCUCCAAAAUAUUACAAACAAAUAGAAUUCUUUAAGAAUUCUCAAAUGGGAGAAGAGAGAAAACUAAGAGAGAAAGAUUGGUUGGGAUGGUUGAAAUGAGAAAUGGUUAGGCCUAUUUAUAGUUGAAGUUCAGGGACUAACUUGCAAAUGGCCUAAAAAAUUAGGAACCAAAAUUGCAAUUAUCCCUUUCAACUUUAAACAACUUGCCAACUAUUUUUUUUCUUUCGGUGCCAAUUGCACCUCCCACCAUUUUUGACUUUUCAACCCCUUUUUAAUUUAACUUAUCAACACUCCGAAGGGCUCUCUGGUUCUGAAUUCGGAGGCCUCGUCGUCCGUCCAACAGGUUAAGUUACUUGCCUCAUGAUUACUUUCUACAAUUAGUCUUUCACUUUUAUCUUCUUUUACAGAUGCCAAAAUGGCGUGUGAUGUUUGGAACACUGCCCAUCGCCUCUUCGCUGCCGUCACUAGAGCCAAGUUGUCUCGUAUUCAUCACGAAUUACAUUUGAUUCAGAAAUUCACCAUGUCAAUUAAAGAAUAUAUAGCAAAGAUCUUGAAUACCUGUGCUCUGAUCAAGGCUUUUGGAUCUUGUAUGUCGGAAGCAGAGAAAGUUGAGAUCGUGCUUGCGGGCUUGCCGUCAGAGUUUGAUGUCGUGCUCACUCUCGCAUCGUUCUAGUCAGAAGCUCUUCCGUUGCAAUGUCUCGCUGAUGCAUUGUUGGAGUAUGAGAUUCGACAGCAUCGUGCGGUACAGGAGGUGUCGCUCCAUGCUUAUCUAGUGGAAGCGGUUUCGUCGUCGUCGAUAGAGACCUCUGUCCUUGGUGGUCGUCCCCUCACUAGUGGUCGUAGGAGAGGUUUUAGAUCGAGAGUUCAAUGCCAAAUAUGUGGUCGGUUUAGGCAUUGGGCUCAAAAGUUCUUUUAUCAUUUUAAUCGAGAAUACGAUGCUCCGGCCUCUUCGACGUCAACUUUAACUCCAGCGAGUCACUCUGGGUACGGUGCGGGUGCUGGUGUUUUUUGUGCGCAUUUUGAGACUUCGAAUGCGCCGCUUGCUAUUUUCUCUUUUCCGACAAUGGGUUUCGAUUAGUUUGCUAGACGUUCCUCGGUGGUGCCGCCGGCCUUUCUCCCUGGUUGCUGGUGGCGUGGCCUCGUAAUUGUUGAGGCUCCCCCCCCAUAUGUCGCAGACUGGAGUUUCAUAUAACCCCUAUUUUGCGUUUGGUGAUGGUUCUCCUCUUCUGCCUGGACCGGGUCCACAUCAUGGGACCGCAGCUAGGUUCACUCGGCAGUCUGAUUUUGGCCAUCAAUUUGGGCCGUUGGAAACACAAAAAUAUGCACAUUUUUUUAUAUCCUUUUUAAUUCAAAUUCAUGUAGUUUCGAUAAAAUUUUUGUUAAAAAAUAUAUAAUAAUUGUAAAAUAAUUAAAUUUUACAUAAAUUAUUAAUAUGUUAAAUUUUAAUUAAUUUUAUUAUAAAUUUUAAUUAAUUUUGAUCAUUUUUGACAGAUUUGCACAAAUGGCGAAAAUUGACUCAGUAGACAUUGCUAGAAGCACAAAACCAAAAAGUAAUUUUUGAAGCAUCAUGGCAAAUUAGUUUUUCAGCCGAAGACGGUCCAAAUUAUGAAUAUUAAUUCAUAAUAUAAUUAAUUUUAAUUUUAAUAAAAUUUAUUUUAGGUUAAAUAAUUAUUAUUAAUUAAUUAUGAAAAGAGACAUAGUUGAGCUGAACUGAGAAAUCUGAUCCGACCGAGCAUUGGGAAGCCCAAAACCGUCCCACAUGCUGACCCAAUCAGCUUGUUUAGCUUGCAAAAUAACCCUUGAAGACUUUGAAUUUGCAGUCAAACCCCUCCACUAUUCAUGCCUUUCUAAAUUUACCCUUACCUUAAAAUAGCAAGUUUGAAACCUUCAAACUUGCCACAUGUGUGGCCGGCCAUGGAGGGACUCUAUGGCUGCUGAUUUUUGCUACUUUUACCAGCCUACUCAACCUAUAAAAACCCCCAUUGGCUCCUCAUUUGAAACACAUCUCAAACUCAUUUAUUUCUUCACUUCUCUCUCACUUUUCUCUCUUAAUUCUCUUCCAUUAUUCUUCAUUUUCUUCCCCUAUUCCUUUUCCAAUUUCAGCUCUUGAAAAAGAGUCAUUCAACCACCAUUGGAGGAGCAUUCAAGUGUUCACAGAAGCUUCUGUUCAACAAGAACAAGCGGAGAAGGAGGAGCGAAGCAAACUAGUCAAGCCUCGGAGAAACACUAGAUUUGAUUCUUGUUCCUUAUCAUUUUAAUUUUAUUGUUGUUGUUAUGAACAUGUCUAUGAAUAUUUGUGAUGUUGAUAUGUUUAAUUUAAUUAAUAUGGCUUAAAUUGAAUUCGUGUUAGGUUGAUUGCAUUUUGUCCACUUAAUUUAUUAAAAUUGUGUUUGUGUUGUUAUAGGCCUCGGUAAGAUGUUUGAUUAAGUAAAUUCAUGACUAAUUUAUUCUUGCAUUACAAUUGUAAAUUAAUUAUUUAAAUGGAUUGAAUUCAUGACUAAUUUAUUAAUUGACACAAUACUUAAUCAGUGCAUGUUUAAUUAUCUAAAGUAGGUGAGGGUUAAAUUAGCAACGGAAUCUAACGAUACAUUAGCCUUGCAUAACUUGCAAGAUUAUUAUGAUUAAACUAUUUCAAAGUCGAAAUACAUUGUUACCUCACAUAAUCUUUUAUGUGCUUAUGAGGUUGAAUUAAUUGUUUGAAUUGGCAUAGAGAUAAGUACAAGAGAUUAUUUUAAUUUCAUAGGUAUGUAUAUGCAUUAGCACAGUUGCUUAUUAAAAUUUGUUUAAUCAGUUGAAUUGACAUAGAGAUAUAGUCUAGAGAUAAAUGGAUUUUGGUAGGUAAGUAUGUUCAUAAGUAAGCAAAUUAUCGAGUUGCCGUGAAUUUAUUUGUAACAAAAUGAACAUGAGUUUAAUAAUUCUAAGUUAAGAAAUGUAAUUAAUCUAGCAUAAUUAUGUCAUCUCGAUUAAAAUCAUCUUUUGAAAUCAUGUAUUGGAAUUUUUUAUUUUAUUUUUAUUUAUUUUACUUAGUUAAAAUCCUAGUUUUUAAUCACCUCAUAGUUAAAAUCCUAGUUUUUAAUCACCUCCACAAAUAAAAAUAUUUUUCUUCACCAAAGUGUUUUUUUUAAUUGCAUUCAUAAAUAAUUCUUUUCACAGUCCCCGUGGGUACGAUAACUCGACAUUUACUUGUCACUUUAUUACUUGUUGUGAUUGUGUAUACUUGCACAUUUUCGUCGUUCUAGUCGUCCGCGCAUGUUAGACUCUAUGGCCUACGCCAGAAUUAUGGGACUGCUUGUUCUCCACUUGGGUCAGCUUUUUGUGUUCCUCCAACUGGGCCUACUUCCAAUUGCGUUGGUUUUGAAGGCUUUAUUGGACGUGGCCGCGGGCUUGGGCUUGUAGGUGGUGGUGCUUCAAGGCCAUAUAUUGGUCCUUGUGUUCCCUGGCUAAUGAAACUAAGGGCUCGUGUUUUUCCUGCACCUGCUGCUAUUGAUUCAUCACCGUGCAUUGGGUUACCCUGAAUUCCUGAUUUUUAUGCUACGAUGUCUCAAACUUUAUUGGGUCUAAUGUCAAUGCCACUCAUUUUGAGUCAAAUUUUGAGAAUGAUGAUUCUUACAUUCUUAUACCUGUAGGGACCUUAUCUUGGUAUCCAGAUUCGGGGGCUACACACCAUGUCUAUCGCGACGUCUCUACAUUGAAUGAGUCUACAUCGUAUUCAGGUACAUUUCCUUUUUUAAUGGGUGAUGGGACUCCUGCCAAGAUCACAUGUGUUGGGAAUUUUGUUUUACCUACAAAGACUAAAUUACUUCAUUUGUCUAAUGUUUUGUGUGUGCUGAAUAUACGAAAGAAUCUUCUAUCACUGUCUCAGUUUGCUACUAAGAAUAAUGUAUUUUUUGAGUUUCACCCCUUUUACUAUGUUAUAAAGGACAUCAUGACUCAGGAUAUUUUGCUGCAGGGCCACAUUCGUGAUAAACUCUACCAUUUUUCUCUGAUUGCUUCUGUUUAGACUAUAGUGGUUCCUUCUGCUGCCAAUACUAGCGUCCAUACUCGUUCUGACUAGUGUGAUGUGUUUACUUUGUGGCAUCGGCGACGCGGUCAUCCUUCUACUCCUGUUGUUAAAUAUGUUUUAGCUCAAUGUCAAAUUACUUCAAAUAAAUUUUCCCUUGACAAUGUUUGUAUUGCGUGUCAAGAAGGGAAGUCCCAUAAAUUGUCAUUUUCAAACUCUACUACUGAAUAUAAUGAUCAUUUUGCUUUGUUGUCUCAAAUUUAUGGGGACCUGCGUCUGUUAUCUAUGAAAAUCAUUGGCAUUAUGUUUCAUUUAUUGACAUGUGUACUGAAUAUAAUGAUUUAUCUCAUUCGCUGUAAGUCUCAGGCUGUGGAUUGUUUUGUUCAAUUUUAGAGGCUGGUCAAAACUUAAUUUGGGAGAGAUAUUAAAUAAUUUCAAAGUGAUUGGAGAGGUGGGUUUCGAUCGUUCACGUCAGUCUUGGUGAAACAUGGGAUUCUUCAUAGGUUGUCCUGUCCACAUAUAUCCAAACAAAAUAGGGUAGUUGAACGCAAGUGAUGCAGUCAUUGAAAGCAUCAAAAAUAUCCUAUCUCUAAUAAAUAAUGAAAAAAAUAGUAAAAGGGAAGUAGGGUCAAAUUCUCAGGGACUGGAUUUGCGCAAUAUCUUGUUCCGUGAAACCUGGGCAGAAUCUUGCCCAAAAAAACCUGCGUUCCUAAAAAAAUAAAUAAAUAACAUAAUUAAAGAUUUGGAUCUGGAAAUGAAAAAUAAAAUAAAAACAGAAUUAAGAAUAUUGAAUUAAAAAUUAGAGAAAUUAAAAAUAGAGUUAAGAGAAAGGAAAUUCUUAUGGGAGAUUCCAGCCUCCAGUUGUCUCGUUCCGCUUUAGGUUCAAUCCUCGGCUUUUAGAUGAUCCUUCCCAAACCAAAUAAGCCAGUUAUAGUGGAAGAGGGCGCCUACAACCACCAGCUCCAAGGAUUUAAAUUUACGAUUUAGUGGAACCUGACUCUAGCCAACAAUCGCUUCUGUGGGAUCGUCUUAUGCUAGAUCAACGCUUCUCAAUGGCGAAUUCCAUGCCAUUUUGUCUCUUGGGCUCGCUAACUUCAGACGCAAUAAGCUAACGAACCGAUUGUGCAACCUUCCCAAAACAUACAAAUCGACAGCCUUUGCAUACGUUGAAAAGCUUACUUCUUAAGGGACAUGGACGGAAGCGUCAGCCCCGUAGUGCGGAGAAACGAUGAAUACUCAGCGAGGAGGCUAAGUAUGGACUUUAAGCCUCAAGAACCCUUUUUGGGAAAUAUCGAUAACUUUCGGCUAGAUGGGUUUAGUGGCUUAUGGUUGUGGUGGAAAAGAAAAUAAAUAUAAUAAAAAUGGAGAUUUUAUUGAAAGGAAAUAUGAGAUGAACAAAAGCCUAGACUUUUGGGAAAAGGGGGAGAGAGUGUUUACAGAAAAAUAUGGAUCUCUUUUGAGUCACUUCAUCCCCUAUUUAUAGUGCUAGGGGAGAUAGUUUAAUCCUACUUAAAUUCCCAAAAGAUAAAUACAUUUAAUUGAAGAUAAAUAAAGACAAAUAAAAUAAAAUCCUAAAAUUAAAUAAUCAUUAAUAAUUAUCUUAAUAUUAAUUCUCCUAAUAUGAUUAAAAUAGAAUUUGAUAGAAUAAAAUCUCUUCUUUUUGCAUUUCAACCCUUGUGUCCUCUAUACUUGCACUUUUGGCACCAACUUUUCUUUGUGUCACACAUUGGCCCAUUUUAUCUCUAAAUUCACACUUUUAGCCCUUAAUUUUGCUUUUGCCUCAAAUUUAGUCCAUAUGAGAUAAAAGAUCAUAAAUAGGUCAAAUUAGCAGGAUCAUACUGAGAAUAAAUAUAUAAUUAAUACAUAAAAAUACAUUAUUCUAGAGUGUUAUCAACAAGCAUAGGCAUAUUAUUGAUAUAGACAUUACUUUUUUGGCCCAAACAACUCUUCCUCUCGAUUUUUAGGGAUAUGUAUUUUGUUGUGUUGUUCAUCUCAUUAAUAGACUCCCUACCUUGAUUCUAAAAAGUCAGUCUCUUUAUAAGGCUCUUCAUGGACAGAACCCCAAAUAUGAUCAUUUAUGAGUAUUUGGUUGUUGUUGUUUUCCAUAUCUGCAUACGUUUCUACAACACAAGUUGGAUUUUUGUUCUCAAUCGUACACAUUUUUGGGGUGUAGUUCGCAACACAAAGGCUAUCAAUGUCCAACACCAGAUCGGAAGGUAAUUAUUUCUUGACUCGCUGUGUUUGAUAAACAUUAUUUUUUGUUUCCUUCGGAUGUUGCGAGUACAUCCCAGCCUAGCCCAUAUGCCUUCAAGUAUGUUCCUAUUGUUUAGCCUCUAUCUUGUAGACCCAUGGAGGCUUCGCUCACUUGACCCGUUGAGUCUUCGCCUUCUGCUCUUGGUUCUUGUUUCCUGCCAGCUGAGUUGAGGUCUAGCCAUGAGUAGCAGUUAUUCUCUUUGUCCACAAGUUUCAGUUCUCAUGAAACCUCAAUUCCUUCAAAUAUUUCAUUUGUUCAUUUGCAAGGAGGAAAUACACUUAACAUGGUUACUCGAUCAAAGGCUGGUAUUUUUAAACCCAUAGCCUUGUCUUUUCAAACUGUCGACUCUGAACCAUACAUGAUUGAGGAAGCAUUUUUCAGUGACAAAUGGAAAUUGGUAGCCCAAGUUAAGUAUGAUGCUCUAAUCAAUAACUCUACUUGGAAACUUUUUCCCUUACCGCAUGGUCCGAAGGUAACUAGAUGCAAAUGGAUUUUCAAAGUAAAGAAAAAUCUUGACGAAACUAUCGCUCGUCGUAAGGUUCGAUUGGUAGAAAAAGGUUGUUCUUAAGUACCCAGGUGUGAUUUCAAGGAAACAUUUAAUCCGGUGGUUAAACCUGUUACUAGUCAAACCAUCUUGUCCGUUGCAGUCUCUAACGGUUGGUAGCUCCGUCAAGUCAAUGUGAACAAUGCUUUUUUGAAUGGUGAUCUUACUGAUGAAGUAUUCAUGCAACAACCUCCUGGGUAUGUUCAGUAAGGUCCAAAUGGCGAAUCUGUGGUGUGUAAUCUGACAAAGGCAUUAUAUGGUCUACGUUAGGCUGCAUGUGCCUAGUUUGAUAAAUUGAAAUUCUUUCUUCUUUCUGCAGGUUUUCUUUUGUCAAAGUCUAAUGCCUCUCUAUUUGUUCGGGUUAUGACUACCUCUUCUCUUUAUGUUUUGUUCUAUGUAGAUGAUAUUAUCAUUACCAAGAGUAUGUCUGACUGUAUAAGUGACUUUGUGCAACAGUUACAUAAUGAGUUUUCCCUUAAAGACAUAGGACUACUUCUUAGGCAUAAAAAUUACUCACUCGUCCACUGGGUGCCUCCAUCUAUGUCAACGAAAGUACAUCCGCAAUCUACUUGACAGGAGUUCCUUGGCUAAUGCGAAUAGUAUUCCCAUAUCGAUGGCCGAUUCUUUUGUUUUGUCUAAAGAUGGCGAAGACCAUUUCAGUGAUCUACUGAAUAUAGGAACCUUGUUGGUGCAUUACAAUAUGUGGUCCUGACUAGACCUGAUAUUGCAUAUGCAGUAAAUCGUGUUUGUCAAUUCAUGCAUUCGCCUACCACAGUCCAUUUGGUUACAUUAAAAUGAAUCUUGCACUGUUUACGUGACACUACUAAUUAUGGGUUAGUUUUUUGGCCACCUAAUAGACUGUCCUUAAUUGGUUAUGCCGAUGCCAACUGGGGAUUGGAUUUCGAUGAUCGUCGAUCAACGACGGGAUACUGUGUGUACUUUAGGCAAACACUCGUCUCCUAGUGUUCUAAGAAACAACAAGUUUUUUCUCGCUUUAUGGCUGAAGUUGAAUAUCAGAGUCUAGCUGCAGCAACCAGUGAUGUUACUUGGUUAGUCUCUCUACUAAAGGAGUUGCAACUCCAUUCUACUGAUCCACCUUCUAUUUGGUGCAACAAUUCUAGUGCAGUGGCUAUCGCUACCAACCCAGUGUUACACUCUAAGUUCAAACAUGUCAAGCUUGACCUUUUCUUUGUUCGCGAAAAGGUAGCUGAUGGUUUUCUUGUUGUCAGUGAGGUGUUGGCCUAUGAUCAGAUUGCUGACAUUCUCACAAAACCACUUCUCACAAAACCCAUCGAGAAGAUGAGUGAAUGUUAGAGUGUAGGAAAGAAUUUGUUAGUCUAUUAUUGAUAGUUUGUUAUACAGGCUGGUGCUGUUAGUGAGGUUGUCAGCAACAAUUACUCAUGCACAAAUUAUAUAUAAAUACUAUUGAUGUACAGAUGAAAAAUAAUAAUACUAGUAAAUUCUCAGCAUAUUCAUUCUAUUUCUACUAAUGGUGAGUUUGGAUGGGUGGUGCGUUUACCUGCGGUUAGUGUAAAAACAGCGGUGACGGUGAGAUUAGAUACUAUAGUGAUACUGUAGCGUGAGACAAAAAGUAAGCUAAACGCACUGCACCGCACCCAAUCGCCCAUCCAAACCCACCCUAAGUUUCCCAUAGAUACUAACACUCCAUGCAAACUAUUCUUAUAUAGAUACAGAUCUAUAAGGGAACUCAAAUUGCACUGUGAGGAAGAGAUUUUUCCAACUAAAUUGUUCUCUGAAGAGAGACAACUUUGCAACAAAGAUGGUAGACUGGGAAUUCGUCCUUGGCGAAACUUUGGAAUAAAAUUAGAAUUAAGAGUUUGAAGAUUCUUCGGAACAAUAAAUGUGAAAAUUAUAUUUGUGGUGUAAUACAUGUACUGUAUAGCCAAUAAAAAUGAUUGGUUAAUUUACUAUAUUACAUCUAACAAUUUUGAGAUGCAUGAGGACGACUCUAAGAUUGUAAUCUAUCAAAUGAAAACUAUUACUAUCUUCCAGAUAUAUAUCCAAGUAACUUUUGUUUUAAUUACUUAAUAGUAAAAUGAAAUUGCAUAAAAGUAACAACAAAGGAGAACAAAGAAAGAUUAAAUUAUACCUAACAAUUGUUUUAAUUUAGUGGACACGGAGAUGAUUCGAGAUUUAGGGUUCUUCAUUUAGGAACUCUUACACUAUUUUAAUUCUGCCCGUGUGUUUAGGAGUUUUUUAUUUUGAUUUUUUUAGUUUUAAAUUUAUUUGCAGACAUGGCAUAUAAAAUAAAAUAAUGCCAUGUCAGCAUUUACAUACAGUUGAUCUUCUACUGACUUAAGUAAAAUGAUGGUUUAAUUGCAUACUAGGGUCUUUGUUAAUUAUUAUCCAAGUCCUUUUCUAUUAAUUCUAGUAUUUCUUUUCUCUACUCAAUUGACAUGUUACUUUUCCAAAUCCCACAAAUUAGUCCUUAUACUAUAUAUGUUUAAUAACUUCAAUAAUAAUUUGUUUAAUAAUUUACUUAAUAAUUCUCCUCUCAGUUCUAGUUCUCCUCCCGACACCUUUUAGUUUAAAUUUUCGAGAUGGCUUGGUUUAAGCAAUUCAAUCUAAAAACCGAAAUUUUUGACACUAACAAAAAUUAGGUUUUUGCAUAAUGUUUACAUAGCUAAAUGUAUUGAUGUAAGAUUGCGGAACAAUGAAAUUCUCUUUUCUUUUUAAUCAAGAUUCUCUUAUUAGUAACCUAUUCAAUGGUAUUACACAUAUAUAAUCAAAUUAUAUAUUAUUCUUUUGGAACAAAUAAUAAUAUACAUGACCCAUAUGCACUGCGCAUGAGUUAGUACUAAUUUUAUUUAAAAUAUAGGGAAAUAAACAAAAAGUGCCGACUAAUAGUAUUUACAAGAGAGUGCACGAGCAAAAACACGCAAUGGAACGCUACCAUGACAGACGUCCCAAGAAAAUAUGAUACAAACAACACAACAAACCAUUAAACAUAGAUACAGAGCAACUAUAGAAAAAGGCCCGCAUAAUACCAAGCAAUAAAGUGUUCUACUUUCUCCACAGCUUGUUUGGUAAAAAAAUCCGCAAAUUGUUUCGCUUCUCUACCUUUUUGCAAAUCCUUGUUGAACUCUCUCAAUGAUCCUUGUCAAGCACCGUGGAUUUCUAACCGUGAUCACGACGUAUUCCAUGAUCAGCCCCAGCACCAACCCACAUCCGCACCCAAUGAAUAUGGAAAAUUUCCAAUUCAAUUCAUCAUCAUUAUCAUCAUCAUCAUGUCUAUCAAAUUUGUCUGAAGUGUCCUCAUCAUUAUGAUUACAGCUUUUUCAUAAUGGCAACCCGCAUAAGCCCAAGUUUCCAAUGUAGGAAUUAUUAGUGAAAGUAUCAAAUUGUUUUCCUUGAGGAAUGGGUCCCUUGAGAUUAUUCUGAGAAAGGUUCAACACCUCUAAAAAUUCAAUAUUUGUCAACUCUAUUGGAAUUCUUCCUCGAAGCUUGUUUGAUGAGAGAUCUAAUGAUUCAAGCUCUGACAAAUCACUUAAUGACGAUGGGAUAGGACCUGUUAAGCUAUUGUGAGAGAGGUUUAGGACUAUAAGUGAAUGAAUCUCACCAAGUAUUUUAGGAAUUUCUCCCAAGAAUUGAUUGCUUGAAAAGUCAAGUACCAUCCAGCUGGUUAAUAGUGACUGAAACUCCAUUUCCAACCCUUUUGCUGUAAAAGAUAAAUCUUCCACAACACAAUAUUGUUUUCCAUUUAACACCGUAAAUAUCAUGUACUCUGGUUUACUUUUCUUUUCAUGCCCUUCUCUAAUGGCAUGCAAAUUUUCAAAAAAAUUGACAGGUAAGUAGCCACUGAAGUUAUUGUGAGAAAGAUCAAUGCAACGCAAACGAGAGAAGGAAACUUUAACAUCAGAGUUAUUAACUUGACCAUAGAAUCUAUUUGAUCUCAAUAUAAGCACUUGCAAUUGAUCCAAAUAUCCCAACCAAUUCGGAAAAGUGUCACUUAAAUAGUUGUUUCCAAUAUCAAGAAGGUUCAAGUCUUUGCAAUUACCCAAAGAUCGUGGAACUGACCCUUCUAAUUGGUUGUUGUUGAUGCGGAUACUUUGUAAUGUGCAGCCUUUAGCAAAAUUUUUUGGUAAUUUACCAUGAAAAUUAUUCUUCUGUAGCUCAAUGUAUAAAAGAGAAGAACUCAAGUUUCCAAGGCACUCAGGAAAUGUUCCAUUGAAACUAUUCAUCAGUAAAUAGAGACCCAUAAUGGAACUCAAAUUGCAUAUCGAGGAAGGAAUUUCUCCAACUAAGUUAUUCUCUGAAACAUCGUACCAAUGCAACAAAGGUGUAGGAUUUGGAAAUUGCCCUAUGAAAAAAAUUAGAAUAUAAUUAGAAUUAAAAGUUUGAAGAUUAUUUAAAAAAAAGACACAAAAUUUAUUUCCCAAUAAAUAAUAAAUAAUUGAACGGAGCUUGAUAUGGGAAGGGAUUAUGGAUUAAAAAAAAAAGGAAUUUAUAGAUAAUUUAUCAUGACGAUUAAUAAGUUAUCAAAUCUUGAACACCACAUUUACCAAGGAAAAAAUUUUGAUUCUGAGAAGGAUCGCAAUAGUUUUAUUUGAUAUACACAUAACUUCAUAAUAUUUAAAACUCAUAAUUAGAACAAUCAAAGUAAGUUUCUUUAAACCAUUUCAAGUUUAAGAAAGAAAACUAUUUGGACUCUAAAUAAUUUUGGAAUCUAUUCAUUUGAAAUUGAUAUUUUAGUUAUUCAUAUUUGCAUGAUUGAAUUUUUUGUUUCCCCAAUAUAUCCUACAUUUUUCCUUAACAUCGAAGUAGUUAAAGUAUCAAAUGGGUUAUUAAUUCUUUCUUUUCUUAAAGCCAAAAGUUGAAUUAUGUUAUGUAUCGUUGAGUAUAGUGGCAUGAACCAAAAUCUUUGCGAUUGUAUUUUAGGUGAUUUUGCUUGUUCUGUAGCUAGAACUCAUCUACUCUGGUUCUCUCAAAUUCAAUAAUAUGGACUUAUGGUGGAGCAAAAACAAUUAAACAAAUAAAUAAUAAGGCAAAUCAAAAGGGUAGAAGUCUAUUGUUAAUCCCUACGUAUAAAAGAUAAAUUUUACAAAUAAUAAAUAUAUUUUCUAUUAAAAUAUAAAAACAAAAUAGUCAAUACUCAUGAUCAUUUUCAGCAAUUCAAAAGAUUUUAUAUGUUUGUGACUUAGAAAUGAUAUGUUAUGAAUUAUAGAUUAUAAAUAAUUUGAUUGGGUUAGCAAUACCAUAAAAGUUUGCUAUAAUGAAUUGUUAAAUUUUGUAAAUUUGAGGUGUAAUUAUAUGAUUUUAGUUUUCAUGUAUCAAGUCCUAGUAGUUGCAAAAUAUAUUACCAUGCCUUUUUCUUGAAGUCAACAAUCCUAUUUUACCCAUUAUUAAAAUAAAAAAAAAACAUCCUAUUUUAUCCCAUGCACUUGAAUAGAGUGGUGCAAUUUUAAACAUACCUAGUUCUAUAAAAUUUUAUAGGAGCUGGUUUUAUAUAUUAUAUUGAUUAAGAAACUAAAAUAUCAAAAAGCUAAAAUACACUGCAUCAAUAAAUUAAAAAAAAAGUAACUUAGCUUACCAGAGAUGUUGUUUCGUCCGAUUGAGAAAUGCACAAGUGAAGUCAAAUUUGUGAUUUCUGAAGGCACAGUCCCCUCCAAACGAUUCUCAUACAAAUAUAGGACUUCUAACUCCUUGCAUUUGAAUAAACUCAUUGGAAUUCUCCCAGAAAGUUGACAUUCACCCAAAUCAAGAUAAGAUAAUCGAGGAAGGUAAUCAAACAUAUUUGACCAGACAUAACCGAAGAAGUUGUUGGAUCCCAGUCCAAUAUGUAGCAAUGAAGAAAUGUUGAAGAUUGAAGAGGGAAUAGAACCUGCAAUAAAUGUUAAAUAUGUGACUCCAUCCAACAUUCAACUAUCUAAAGCCAAUUUGAGCUAAUGACUGAUAACGAGAUUUGUUUCAACAUGUGUUCAAAUUGCCCAAACAAUUAAUCACGAUAUCUGUUUUCCUUUAAAUUGACUUAAUGUGGCAUCAGUUUAUCUUUUAUUUAAAAAAUAAAGAUUUACUCUAUAUCUAUGUUUCAUCAUGAACUUUAUGGUUAUUGUUUAAAGUCAUGCUUCAGCGUUUCUCAUAAAAAUUAAAUAAGAAAAAACUAAUGAAAUAUCAACAAACGAACUGUUUACCUUUGAGGUGGUUGUAAGAAAGAUAAAAAUAUUGGAGCAUAAUCAAAUUUCCAAUUUCUAUAGGCACAAUUUCCUCCAUAGAGUUGUUAUACAAUGAUAAAUACGUCAACUCUUUUCACUUGAAUAAGCUAUUCGGAAUUCUACCAGAAAUCUGGUUCCCAGUCAAGCUUAGUACUUGCAAUUUAGAAAGAUUAUCAAAUAUUCCUGAUUGUAAAUAGCCUGCAAUGAGAUUGUACGUUAGUUGUAAAACCAAUAUUUUACCAAUGAAAACAUAUUCAAGGUCAAGAACAGUAUGAUACCUGAAAGAUUAUUAUCAUCCAAAUAUAACCAUUUCAAGUUUGAAAGGUUCCCGAUUGUUAUAGGAAUCUGCCUUUUGAAAUCGUUGUCAUACAAUAUUAACUUUUCUAGUUUUGAUAAACUGCCUAAAGUAGAUGGAAUAACACCAGUAAAGUUGUUACCAUACAUAUAUAUGCUUUGAAGUUUAGCGAAGAAACCAAACCAUGAUGGCAUUUCUCCAUUGAAAUUGCUGUUACCAAAGUUUAAAUAUUUCAGUCGAUGCAAAUUCGUUAACUCAAUGGGUAAAGAGCCGUGGAAACUAUUGUAAUGAAUAUCGAGCCACUCAAGGAAAGACAAACUUCCCAAUUCAGAUGGGAUGGUGCCUGUGAGAUUCAUACUUGACAAAUUUAGAGCAACUACGACUCUUUGAUACCUAGACCCGCAGGUGAUACCAAUCCAUUGCAAACUGAAGUAGAAGUAGACCAAUUGAUUGUUAAGAGAUUGUGAGGAUCAUGACUUAUACGAGACUUUAGUACUAGAAGAACUGAUUGAUCAAAGGUAAGGUUGGAUGAAUUCAAGGAAAAAAUAGCAGCAAAGGUUGCAAAUAGCAACGCAAACAUAAGAGGGGGGAGGAAGCCAAUUUUUGCCAUAAGGUUGAGCGUGGGUAUAAGGUAAAUCAUAAGGAGAGAAACAGCUGAGUUAUUAUUCUUUAAAUACUUUGAUUCUAAGGAUUAGACAAUGCAUUCAUUGGCUCAUAAUUUGUGUAAGAAAUAAGUACAAUUAUUGGACUCCAACUGCAAUACACGGUACAAAAAGAAAGCCUUAAAUGCAAGACUUGGUCUCAAGUUGAAGAGUAGAUAAAUAAUUCAGGCCCCAUCAGAAAUGAGGAAACUCCGGUCACCUUUUAUUUUUUCAACGAUCAUGCAUCCAAUUGCAGUAAGACUUAAAUACUCCAACCGUUUCCAAAAUAGACAAGUCAGGAGGGCAAAGAUAAACAAUACAUUAAUUACAUAUCCUUUUCAUAAAUAUCAUUUUCUUUUCUUUCAAAAAAAAAUCUUUUUUUUCUUAAAUAUUAUUUUCUCUUCUUUAAAAAAAUCAUUUUAUUUUAAGUUGAUUAAUUUGAAUAUAUAAUUUUCUCUUUUCGAAAUUUACCAAUAAGAUGAUUUGAUUAAAGAAUUUUUUGAAAAUUAAUUUAGAAAUUUUAAGUGAUUUUUAGAAAAUUUAAUUUUGAUCAAGUAAAUUUAAAUUAAAUAAAAUAAUUAAAAUUAAUAUAAUAUUUUGGAAAAUUAAUUUUCGAAUCAAACAAUUGGUCCAAUGGAUAAUUGAACUUGAAAAUUAGGUCCAAGAAUCCAAAACCGAGAUCGAGACCCAAAAACUUGUCAAAUCGAGCUUGAUAUGUGAAACCAGGUUGGCAGUCCAAUGGUGACAGGAUUGGAUUGGUCUAGCCGUCACUGGCUCGGACCGAAUCGGCUCAGGGUGUUAUGAGGGUGUCAGACUUGUGAUGGCACCAUCGGACACUAUGGAGUCGACAAUGGCAUUUCGAUGGCCAGCGGGUGGUCCUUCGGCAGUUGAGUAGUGGAGGAAUCACACUCGUAUUAGGACUCCACCAGAUGAUUUGAUUGCAAAUUACCUUAUUCUAAAUAUAAUAUUAUUUUAAUAGAUUUAAUAUUAAAGUGAUGAAGUUUAUCAUAGUUGAACUCUUUAAACUCUCCAUAUAUAAAGAGAGUCAUGAGUCGUUAUUUUUCACACGCUUCUAAAUUUAGACAUUGCUUUGGUGUUAUAUAUUUUAUGGUGUUUUAGUCUUUAGCAUUGCAUUUGUUUAAUGCCCUCACAGUUUCUCCGUGGAUAGUGGGUUGUUUGAUUCUAGCCUAGUUUCUUCUAGUAUAUAUAUAUAUUUGUAAAUUUUGGCACGAUUUCGCGAUGAUUGACUUAACUCCACUACUUUUGUCCAAGGAAUUGAAUGGCGAGUUUUCUUAUGCUACAAUGUUUAUUUUGUUCUAGUUCAUUAUUUUCUAUUGCUCGAUGGUUUCUCUAUGAAAUUCUGAGAAUCAGUUUCACCUUUCAAUAUGCUUAUUCUCUCUUUAUGUAAGUAUUUCAUAUUAAUUUUCCAUUUCGCACUUCCAUGGCAUGCUUACAUUUCAUUAUCAAUUCUUAUUUCAUGUACAUAAUGACCAACACAUGUGGUAAGACUAAGGCACCCACCCAGUCAUCUAAGAAACUAUAGGUUGUUAGUACUUCUUCAUCUACUCAUACCGCAACCACCUACCACUAAUUUUUCACCUUCAAUCAGCCCCCUAUGAAGACUGCUAACAGCAUUUGAAGGAAAGACCUCUAGGAGUUAGACGUUGUAUUGACCAGGACGCUUUCCAUAUAAUGGGUUUAUUGGUACAGGUCUACACCCUAAUAUCAAUGAUCCAUUAGGAAUAGUUCCUUGCUAUUGUGAAGCCUACUUAUUUUGAGUUCACCUUAGAAUUUUGUUUCCUUUUCUUCCUACAGAACGUGCUCAUGACAGGGGAUGAGCCUCGAGCCAUUUCAUUCUGACUUGGGAGCGUAAGUCGAUAUUUUAGUAUUUUUGGAUUUGGAGCCUCACUCAAUUUAUACACAAAAAAGUUCAUGGCUACUACAGAGUUUUCAACUCUCUCUCAACACCCACACUACCUACUACCACUUUAUUGGUCUGACAUCACCAAGGUUGAUACACCUUACAAUCUGAGCCAAUCGAAGGCUCGUUGUUUACACAUAUCUCUACGAUAUAUCUAUAUAAUCCUAGCACAUACUCUGACUGGUCAAAAGGAGAGUACUGGAGUUGUAGGCACUUUCAAUGCCUAUUUCUUAUAGAGUAUGUAGGAGCGCCACCAGACCGAUGUUGCUCAUUUCUUAACUCAAUGUUGUUACCAUUAGAGCAUUCUGCAGAACAAAAGACCUCUUUGUGUGGGUCCCUAUGUUACCCAGUUAGAGAGAUAUUUUGACAUUCUUGAUACCCCAGUACAAAUCUCCUAUUUACGUUCGAUGGGGAUAAUGAUUCCACAUGCGUUGACCAUCAUGAAGCACAUGUAGAUGAUUCUUCGUAAGCCUGGGGUUGUAAGUAACUAAUAUAUAUUGAUCCAUCCAACACUAAUAGACGAGGAUAAGGAGCACGAGGAUGAUAAUACACCUCGACAUAUUCCCACCUCUAGUUGACCUGCUGUAACACCCACUAUCACACUUGAGGCUAUCUAUCACAUAUAGCAGUAACACUUAGAACAGAUCAACUAGUUGUAGCAACAAGACCAUAUUGAGGGUUAUUUAUGUUGAGCUUUGGCCUCUUGCAACAAAAGACCAGCAACAGCAAAAUUCAGCUCUGUCAAAGCAGCAACAUUAUUCUGAAGUGAAGAAAUGAAGCUGGUCCGAAUGCAACAACUUAUUUUGAGUGAUUUCUUAUGUAACUUUGUCUAGUCCUUUUGUAUUUUGAUAGCAAAGUUAGUAGAAUGUUUUGACUGAUUUGUAAUGAUGUAAUAGCUAUUAUGUUAGCUAUCUUUUAUGUACAAGUUAAGUAAGUUUUUGUUUAUGUAUUAACUAGGAGCAGUUAACUAUUAGGUAACUGUCCAAUUACUUGUGUAACUCAUAUAUCUUUUAUAAUUUGAAUGAAAAUAUUAGAGUUUUUUAGUUACAUCUUUGUUGAGUUUCCAUUUUUAGUUUUCUCUCUUACUUCAUUCGUUUUCUUUUCUUUUCUUGCUGAAAAAUCCAACAAAUGGUAUCAAGAGCCCGUUGUCUUUGAAGGCCUUGGUUGUGCACUGUCACUAAGCAAGUUGUGUUUAAAACAAAGAAGCAGAAGUUAUUUUUUGGUUGGUUGUUUUUGGUUGCUGUGAAGAUGAGUUUUACACCACCUCCUCCACCUGUUUUUGCUGGUGAAAAUUAUAACAUCUGGGCAGUGAAAAUGGGAACAUAUCUGCAGGCACAUGAUCUGUGGAAUGUUGUUCUCAAUGACACUGAGCCACCACCACUGAUAGCCAACCCGACCAUAGCUCAAAUCAAGCAACAUAGUGAAGACUGUGCCAAGAAGUACAAGGCUAUGUCAUGUCUUCAAAGUGGAGUCUCUGAUGUUAUAUUCACAAGGAUAAUGGCCCGUGACACACCAAAGCAGGCUCGGGAUAAACCCAAGGAGGAGUUUCAGGGGUCAGACAAGACCAGGCAACAACAACUAAUCAAUUUGAGAAGGGACUUUGAGAACCUGAAAAUGAAAGACUCAGAAACUAUUAAGUAGUAUACUGAAAGAAUUAUGGCCACUGCCAACAAUAUAAGGCUGCUUGGGGAAGAAUUUAGUGAUCAAAGGGUAGUUGAAAAAGUCAUAACAACAUUGCCAGUGAAGUAUGAAGCAAAAAUUUCUUCUCUAGAGGAUUCAAGGGACUUAUCAACAAUCUUUUUGAUAGAGCUUAUAAAUGCUCUUUAUGCACAAGAGAAAAGAAGGGAAAACAGAAUGGAAGACCACUAUGAGGGAGCCUUUCAAGCUAGAAGCAGAGAAAGCUCAGGUUCAAAUUUAAAUUCCAAAUGCAAGAAGUCUUGGACAAAAAAGAAGAAGAAAUAGCCUGCCAAGAAGAAGUUUCCACCUUGUGUCCAUUGUAAGAAGACUACUCACCUUGAAAAAUACUACUGGUACAGACCAGACAUUCAGUGUAGAGGUUGCAAACAAUUUGGCCAUAUUGAAAAAGUCUAUAAAAACAAGCCAAAAGCACAACCACAGUAUCAGAAUCAAGCACAGGCUGCAGAAGAUGUUGAAGUACAAGAAGAACAUAUUUUUUUCAGCUUCAUGCUUUGUAAGCUCGAGCAAGGUUAGCAAAAUUUGGCUAAUUAAUAGUGGAUGUACUCACCAUAUGGCUUCUGAAAAGAGCAUAUUUAAGGAGCUUGACACCACUUUCAAGUCCAAAGUUAGAAUUGGCAAUGGUGAGCUGCUGGAAGCAAAAGGGAAGGGCAAGGCUCUGAUAGGCACCAAGUCAGUAACAAAACCAUUUUUGAGGUUCUCUAUGUACCUGACAUUGACCAAAACUUGUUGAGUGUUGGUCAGUUACUAGAGAAAGGCUACUCUUUAAUUUUUGAAGGCAAAAAGUGUGUGAUCAAAAAUGCUGCUGGUGAAGUGUUAACUACAGUAGCUAUGCAAGACAGAACCUUCAUUGUGGAUGUGAAUCAGUUUCAGGCAAGGGUAUAUGCAUCUCAGUCUGAUGAAGCAAAUUUGUGGCAUAAGAGGAUGGGACAUGUAAAGUACAAUUCACUGAGUAUGUUGCAAAAGAUAAAUUUAGUCAAUAACAUGUCUAAAAUUAAGCCAAGGGAAAAUGUGUGUGAAGUCUGUCAGCUAGGCAAACAAACCAGAUUACCUUUUCCUAUCAAUAAAGCCUGUAGAGCACAAGAAAAACUUCAGCUGGUUUAUACAGACAUCUGUGGACCUAUGAAGACCACCUCCUUAAAUGGCAGCAGGUACUUUAUACUUUUUAUUGAUGAUUGUACUAGGUUCUGUUGGGUAAAUUUUUUGAAGCAAAAGUCUGAUGUUUAUGAUUUCUUUUGCAAAUUUAAAGCUCUGGCUGAAAACCAAGCUAGCUGCAAGCUGAAAUGUUUGAGGUCUGACAAUGGAUCUGAGUAUGUAUCUCAGAAGUUUCAAAAGAUAUGUGAUGAUGCUGGAAUUUAACACCAGCUAACUACUGUUUAUAGACCACAGCAAAAUGGUGUUUGUGAGAGGAAAAAUAGAACAAUCCUUGAUAUGGCCAGGUGUCUUCUGUUUGAGGCUAAAAUGCCUAACAUUUUUUAGGCUGAAGUUGUGAACACAGCUGUUUACUUGCUAAAUAGGCUACCAACUAAUGCAGUCAAGGGUAAAACACCUUUUGAAGCCUGGUUUGGACAGAAACCAUCUGUCUCACAAGUGAAGGUGUUUGGUUGUUUGUGUUAUGUAUUGGUACCAGUAGAGAAAAGAACCAAGUUGGACAGGAGAUCUAUGCCAGGGGUAUUUGUUGGCUAUAGUAGUAUAAAAAAGGGAUAUAAAGUCUUUGAUCCACUGACCAAGAAGGUUGUAGUGAGUAGAGAUGUCAAAUUCAGUGAAGCAAAUAGUUGGAAAUGAGAUAGAAUUGAGGCAAGUUUACUUGAUGAAGAUUAGAAUGACCUUGACUUAUAGCAGGCUGAAAUUGAAGAAGUAAUUGAAGAUGGCUAUGAUUAUGAACCUGUUUGAGGCACUAGGAUACUAGCAAAUAUCUAUGAAAGGUGUGUUGUAACCUUGGUGGAACCUUCAUGCUAUGAUGAUGCUAUAAAAGAAAGAUGUUGGCAAGAGGCUAUGGAAGCUGAAGCGAGGAUGAUUCAGAAGAAUGAUACUUGGGAACUUGUUAAUAGACCUAAAAACAGAAGGAUCAUUGGUGUCAAAUGGGUCUUCAGGACUAAGAACAAUGCUGAUGGUUCUCUGAACAGACAAAGCCAGAUUGGUUGUGAAAGGCUAUAGUCAGCUGCAAGGGAUUGAUUUCUCUAAAACCUUUGCACUUGUUCCAAGGUUGGACACCAUAAUAUUAUUGCUUGCCUUGGCAGCUUAAAAAUACUUGAAGGUAUAUCAUUUAGAUGUAAAGUCAGCUUUCUUAAAUGGAUUUCUUAAGGAAGAAAUUUUAAUAGAACAGCCUGAAGGGUAAGAUCUUUGGUGAAGAACAUAAAGCCUAUAAGCUCAACAAGGCAUUGUAUGGCCUAAAACAGGCUCCAAGGGCCUGGUAUGAAAGGAUAGAUGGUUAUUUAGCAAGGCUCGGGUUCUCAAAAAGUGUCAGUGAGCCUACUCUUUAUGUAAAGAAGGCUGGAAAAGAAACUUUGUUAAUUGUAUCCUUAUAUGUUGAUGAUUUACUGGUUAUUGGCUGCAAAAAUGAGCUUAUUGUGGAUUUUAAGAAACAGAUGCAAGAGGUUUUCGAAAUGACUAAUCUUGGCCCAAUGACAUACUUUCUUGGCAUGGAAGUUAAUCAAGAAAGUGAUGGUAUCUUCAUAAGUCAGCAAACAUUUGCAUCAAAAGUUUUGGAGAAAUUUUGUAUGUCAAAUUGUAAAUCUAUUGCCACACCUGUUGCAUUGGGAGAAAAUCUAUCAAGCACCAGUGAGCAUGAUCGAGUGGAUUGAAAGGCUUAUAGAAGCUUAAUUGGUUGCUUACUUUAUUUGAUAGAAACAAGACCAGACAUUGUCUAUGUUGUCAGUCUUCUUUCAAGAUUCAUGCAUUGCUGUAAUGUGGCACAUUUAAAAGCAGCAAAAAGGGUGUUAAUAUAUGUUAAAGGAACUAUUGGUUCUGGUGUGAAGUUUUGGAAGAUAAAGGAACUGAAGCUUGUUGGUUAUUCUAACAGUGAUUGGGCAGGUUCACUUAAUGACAUGAGAAGCACAUCUAGUUACUUUUUUACUUUAGGCUCUAGUGUUUUCAGCUAGAGUUCAAAGAAGCAACAAAUUGUUGCUCAAUCUACAUCAGAGGCAGAGUACAUCUUAGCUGCAGCAUCAGUUAAUCAAGCUAUUUGGCUUAAAAAGCUUUUAUGUGAUUUGAGUGAAGAGCAAGCUUAGCCUACUGAAAUCAAAGUUGAUAAUCAAUCAGCUGUUGCCAUAGCCAAAAAUCCAGUCUUCCAUGGUAAGACUAAGCAUUUUAAAAUUAAAUUUCAUUUUGUUCGAGAAGCUGAGCAAUCAAAGGAGGUCAGCCUUGUCCAUUGCAGCUCAAAAACUCAAUUGGCUGAUAUUUUGACCAAGCUAUUAGGAGCUAACAAGUUUGAAAUCAUGAAAAGAAAGAUUGGUGUUUGUUGCAUACAGUCCAAGGAAGAGUGUUGAGCUUUGGCCUGCAUUGCAGCAAAAGACCAGCUGCAGCAAAAUUCACUUCUGUCAAAGUAGCAACAUUGUUCUGAAGUGAAGAAAUGAAGCUGGUCCGAAUGCAGCAACUUAUUUUGAGUGAUUUGUUCCUAUGUAACUUUAUCUAGUUCUUUUGUAUUUUGAUAGCAAAGUUAGUAGGAUUUUUUGACUGAUUUGUAAUGAUGUAAUAGCUAGUAUGUUAGCUAUCUUUUCUGUACAAUGUAAGUAAGUUUUUGUUUAUGUAUUAAGUGGGAGCAGUUAACUAUUAGGUAACUGUCCAAUUACUUGUGUAACUCGUAUAUCUUUCAAAAUUUGAAUGAAAAUAUUAGAGUUUUUCAGUUACAUCUUUGCUGAGUUUCCAUUUUUAGUUUUCUCUCUUGCUUCAUUUGUUUUCUUUUCUUUUCUUGCUGAAAAAUCCAAAAAUUUAUAGCAACUAUGCCAACACUUUCACAUUUCAACACCAGUUCAUACUGUUGCUCCCGAGCCUUUCGAUCUUGAUAUUCAGCGAUAUGUUGAUAUUUGAUAUUUUCCCUUUUAGUUUCUUUUUAAUAUCCGGGGUUUUAUACUAUUGUUAGACUUAACCAUGACUUAGACUAUUUUCCUCUAGUUUCGUUUUCUUUAUUUUUAUUUUAUUUUGUCUUCUUCUGAUUGAGCAAGGAUAAUUGUACUUAACAUCGGAUCUCCAAUUCCUCAAGCUUUAUUUAUCCCUACAGCAUCACCCCAAUUCAGGGCAAUUUUAGUUUCCUCUUCAUUUUAUUACUUUGUAAUGUUUAUUAUGUUUCUUUUUGUUUGUACAUUGAGGACAAUGCACAUCUUAAGUGUAGGGCCAAUUGUAAACUAUCAUUUGAUUUAGCCUCUGAAUUUUUACUUGCAUGUUUUCUAAAGCAAUUGUCUUAAUUUUUGCAUGAGAAUUAACUUUUCUAAAUCUAGAGUUUUUGUUAAUUCUUCUUUGUAAUAAUUUGUAGAUUUUUUAUGCAUUUUUAUUUUUACUUUAAUGCAUGAGAGAGUCAAGCAUGAUAAGAUAUUUUUAGAAAAUUUAUUUUAGGUUUUCUCUCUAAAAUUAAUAAUUGUCUUCAAUUAUAACUUUAUUUGUGAGCUUUUGAGCCUUUAAAGCAUACAUCCUUUUAUGCUCAUGUUAUUUUUUGUUUUGAGUAUGUCAAUUAGGUUUGUUAUUCUAGAACUUGUUUUGUUAUGUAUGUUAAGACCACAUUAAUGAUUUGGUAUAUUGAGAUGAUAGAGACACUUAAGAUUUAACCUACUCAGCCUUUAAAUAGUCUGCCCACUUUAUUGCUUACUAGUAAACCCCUUUGAGCCUAAAUCCUAAUUUUUCAUUUAUCACCCAUUAUUUUAACCCUUAAAACCCCAUUAAUUUCUUAAUUACCCUUUUAUUGUUUCCCUUUAGUCGAGAUUAGAUUUUGGUAAGUUAUCUAUCAAUAUUCAAUCAUUCAAGCUUUCUUUGUUUUUAAAAAAAUGAAAAAAAGAAAAAGGAUAAAAAUUUUGGGCUAUCUUAUUCAAUUGUGAGAUCAUUAUUCAUGUUAUAAGUCUUAUUAUCUUGUUUGUUAAGCUUAAAUUGUCAUUAUUAUAUUUUUUUUAUAAAAGCUCACUUCAAUUCUGUAACAAAAGGAAAUAAAACAAAUGUAACAAAAACAAAGGAGGUUGAAGGAAUUGAUUAAUUUAAAACCAACUAAAACUACCUGACGAGGUAACAAAAUAAAAACAUUUUCGUAUUACUUUCGUAAAGACUUGAACACAAGACAAAAAAGUAGACUAAUGCUUAGCCAAUGAACCAAGAGGCUCAUUCUUAUCAUUAGGUGACUGAAUUUAACUUAUAACCCACAUGUCCAAAAUAAGGAUUUAAUCAAAGUAGCAAAAUUUCAAGAGAUAUGGUUCAAAUCCAGAACCUCACACAUAUAACCAGAACUCUUAACCAUUGAACUAAAUUAAUUCAUUUAUUAAAAAUUUCCAAAAUCUAAACUCAUAAUCGAGGGAUGACCGCUUUUAGUUUCAAAACCCAAUUUCUUCUAACCCGAUUUUUGGUUUGUUACAGAAUGAAUGUUUAAAGUUAAUUUUAUUAGAAUCAUAAUCAAAUUGACAUACCAACAAAUGGUUAGAAGAAAUGGAAGUGGACUUCUUUCCUAAGCAUUUGGACCAAGUUUGAAUAUUGACCAAGUUUAACUAUUAAAGUCCUCAUUAUUGAGAGGACUUUACUUUAAUAUCACUCGCGACCUGAAUAAGACUAGACUCAAAUCCUAAAAUGGAUAAGAACAUCUAUGAUUAUAUAAAAAAAAUCAAUUAACAUAAUUUAUAAAUAUAAUAAAUUAAAUAAAUAACUCCUUACAUAAUUGGUUGAGGCAUUUUCUUUAAUACAUUAGGGAUAACGUUACAAACCUUGAUAUUACUCUUUCAAGUUACUUUUAAAUAAUUUUAUAUAAAUUAUUAAAUGACAUUAAUAACCUUAUGAUAAUGUUUAAUAAUUUAUUAAAAAUAAUUUUUGAUAUUUUUUCAUUUGUAUAUCAUAUUUUGGCACUAAUUCAAUCAGCUACAUUGUAUAGAUUAUAAAUUAUAGAUAUAAUUACCUUGAUUUAAAAAAAAUUAAUCUAAAAUCAUAAUAUUUUUCUUCUUUUUUAUUUAAAUUAAUAAUUUACUUAUAACACCAACAUAAGUAUAAGGGUUAAUUUCAUCAAAUGCCCCUAAGCCAUCACCUGAUUUUAAAUUAUCUCUAAACUUUAAAUAUAUUAAUUGAACCAUUAAAAUAUCAAUAAUAUAUUAAUUACAUCUUUCUAUCAUUUUAUUCUAUUUUAAAAGUUGAAAUCAAUUUAGAAUUCUAGUCAUAAAUUAAAAAUUGAGUCUAACUUGCAUAAUCAACACAAUAUCAUCUUGAGGAAUGUAGAUUAGACGUGCCUUUUUGGCAUAGUUGCUUAGAGGAUCUGGAAGAAUCAAAAUAUUAGUAUUUUUAGGGAGUACCAUGGAGCUUUGAAGAGAUUGUCAAAGGUGUGUAUAGUUGAGUUAAACAAUACAUCUCUGCUCGUAAGGGAGGAAGUUCAUUGAGGCAUAUAUUGAGGAAGGAGAAGGUGAAAACAAAAAGGUGGGUUCAAUUAAGAUUCGAUGGAGCAAUUAAAGUCAAUACUGGUUAUGCAGUUGCAAAAGGAGUUUUGAGAGACCACAAUAGGGAAUGGAUCCUUGGGUUUAAUCAUAGAUUGGGGAAAUGCUCUAUGUUUGAAGUUGAACUGUGAGGUAUUCUUGAUGGUGUGACAUUGGUUCAAGGAAGACAACAUGAUAAAGUUUUAGUGCAGACAUAUAACAUAAAAGUGAUUGGGGAGAUCAAGGAGUCCAUUUUGAAAAGAUCAAAUUCAGCAUUAAUCAGGCGCAUUAUACAACUCUUGUGAAAUGAGAAAGAUUGGUCAAUUGAGUAUGUUCCAAGAGAUGAAAAUAAAGAAGCGAAUCAUAUUACUAAGUUAGCUUUUGAUAGGGAGGAGAGCCUACAACUAUAUGUAACAUCUCCUUUUAUCUCUUUCUAGCAUUUUGUAAAGUUCAUUUUUCUAUUAAAAAGAAUUCCUAGCGCAAUUAAAGUAAGUAUAAACAUAUAAUCCACCAAAAGUGGAACCAAUUUUUUAGAAAAUAUUAAAUAUACCAUAUGAAGCACAUAUCCAUAUCCAUAUCCAUACCCAUAUACAGACACACGUCUCCCUAUCCUAACAAAUAUACAAAUUAAUUAAACAUCGAACAUGAUAAUUCUAGUGCAAAUAGGGUAGAUCAAUUGAGAAUUCGAAAUAUGCAAUACAAAUUAAAAAACCACAAUUAUCUAAACAUAUUUGAAUAAUAUUUUUAUUUAUUUUAUAAUUUUUAUGAAUUAAAGAGAGACGGGGAGAAUAAAGAACAAAAAAAAUAUGAAAGCAAUAGAGGAUGUACUUUAUUGAUCAAAAGAGAUGAUUACAAUAUUUCAUCAGAGUCUCUAUUUAUAGGCAUAAGAAGUAUAAAAGAAGUAGAGAUCUAAUUCUAAUAACUAUUAGAAUUUAAAAUACACCAAAACUUUAUCUUGAUCAUGAUGGACAUCCACUUUAUAAAAUGUUCAUAACACUCCCUCUUGGAUGUCUAUUGGUAGAUAAUGUGCCUCGUUAAAACCUUAUUAGGAAAAUUCCUGUGGGAUAAAAACCUAAUGCAGGAAAAAGGGUACACAAUCUAUAAUACGUAUAAUAUGCUACCUCAUUAAAAACCUUACCGGGAAAACCUAAUAGGACAAAACCUCGGUUAAGGGAAAAAGAGUACAAUGCGUAUUUACUCCACCUCAUGAAAACAUCAUACUUUCUCAUAUUCUACAUAUUCAAUCUUGAAUACUAGUUUUUCAAAUGACUGUUUGAAUGUAUUACUAAGCAUUUAUAUCACCAUUCUUUUGAAAAUCAUGAGUGAUGGAAACUUUUGGGGAAAUAUAUUUUGAUCUCUUCAAGAGUUUUAAUCAUAGCAAACUUUAAUCAUGAUCCUUCUAUAAAAAUACAAAUAGGUAUUUUGGAUCAUUUUAUAAUCCUCUUUCAACUACUAUUCACUAAGUCAAAUUUACCACAUAUGUUCAAAUUAUUUCAAUUAUAUCAAUGAACAAUUUCUCGAGAAUUUCAAUUUGCAUCUAGCAUCCUAAAUCCUUCAAAGAUUUUAAUAUAAACUUUACUAUAUAGUGAUUCAUAAAAGGUUGUAACAAUAACCAUUUGACACAAGUUAAAUCGUUUAUAAAUUUUCAAUUUAAUAAUAUAUCUAAAGGUUAUUGCAUCCACCACAAAAGCAUAUUAUAUCUUUUCAUAACCAAUGCCAGGACUUAGCGGAAGACUUCAUAUAUUUAUUCCACUUUUACAAAACUACUUCAAUUGCAUCAUCCCUGGCUUUAUACCUUUAGAUAUUUAGACUACUGGUCCAAAAACUCUACGAAUUUAAUUAUACUUGAGUUGCGUCUUUCUAUUUUGAUCAAUUUAUUCCAUAUCUAUAUUUCUCAAUAGAUUUAUUCAAAAUCCUCAUUUUGUCUCAUUAUUUCAAUAAUAAUAUUGCAUACAAAAUCAUUGUCAACCACUUUUAUUAUUCGGUUCCACAUUUUCUCAAAUUGACAUAACUUAUUGAAAUCUCUUAUUUUUAUUAUUUUAAAAUUUAGUUUUAGGUACCUGAAUCUUUUCUGAAGUUUUACUUAUAUAUUAGUUAUGUCUUGGGUCUCUUCUGGAGCACCCACCUCCACUAUAUGACCAUCUAGAAGAAUUUUAAUCUUUGGAACCGAUCAAUCUAUUAUUUAUUCUAACUGACUAUCCUAUUAGGACUUUGAUUCAAAUUAAAAUAGUAGAUAGUAUAUAACACUUGGUUAUUCUUGUACAAGCCCAAUUUUACCCGUUACAAGCCCAAAACAUAAACCUACCCAAAUAACCCAUUACAAGCCUAAAACUAAAUACCAAACCCACCUAAAACUAACCCAAACAACCCAAUUCAAUCGGCCCAAUUACCAAAACCCAAGUUAUAUCCAAAACAAUUAGUCAAACUAGGGUUUCAGCUUUUCUGAAACCCUAGGCGACGCACGUCCACUUGCCCUGCCACAGCUGCCACCGCCACGCGUCAGUCACUGCCGCUGUCACGCCGGCCACUUGCACCACCUGCUCCACCUGCAAAACAAAGGAGAACACGCAAGCAGAAACCAAUUUCUGUAACAUAAAUAAUGUAUUUCAGCUAUAAAAAAGCCAGUUUCUGUAACAUAAAUGGGUGUGUUUUUUUUCUCUUUUUUUGUCCUCUUUUCAUUUUCCCUUUUUGCAAUAGACGAACUUUGAGAGAAAUAAAAAUAGAAAACCAAUUUAAAAGGGGAUUUUUUUAUUUCAUUUUGGGUUCGAUUCUUUUAUUGGAUUUUAAUGGGUGUGUUUUUUUUCUCUUUUCUUGUCCUCUUUUCAUUUUCCCUUUUUACAAUAGACGAACUUUGAGAGAAAUAAAAAUAGAAAACCAAUUUAAAAGGGGAUUUUUUUUAUUUCAUUUUGGGUUCGAUUCUUUUAUUGGAUUUUAUUGUUCUUUUUUUUCGCAUACGAAAAUAAAACAAAAAAAGAAAAGGAUUAUCGAAACUAUCCUGUAUUCGGGUUGUUAACGCCGUGGACGGCCGAAGGAGUCACCUCCGAGGAUAGGUGGCCAGAAAUCGAAAGGUUUCUCGAGCUUUUAGGGCGUUUUUGCUAGUGUUUCGGGAUUUUUGGCCUUAGAUUUGAACUCAAGGGCUCAAGAUCUUAAAAAGGGGACUUUUUACCUUCGUCGGCCACAGUGCGCGGCGGCGCCGACAUCGGCGAUCGACGGCCAGCACGGUGGCCAGUGGCCGGGCCCCAGGCCGGAGAAAAGGGGAAAGUUGAGAGGAUUUUGGGGGGGUUUUAGGAAGAAAGAAAAAUGAAAUUUUUUGAAAAAAAAAUGGGUUUAAAUAGGGAAGCAAAACGGCUUCGUUUUGCUCAGCCCUUUAAAACGCCAAAACGGCAUCGUUUUAAGGCUAUCCGACUCGACCCGACCCGACCCGCUCCAGGCCAGGAUCCGCGUGUUUUCGUUGGAAGGGCUAAUUGCACCUUUAGCCUUUCCGCCUUUUUUAGGCUUUUUAAUCAAGUAUUUUUAUUUUUUAAUUUGACCCCAUAAUUUGUUGCAUUUACAAUUUGGUCCUUAAUGAAACUGUACGUUUUGGGGGGAAGUGAAAAUUACCUGUUCAGUCCCUCCAUGUAUUCGCGUGUUUAGAUUGGUCCUUCCCUUUUAUUUUAUUUUUGAUUUUGCCCUAAAUCUUUGUUUUAGAAUUUAAAUUAGUCCUUUUUUUGUUAUUUUGUUAAUUAACUUAGUUAUUAUAAUAUUUUUAUAUUUAUUUAUUCCUCACUAUUAUAUUAUUAUAUUAUAUUAUUAGUUUUGUAUUAUUAUUGUUACUGUAUUUCUAUUUUAUUUAUUUAUCUAAGUUUAAAUAUCUUUUAAUCUUGUAUUAUUAUUAUUAUUAUUAUUAUUAUUAUUAUUUACUCAUUUAUACCUUUUUAAUUUUAGAUUUUGUUAUAUAUAUAUACAUACAUAUUUUUAAUUUAUAUAUAUGUACAUACUUGUAUAUUUUUAUACUUUAUAAUUUAUAUAUAUACAUAUAUACAUACACAUUUUUUAAUAUAUUUUUAAACAUAUAUACACAUUAUCAUUAUUUACUUGUUUAUAUAUAUAUAUUAUUUUCAAACUUUGUUGUAUUCAUUCACAUAUAUUUUUAUAUUUUUAUAAUUUUAUUUAUUUUCAUUAUUGUUAUUAUUGUUUUACUCGACAUUUAUUUAUUUAUGUGUCCAUUAUUGUUUUUACUAUUAUUAACAUUUUAGUCAUUUAUAUAUCAUUUAUUUUAAGUAAUCGUUUAUUAUCGUUUUUAACCUAGCUCUAGUUUUUAUUCACUCUCAUAUCUCUUACGUAUUUAUUUUACUUUCGCCUUUAAUUAGUACCGUUUGCAAUAUUGCAUUCAUCAUUUUAUGUAUAUUAACCCUAUGAUUUGUUUAUAUGUUUUACUAUAAAAUCGCGUACCUUUUACUCGAUGCAUUUCAAAUGUUGUUCUAACUAAGCUUGUAUUUUGAGAUUCGAUAAGGUCGUACCCUAACUUAUGGGGUUCCGAUUUUUUCGAUAAACUCAAAUACAUGAAUAUUUUCAAACCUAAGUUUUUUAAACGAUAUCAGGAAUUAAAGAAGAGAUUGUGUCCUAACUUAUUGGGCAUGAUCCUUUUUUCCUCAAGUUUUAAACGAUCUUGGGAAUUAAGAAAAGAUCGUGUCCUAACUUACUCGGCAUGAUCCCUUUUUUAAUCUGAGACAGUUAAAUAUCUUUUAAAUAAGUAAAUUUUUGGCAUUCAUUCACACAUCGGGAAUUCAAGACAUUGUGUCCUAACUUACUGGCUAUGAUUCCCUUUUCCCGAAAAUUUUCAACAUUUCAAUAAAUGAUCGUAUUUUAAAUCUCUUUGAAGUUUUCAAUCUUCGACACUAAGACACUAAUUAAUCAACUAGGUACCAAUUUUGGGCGUUACGAGGGUGCUAAUCCUUCCUCGUACGUAACUAACUCCCGAACCCAUUUUCUGAUUUUUGUGGACCAAAAUUAUUGUUUUAAUAAAAUUAAACCAUUUAUUAAAAACAACCAUUUUACGAGGUGACCCGAUCACACCUUAUUAAAAAGGAUUGGUGGUGACUCCCAUAUUCAUUUUCAUUUUUAAAAUCCUAAGUCGACCCCGUUUUAUCAAAAAAAUGGUGUCAACAGCUUGGCGACUCCACUGGGGACCCAAGAGAGUCAAGCCGUAAAUUGAUUAAUUUUUGUCUUUUUGUCAAAAAUUGAAAACUUGAUUUAAAAUAUACGAUCCUUUCGUUGCAUUUCAUCCGUCUUUAUUAUGAUAUUCAUCAUUGUGGUUUAUAAUUGCUGUGUUAGUUUAAGUUUUGGUAUAUUUCUGCACAUUGUAUUGCAUGACCAUUCGGUUAUACCCUUUUAAGUGGGAGUGAGAAACUACGCCUUCGUGAGGUUUUCACCUUCGCAUGGGAUAGUGAAUCGCUUCCGGGAUACAUCCGUACCUAUGUCUUCGUGAGAUUUUCAUCUUCGCAUGGCCAUAGGGAAAUGUAUUCCCCUGAACUGAACUUGGUCUAUAUGAGCCUAUGAUGGGUGAGGAUCGAGGAAUCUACUGGUUCAGGUACCCUUUACUUUAGAGUCAAACCGCAUGUAGUGAGCCCUAAGAGCCUACCCUAUGUAGAACCACUCCAAACCCCUAGUGGUUACCCGACUAGGUACCUUUUUUUUCUUCUCGUUUGCCUUUGUACUAACUUGUUUGUUUUUGUUUUGAUUAUGAUUGCAUUGCAUUUGCCUCUUAGAAAAGAGAUGUUGAUUCAAGUUCGAUUACUAAAUUAGAAAUUUUGUCGUGGAAUACGAAUUUCUUGAUAAAGUGGAAAAUAAUACGGCUACCUGAAUAUAUUCCGAGAAACACAAGAAGGGCGAUGGAAGAGUUUGUUACUUUACUUCGUGGCCCGAGGAUUCAAGAUGAUUGUCUAAGAGCCUUCGACAUUACAAUUUCCUUAAAGAAGCUGAUGAGCAUUAUAAGGAUAGGCAGACAAUAGAUCACGACCAGGAUCAAGCAAAAGGAGCUAAUAGUGACAUCCAUUGGAAAUUUGCGAGAUUUAUCUUAAACAUACAGAUGAAGGAAAUGAUCGAUGUUGUCUCUUGGAAUAUGAGGGCGAGGCCGUACAUGCAUCUGUUUUAUGUAAAGAAGUUUAUUUUCUAAUAAAGUUUUCUAAAUGUAAUUGAAUUAGAGUCAAUAUCUAUUUAGGCAUUCAUUUCAUGCAUUUGCAUUACAUGACAUCAUAUGCAUUAAAGGUUAUUAAAAGGACCUAAUUGAUUAAAAUUAUUCCUUAACUAAUCUGGAAAACCAAUCAACCAAACACUCUUACGGUACUCAGGCAAAGUGGAAAAAUAUGGAUCAAAGAUUGAAAAGGCUCGAACAACUCCAAAAGGAGAUGCAAGACCAAAUGCAGGAGCGGUUGGAAAAAAUUCAACAAGAUAUGAGGGGCAAAAUGCUGGAGUCUCAAAGAAGAAUGAUGGCUCAGUUGAUGCAACUGUUGGCUGGGGGAAACGACAAAAGAAAAUACCCCAUGGUUAAAGCUAAAGAAGGAAAUAAUGAUGGAUCUCUCUAUCCUCCAGGCUUCACUCCUCCACAUGUGCAAACCCAAGCUGAGGUGCACCCACAUAGAUCCUCUAUUACAAUCAGGCCUCAGCAGUUUCAGGCUGGUACCUUAAUGCCAAUGAAUUUCCAAGCUGGAUUAGGUUCUCAUCCCGGGGAAGCCCCUAUCAAUCCCAUCGUACCCGAUUUUGACAAAGUGGCUAAAAAACAAAGGAAGAAUUACCAAAAUAGCUAGAAGAAAGGCGAAAAUGGAUUGAAGAGAAAUUCAGGGCAAUAGAAAGUACUGAGAGCUAUUGUGGGAUCGAUGCUAAAGAUCUGAGUCUGGUCCCGAAUUUGGUACUCCCCUACAAAUUCAAAAAGCCAGAAUUUGAGAAAUACAAUGGGACUAGUUGCCCUGAAGCUCAUACACUGCUUUAAAGAUAGCCUCACAGGGGCAGCGUUUAAGUGGUACAAUCAAUUUAGCAGUACCCAAAUUAGUUCUUGGAGGGAUUUAGCACAAGCAUUUAUGAAGCAGUACAAUCAUAUGGAAAAUAUGGUCCCUCAUAGAAUCACCCUGCAAAAUAUGGAAAAUAAGCCGAAUGAAAGUUUUAGGCAAUACGCACAAAGGUGGACGGAGAUUGCCGUCCAAGUUCAGCCACCACUCCUGGGAAGAGAAAUGACAGUGCUCUUUAUUAAUACAUUGAAAGCCCCGUUCAUCACACAUAUGCUAGGAAGUGCCACAAAAAUUUUUUCUGACAUAGUCAUGAAUGGUGAGAUGAUCGAAAGUGUCAUAAGGAGCGGAAAGAUUGAUGCUGAGGAGAAUAAUAAAAGGUCAUCCUAGAAGAAAAAGAAAAAUGAGGUGAACAACACGAGUACAUAUAACAAGGGUUAUUCAAAACCAAUUACGGUGAAUCAGCCAAGAAAAAUGAUCACUAACCAACAAGGCUCAUCAAGACAAGAAUCUGGAACAAGACAAAACACUAAGAAACUUCAGUUCACGCCAAUUCCGAUGUCGUAUAAAGAGCUGUAUCAAAGCUUAUUCGAUGCACAUUUUAUUGCCCCUUUCUACUCAAAACCCCCACAACCUCCGUACCAUAAAUGGUACGACACGAAUGCACAAUGUGAUUAUCAUGCGGGAAUUAUGGGACAUUUCAUAGAAAAUUGCAUUGCCUUUAAAAAAGUGGUUGAAAGGCUUAUCAGUAUGGGCAUUGUCAAAUUUGAUGAUUCAUCUAGUGCAGAAAAUUCGCUACCCAAUCACAUUGAUAAUGGGGUGAAUGUGAUGUAUGAAAAAGUAUUGAGAAACGUUCACAUCAAUGCCAUACAUGAAGACGCAAUUAAAAAAGGACCUUGUUAGAUAUUCGCCCUUAUAAACUUGGGAGUGUUCUGAAUAAUCGGACUGUAGAAGAAAUCCCUGUAGUAUUUAGAGCUUGCUCAGAGUAAUAUCCAGAACACACUCAUUGCUUUUAGCCUAGAGGCAAUAAGAACUCUUUUGUGAAAUAGGCUUAUGUCUGAACGUCGUUAUUUUAAUAAAAUAUAUAUUUGCGAUCAUUUUUGAGCCAAUAUUCUUUCAUUCUUUACGAAUAAUUAUUUUUGAUUCUUUCAUUCUUUUAAAUUUUCUUCCAAAUCAAUCUUUCAUUCAUAAUUAUACUAUAUAGAUAAUUAUUCUUAAAUUUAUACAUUUUUUAUAUAUUAUUUUAUACCUACAAUAGGUCCUAGGAUAUCAACAACAUGAGUGACACUGCUACAGACUUAGAAUCUCCUUUUGAGUGAGACAUGUUUUUAGAGGGAUCUCAUGACUUUGAAGAUGACAUAGUUGUAGCCUAUCUCUGGACUUAUUGAGGAUGGUAGAACAAGAUAGAAAAUAGAUCCUACCCUACAAAGAAUCAUUAGAAUCCAUGACUUCUCCCCUAUGUGGGGCAUGAAGGUCAUUGGGUUGAUCUCACCAAAAGAUUCUAGCGAUCAUCGAUUUAUCUUCGUAGGUAGAAGCCGCUUCAUAUGCCAAUGUCACAAAGUCGACAGUCAGCAAAUUCUUGAAAAUUCAUAUGUUGGUAUAGAAUGCCAAAAAGGAUCAUAUCUGACAAUGCACUAAAUUUGAACAACAGCACAACAUCAAAAGUUUGUAGUCAGUUCAACAAUAACACCAUGUCGCCCCAAAGUGAACAGUGCAGUAGAGGCUAAAAAAAAUUCUGCCAGGGUAAUGCCUUUCUCUUGGGCUUAUCGCGAUUUUACCUAUUGAAGACAAGAUUCUUUUUCUUUAAGUUUUUGAAUCUAAUCCUGAUUAAAGAUGAAUGUUCAAAGCUAUCCAUCAUGGUCAAAUGUGCCAAAAGCAAAUGAUGCGAGCUCACAAAAAAAAAAGAGUUCACCCUAGAGGAUUUCACGAGAGGAGCCUAGUAUUGAAGAAGAUCUUUCCCAUACAAAAAAGAACUUCAUAAGAAAGUGAAUGUCAAACUGGGAAGGACCUUAUGUGGAAGGCCUUAUCUAGAAAAGCGUUGAUUUUGAUAAGAAGGGAUAACAAGAACAUGCCUAACCCUAUGAGUUUGGAUUCAAUAAAAAUAUUUCAAAAAUAAAAAGAAGAAAAAGAAAAUAAAAGAAAAAGAAAAAGGAGAGGGGCAUGAGAUGACCAAAGUAGCUCAAAUUUUGAUUAGAUUGGGGCAUGUGGUAAUCUUGCUAUACCCGAAUCAACAGGAAAGGGUAGGCGACAUCUUGGGGCAUCGACAAAGUCCUGUAGAUCUCCUAAACACAUGUCAAACUCAGAAUGGUCUUCAGAAAGUUUGUACAGAGAAGUUCAAGCUGCGAUAUCUAGGGCACCUAGUCUUUAUACUAUUUAUUUUGAAUUUUUUGUUCUUGGAAUACUUCAUUCUCUUCCAAGAUACGUGUUCCCCAAUCAAUUCUUUUUUUAUUCUUGAUAUCCUUAAUAAUUUAUUUCAAGCUAUGCUCCCAAAUCAAUUCUAUUUUUUUCGUCAUGAUCUUUUCCAAGCAUGUUGCAUUGGAAUAAUGAUUAAUAGACUAAUAAUACUUUCACAAAGGAAGUUUUGUAUAUUACUCUAGAAGUUUCUAAAUAAUAUAGGAACCUGAAACAGAAAUAUUGUUUAGAAAACACCAAGCUUAAAAGUUGAAAUAUCUAAAAAGGAAAAGUCUAAAUUAAGACCACACUUUUGGAUUUUGUCGUCAAAACAUUGAUUGAACAAAAUGACAAGAUGCCAGAGCUUCAAUGAACAAACAAGCAAUGUUCACCAAGCAAGAAGAAGAGGUUUCCUGGGAGAAGAAAAUUCUUCAUUGGUGCAUGAGCAUUUAGUAUGACACCCUGGGAAUGGGGUAAAAGACUAAAGAGCUUCACAUUCUGUAUCCUUGAAUUGCGAUAAGAGAGGAUUGGGAAAAAGCCAUAUUUUUCUACCCUUAGGUUACAGUAGGGGAAUGAUGGUACAACUUUUUGCAUCAGUAGAUUGAACUUUGAAGUUUACAGUGGGGGUAAUCUGAUUAAGUGUUUCUUUGGAGAUGUCAGUCGAGCAAGAAGGCAUUAUAGCAUGUCAGUGAUAAAACCUUAAUAAACUUCGAGCAACAACAACCUAAGCGUUAAAGAGAGAUCAUUCUCGAAAAAAUAACAUUCUGCAUUCAUGCAAACAUCAUUCAUACACGUCUAGUUAGGAGCAUUUGAUUCAUUCUAAUCAUGUCAUCUUAAUCGUUAGGCAUAAUUAGGUUCAUAAAAUAGAUUAUACAGGUCAUGUUCCCUAGAGAACAGAUCAGUAAAGAUAGCAGAUCUUACCUUCCUAUACUGACAGUGAAGCUGAUCGAAGACACCAGCCUUGCCUUCCUAUACUGACAGCGGAGCAUACUAAAGAUAGUAGAUGUUGCCUUCAUGUACUGACAGCGAAGCAGAUCGAAGACACUAGCCUUGCCUUCCUGUACUGACAGUGGAGUGGACUGAAGAUAGCAGAUCUUGCCUUCCUAUACUGAUAGCGAAGCAGAUCGAAGACACCAGCCUUGCCUUCCUAUACUGAUAGUAGAGCAGACUGAAGAUAGCAGAUCUUGCCUUCCUGUACUGACAGCGAAGCAGAUCGAAGACACCAGCCUUGCCUUCCUGUUCUGACAGCGAAACAGACUGAAGAUAAUAGAUCUCGCCUUCCCGUACUUACAGCGAAGCAGAUCGAUGACACUAGUCUUACCUCCCUGGGUUUGCAGCGGAAUAGACUGAAGAUAGCAAAUCUUGUCUUCCUGUACUGACAGCGAAGCAGAUCGAAGACACCAUAGUUUGCAGCAAAGCAAAUUAAAGAUAGCGAAUCUUACUUCUCUAGCGGUGUAGUGGAACAGAUUAAAGCUACAAUAGCGAAUCUUGCUUCCCCGACAUUGCAGUUAAAAAGAUUGAAGCUACAACAGUGAAUCUUACUUCCCUAAAGGUGCAGUGGAAUAGAUUGAAGCUACAACAGCGAAUCUUACUUCCCCGACAUUGCAGUUAAAUAGAUUGAAGCUACAACAACAAAUCUUAUUUCCCUGGCGUUACAGUGGAAUAGAUUAAAGCUAAAGCAGAGUAGAUUAAAGCUGAAUGCAGCGAAUCUUAUCUCCCUGGCGUUAAGACUGAAAGCAGCAGAUAUUGACUUCCUAUAUUGGCAGCGAAGUAGAUCGAAUAUACCAGCCUUGUCUCCUUGAGAAGCAGUGGAGUAGGUUGAAGAUUGUAGAUCUUGUCUCCCUAAGCAGUAGUGAAGCAGAUUAAAGGCAGCGAAUCUUAUCUUCCCAAGGUAGUAGGGAAGUAGAUUUAAGCCACCAGUCUUAUCUCCUUAAAGUGUAGUGGAGCAGACUGCAGUAAAGCAUAUCAUACUAAACCUUAUCUCCCUGAAGUUGCAAUGGAGCAGGUUAAAAAUAAAUCAGUCUUAUCUUCUUGAAGUUGCAGUAGAGCAGGUUGAAGUAGCAAACCUUAUCCCCCUGAAGUUGCAGUGGGGCAGGUUGAAUAUGCAAGUCUUAUCUCCCUGAAGUUGUAGUGAAGCAGACUGAAUCUGCUAAUUCUAUACCUCUAAAGUUGCAAUAGGUCGGAUUAAAUCUACCAUAACGAGUCUUAUCUCCUUGAAGUUGCAGUGGAGUAUAUUAAAGAUAGCAAAUCUUACCACUGAAGUUAUGUCGCAGCGAAGCAGGUUGAAGCAACAAACCUUAUCUCCCUGACGUUGCAGUGGAGCAGACUGAAACCACAAAUCUUGUCCCUUUUGAAGUUGCAGCAGAGUGGAUUGAAGCUACAAGUCGUAUCUUUUUCUGAAGUUGCAGUGGAGUGGAUCGAAGCAACAAGACACAAUAGACUGGAAUAAAGCUACAUGAAAAGAGAAGCACCACACUACACCAAAGCGCCGCUAAAAGUCUUUGCGGCGCUUUGAUAAGCGCCGCGAAAAAUGCCACUAAUGACAGCGUCGCUAACUUUAGCGACGUUUUAAAAAAUAAACGCAGCUAUAGACCAUGACCUUUAGCGGUGCUUUUCCACAAACGCCGCUAUAGAUCAAGACCUAUAGCGGUGCUUUUCCUACAAACGCCGCUAUAGAUCAAGACCUUUAGCGGCGCUUUUCCAAUAAACGCCGCUAAAGACCAUGAUCUUUAGUGGCGCUUUUCUAACAAACGCCGCUAUAGAUCAAGACCUUUAGCGGCGCUUUUAUCACAAACGCUGCUAUAGACCAAGACCUUUAGCGACGCUUUUCUCACAAACUCCGCUAUAGAUCAAGACCUUUAGCGACGCUUUUCCAACAAACGCCGCUAUAACUCAAGACUUUUAGCGACGCUUUAAUUACAAACGCCGCUAAAAAUUUCGUUCUUUGGCAGCAUUUAUGGAAAAACGCCACUAAAUUUUUUAAAAAACAUUUAAAAAUAUUAAAUAUUAAAAUCAAACAUUAUUAAUAUCAAAAAUUAAUUAGUAUUAAAUAUAUACUUUUAGUCAAAAAGAUAGUAUUUAAUCAUCUAAUAAAUUAAUUUUUUUAGUUAAAAUAUUGAAAAAUCAAGUUAAUAUUUAAAUAGUAAAAUUACAAGUUCAAAUAGUGCAACUAAUUGAUUGCAAAAAAAAAAUGCACAAGUUCAAAAUGUACAAUAAUAAACUUGAAAAUUUAUAUACUAAAAUGGCGAUUUGACCUCCCUAGAGUUUAUCCUAGCCCAUAUGGAUCAUCUUCAUCUUCUUCACUUUCAACUCUAUGACCAUCUUCUUCUCUGCUGCCUAUGUGAUUCAAUGCUCUCCUUUCAUCAUCUUCAUCGUCAUUAUAAGGCACAAGUGACUCUUCAGGAGGUGAAGAUGGUGAAUCCACAACCCUCUGUCAUUUUAAGUCUCGUUCCCCGUCUACACUAUCACCAAGUUCCCUUUUUGCUUUCAUCUUCUUUCCCCCACCUCCACUCUCACAAUUUUUGCUGUUAUACCAUAGUAGCAUUCAUCAAUUAAACUAAAUUCCCAUGAGAUCUUCUACUACAACCGUUCACCUAAAUAAAUGAUAAAAAAAAACUAUACUUUUGGACGCUUAGAAAAAAAAAAGCAAGAAAAUUCAUAGCCAACUAUCUAGGGUUUUUAUUGUGACCACCUUCUGUGCAAUUCAGUGCAAUUGUUGACAAGCCCAUUGAGUUCUUAGUACCCUUAGCAAGAGAUUCCAAAGAAACACCAUCUUGCAAAAGGAUACAAAGAAAUAGACUGAAACAGGGUUCAAUAAAGUAGAAACACAAUUCAUAGGACGAAUAGAAACACUUUGGAAGAUAAAGUUAAUUAAUUAUUUUUUCAAUUUUUUUAUUAUAAAGAUUAAUAUUUUCAUUUGGAUAUAUGAAUGUCUGUGAAUAUAUUCAGAAUAUAUGCUUAGGGGGCAAACAAUGGCCUUACACCUUUCGUUAAAUGGAAUAAGAUCAAUUUUAAUCUCUCAAUUAUUAUAUAUUCAAUUUAACUUUUUUUAACAAAAUUUUUACUUUUAACCCCCCAAAAUUUUAAAUUUACUUCAAGCAAUGCAUAAAAAAAUAUCAUAAUUUUUUUUUCAAAAAACAAAGGAUGAAAAUGAACUAAAAUAUAAUGAAAAAACCUCAAUUUUUUUAAAAAAUUCUCAAAAAUAUUUAAAAUCCGAUGAUUGAACCGAUUGAACUAGUUGUUACCUUAUUUAUAACUAAGUAAAAAAAACAAGAACAAAAUUUCGGAUUACACCAACUAAAUUUCUUUCAUCAAUGCUUAAUAAACCUCAUAUACUCGGACAUGUAAUUAUAGUAUGUUAACUAUAUACAUAAAGAAUGAGUAAAAACUAUAUGAUCAAAAGCAAAUAUUUUUUUGAUAAAGAAAUUCAAAUUUGAACCCGCAAUUGCAGCAGUAAACUAUGCAUGUUAUCCAGUUUCUGUUUAAGUUCUUUAAUGGUAGUAAGGUUCACCUGGGAAGACUCUGAAUUAGAUGAUUCAGUGAUGAGAGCGGCACACUUGGCUUGUGAAUCUGAAACUGCCUCCGCAAGCAAAGCCAAUGUUGUGAUACUUUGAAGCUUGCUGCCUUGACUGAGCUUAUCAGAUGAGAAAAUCUUUUCGAAACCCUCGAUUCCUACAAGUUGGUAGAACGAACUUCCAACUCAGGUCCGGUAAGAUGUUAAGCUUUUUAACUGAAUCAACUUAGUCGAAACAUACUUACCGAGGUUGCUAAAUUUAUUCAUGGCUUCUUUGCCAAGUGACUUUUCAAGCUUGAGCAACCGCAAGAUUCCAGCAGUUAACCUACCAAGAAGUGAAUGAAACCUUUAUUUAAGAGUGUGAUUGGAGAUUACUACCUAUGAAAUCAAGUUCUUUUAAAAGUAAGAUUGAAUUUACCGGUUGUUUGACGGAGAGUUUAAAGUUUAGGGGAAAAUGAAAAGUCAACGCAACAUGAUCCGCUGCUUUCUUCACAUACGCAGGUUAUUUAUUUAUUUUUUUUAAAAAGCAGUUGAUUUUGAGGGAAGUUGUUUGCCUGCACCAUUUUAUGUGUACAAACGAUAAAUUACAUUGCAUUGGUUUCCAGGCAGAAAAUUCCAUUUUAUGUCUCACCCUGAAAGAAGGAAAAAAAGAAAACAUAUUUAUAUUUUGAAACUGAAACAUAAAGGCAUCCAUGGCAAAUUCCAAGCCAUUGUCUUUAAGCGUGGCAAAGAAACCUGAUUUUAAUUAAUUUAAGAAGUAAAAUUGUUACCUAUACCAUCCAUGAUCCAACUAAAUUUGGGAUAAAUAUUCCUAAGAUAGAGCAAAAUAAAAUUCCUGACCUUAUCCAUGUGUACAUCUGCACGCCAUUCUCUUUGAAACUUUUGCAGCAAAAGUGUCAACAGUCUUUCUAAUUCAGGAAGAACCUCACUAGGAAACAGCUUUUGAAUAUCAUCUUUGCUGAUGUUCUCACAAACACAUUUACGCAUUAACAUGCGGAGACAUACUAGAAGCUGAAGAGUAGAAGCAUACGUAAUUUAUCUCACUAAGUAACAGCCAGAUAAGAUAAAAGAUCCAUGCCUUUUGAGCACACAACGCAUAAAUGCUAAUUUGAAGGGAGAUUAUAUAAAAUAUUUUUCUCAAUACGAGGUCAGCAACUGCAAUAUUAAGGACAUAAGUAUAUGAAACCAAUAUGGGAAUCAAAAACAAAUUCAACAAAUUUUAGGUGAAUUUAAAAUACAGUUUAAAAUUAUAAACACUACUACUUUUUUUUUUAGAACAACAGUAAUUAAAAUAGUAAUUUAGAUUAGAUCUUGAAUUUGUAAAAUCUAUCCAACACUACUACUGCUUUUUUUUUAGAAUUUUUAUACAGUUUCAAUAAAAUUAAUUAUUAUAUAAACAACAAUAAUCAAAAUAUUUGUAGACUCAAAUGAUAAAUUAAUAUUUAUUUAUAAAAAAAAAAACAAAACACGAGCUAAAUAGCAUAAUUCAAAUUAUUUUGAUUUAAAAUCUUAAUUAUUUCUCAAAAUAUUAAAUUGAAAUUUUAAUAUAUAUUUUAAGGCAAAAAAUAAAAACCACAUUCACAAUACUGAAUAACUAAUAUACACAUUUCUAAUUUUCUCUCAAGCUUCUUGCUGGUGUGCGGGCUAUGGAGAGUUGAUAAAUCCGUUGGUUUUCUUAUUUGUUUCUCAAUCCAACUUCAUCAAGCUUCAUUUUCCUGCAAAUUCAUACGCUUUCGAUCUCCAUUAUCUCUAAAUCCAAGCAAAGAUUUUUAUUUUUUUAUUUUUUUUGAAUUUCUUCCAUUCUUGUUUUUUCUUCGAUUUUUUAAAGGCUUUUAUUUUAUUGGUUGGCAGUUGAUUUUCUACGUUUCUGUUUUGUCUUUUAAUAAAUAGAAAUCCUCAGCUUUUAGAUCCUCUUCUGGGUUUUACUUUGUUUUUCAUUUAGAUUUGUUUCAAUAAUUUACUUUUUAACUCUCAUUUUAAAGCCUUGGAUUUUUGUUUCUUCAUGCAACAAGUUUAUCAUUUUCUUUUUAAUGUUGCCAAAAUCUAGGGAAAGCGAAAUCCAGAAACAACCAGAGGAAGUAAUUUCCAUGUUAGAUCCAGCUCCAGCAUACAACAAUCAAAACUAAACUCGAAAAGGAAACAAUUAUAUAAAAAACUUAGCCUUUUAGUAUAAAGCUAAAAUAAGUAAAUAACUAACAUACCCAAAAGGUUCUUUGUUUUUAUUUAGCUAAAUUGCCAGAUUUGCAUCAAACUCAACAAGCCAUUUUUCACUAUCAAUCCUAUUCAACAAAAUCAAGGGGGGUUGAACCCUAAAAAGAGAAGAAAGGUGGGUUUACCAACAAGAAGAACAAGGCGUUUAGCAGGAGGAGAGAAGCAGAAUCUGUACCCUUUGAGGAGAUGCAAAGGGCUGCCAAUUUGGGGAAAUUGGGGGGAAAAAUAAAGGGAAUCGGGGUAGGGGAGAAAUGGUUUGGGAAAAAUAAAAUGGGGAAAAAAGAAAGAUUCUGGGGGAUGGGGGGAAUCGAUUUUGGGAAAAAGAAGGGGGAAACAAAGAAGGGGGAAUCAUUUGAAAUUUUGGUCUAUUUUUUAUAAUUUUUAUAUUAAAUUAUUAUAUCUUUUAUAUAAAUUUUAAAUAAAUAAUUUUUUGGCAAUUUUAAGUAAUUUUUAAAAGAAUUAGGAUCAAAAUUAUAAUUUUUAGUUUUUUGUAUUUCAUUUAUUAUUUGUAUGUAAGUUGUCCAUAUCGCAAAAUAGAUAGUUACUUAUCAUAUUAAUCUGUUACGUUUUUUAAUUUAUAUUUAUCAAUGUUUUUUUUAGAAUCUAAUAUUUAAAUAUAGUCAAUGUUUAGAUUAAAUAUUUGUAAAUAUAAAAGCAUGAAUUGAUUGCUAAUAGAAAUUUCAUCAUUCAUAAAUCUUCCGUAAGAACCUUAAAUCAUAAUUCAUGUAAUAGAUAUAUAAAGUUUAUCUAUAUCGGCUUUGAAAAUUUAAAACUAUAAUCAUCAUAAUUUAAUAUAAUAAAAUAUAUCUCUUUUACAAUUAUAUAAGAAAUUAUUUAAUAUAUAAAUUAAAAAACAUUAAUUUAUCUAAACACUAAACCCUUAAUCCCUAUCCUUUAAACCCUAAACCCCAACCCCUUAAACCUUAAACCCCAACCCUUAAACCCUUAAAACCUAAAUCUCUAACUAUUAACCCCUAACAUCUAACACCUAAACCCCUAAACCUUAAAUCCCAGCCUUUAAACCAUAAUCCCUAAAUCCAUAUUGAUCCCUAAAUUAACCUUAAAAUAGUAACUCCUAAACAGGCCUUAAAUCUUAAAUUAAUCAUAUACCUUAAACAAAAAAUUCUAAACUAUAGUGAUAAUUAAUUUAAUAUUUUAAAAUUAAUACUAUCUCUUUUACGAUUAUAUAAGAAUUUUUUUAAUAUAUACAUUAAAACACAAUCAGUAAUUAUGUACCCAAAAAACUUUAAAAAUAUUUUAAAUAAUAGUAUUUUUAUUUUUCCAUGUAUUUUAUUUCAAAUUAAUUUCUACGUGUCACUAUUUUUUUAAAGAUUUUAAAUAUUCAAUUAGAAAUAAAUUAAAAUUUAUUUAUGUAAUAUAAAUAAACCAAUUAAGAUAAAAUACAUUGUGCGGCGCUUUUCGAAAAACGCCGCAAAAGAUCAGAGCAUUAGCGGCGCUUAUUCAAAAACGCCGCUAAAGACCAGAGCAUUAGCGGCGCUUUCCCAAAAGCGCCGCUAUAGACUAGAGCAUUAGCGGCGCUUCAUAAAAAGCGCUUCUAUAGACCAGAGCAUUAGUGUCGCUUCAUCAUAAACGCCGCUAUAGACCAGAGCAUUAGCGGCGCUUUCCCAAAAGCGCCGCUAUAGACCACAGCAUUAGCGGCGCUUCAUCAAAAACGCCGCUAUAGACCAAAGCAUUAGCGGCGCUUCAACAAAAACGCCUCUAAAGGCUAGAGCAUUAACGGCGCUUUUUGAGAAACGCCACUAAAGCCCCGAAAACUCAAUGAACGACGUCGUUGGGCUUGGUUUUUUUCGGUGCUUUUCGAAAAACGCCGCUAAUUCUCUUUUUUAGCGGCGAUUUCCAAAAAGCGCCACUAAUACUUAAUCUUUAGCGGCGUUUUUUUAAAAGCGCCGGUAAUGCUUGAUUUUUAGCGGCGUUUUUUAUACAAAAGCCACUAAAGACGCUGCUAAAAGCCUGUUUUGGUGUAGUGCCAGAACAAGUCAAGAAUCAGCGAGACCGGGCAAAAUUGGUCUUUCUUAAUCUUUGCUCUAUCAUUGUUACAUGAUGACGAGCAAAGAAGGGCUGCUGUACGAGCCUAAUUUUACCCGUUACAGGCCCAUAACCUAAAUCUACCCAAAUAACCCAUUACAAGUCUAAAACCAAAUACCAAACCCACCUAAAACUAACCCAAACAGUCCAAUUCAAUCGACCCAAUUACCCAAACCCAAGUUAAACGCAAAACAAUUAGUCAAACUAGGGUUUCAAAAAACGCCGCACGUCCACUUGCCCUACCACAACCACCGCCGCCGCUGUCACAUCGGCCACUUGCACCACCUGCUCUACCUGCAAAACAAAGGAGAACACGCAAGUAGAAACAAAGGAGAAAAAACAAAAACAAAAUCAUGUAUUUCGACUAUAAAAAAGCCAACUUUUGUAACAUAAAGGGUUUUUUUUCUCUUUUUUUGUCCUCUUUUCAUUUUCCCUUUUUGCAACAGAUGAACAUUGAGAGAAAUAAAAACAGAAAACCAAUUUCAAAGGUGAUUUUUUUUAUUUCAUUUUGGGUUCGAUUCUUUAAUUGGGUUUUAUUGUUUUUUUUUUUGCAUACAAAAAUCAAACAAGAAGAGAAAAGGAAUAAUGAAACUAAUAUGUAUUCGGGUUGUUAAUGCCGUGGACGGUCGAGGGACUCACCUUCGAGGAUAGGUGGCCAGAAAUCGAAAGGUUUCUCGAGCUUUGGGGGCAUUUUUGCUAGCAUUUUGGGAUUUAUGGCUUUAGAUUUGAACUCAGGGGGUCAAGAUCUUAAAAAUGGGACUUUUUACCUUUGCCGGCCAUCGUGCAUGUCAGCGUCGACACCGGUGACCGACGGCCAGCACGACAGCCAGUGACCGGGCCCCAGGCCGGAGAAAAGGGGAGAGUUUAGAGGAUUUUCGGGGGUUUUUUUUAUGAAGAAAGAAAAAUGAAUUUUUUGAAAAAAAUGGGUUUAAAUAGGGAAGCAAAACGGCGUCGUUUUGCUCAGCCCAUUAAAAUGCCAAAACGGCGUCGUUUUAAGGUUGUUUGACCCGACCCGACUCGCUCUAGGCCAGGAUCCGCGUGUUUUCGUUGGAAGGGCUAAUUGCACCUUUAGCCCUUCGGCCUUUUUUAGGCUUUUUAAUCAAGUAUUUUUAUUUUUUAAUUUGACCCCAUAAUUUUUGCGUUUACAAUUUGGUCCUUAAUGAAACUGUGCGUUUUGGGGGAAGGGAAAAUUACCUGUUCAGUCCCUCCAUGUAUUCGCAUGUUCAGAUUGGUCCUUCCCUUUUAUUUUAUUUUUGAUUUUGCCCUAAAUCUUUGCUUUAGAAUUUAAAUUAGUCAUUUUUUGUUAUUUUGUUAAUUAACUUAGUUAUUAUAAUAUUUUUAUAUUUAUUUAUUCCUCACUAUUAUAUUAUUAUAUUAUGUUAUUAGUUUUGUAUUAUUAUAGUUAUUGUAUUUCUAUUUAAUUUAUUUAUCUAAGUUUAAAUAUCUUUUAAUCUUGUAUUAUUAUUAUUAUUAUUAUUUACUCAUUUAUACCUUUUUAAUUUUAGAUUUUGUUAUAUAUAUAUAUACAUACAUACAUAUUUUUAAUUUAUAUAUAUGUACAUACUUGUAUAUUUUUUAUACUUUAUAAUUUAUAUAUAUACAUAUAUACAUACAUAUUUUUUAAUAUAUUUUUAAACAUAUAUAUAAAUUAUCAUUAUUUACUUGUUUAUAUAUAUAUUAUUUUCAAACUUUGUUGUAUUCAUUCACAUAUAUUUUUAUAUUUUUAUAAUUUUAUUUAUUUUCAUUAUUGUUAUUAUUGUUUUACUCGACAUUUAUUUAUUUAUGUGUCCAUUAUUGUUUUUACUAUUAUUAACUUUUUAGUCGUUUAUAUAUCAUUUAUUUUAUGUAAUCAUUUAUUAUCGUUUUUAACCUAGCUCUAGUUUUUAUUCAUUCUCGUAUCUUUUAUGUAUUUAUUUUACUUUCGCCUUUAAUUAGUACCAUUCGCAUUAUCGCAUUCAUCAUUUUAUGUAAAUUAACCCUGUGAUUUAUUUAUAUGUUUUACUAUAAAAUCGCGUACCUUUUACUCGAUGCAUUUCAAAUGUUGUUCUAUCUAAGCUUGUAUUUUGAGAUUUGAUAAGGUCGUACCCUAACUUACGGGGUUUCGAUUUUCUUGAUAAACCCGAAUACAUGAAUCUUUUCAAACCUAAGUUUUAAACGAUCUCGGGAAUUAAAGAAGAGAUUGUGUCAUAACUUACUGGGCAUGAUCCUUUUUUCCUCAAGUUUUAAACGAUCUUGGGAAUUAAGAAAAGAUUGUGUCCUAACUUAUUAGGCAUGAUCCCUUUUUUAAUUUGAGAUAGCUAAAUAUCUUUUAAAUAAGUAAAUUUUUGGCAUUCAUUCGCACAUCGGGAAUUCAAGACAUUGUGUCCUACCUUACUGGAUAUGAUUCCCUUUUCCCGAAAAUUUUUAACAUUUCAAUAAAGGGUCGUAUUUUAAAUCUCUUUAAAGAAAUCUCUUUAAAGUUUUCAAUCUUCGACACUAAGGCAGUAAUUAAUCAACUAGGUACCAAUUUUGAGCGUUACGAGGGUGCUAAUCCUUCCUCGUACAUAACCGACUCCCGAACCCGUUUUCUGAUUUUUGUGGACCAAAAUUGUUGUUUUAAUAAAAUUAAACUGUUUAUUAAAAACAACCAUUUUACGAGGUGACCCGAUCACACCUUAUCAAAAAAGAUUGGUGGCAACUCCCAUAUUCGUUUUCAUUUUUAAAAUCCCAAGUUGACCCCAUUUUAUCAAAAAAAUGGUGUGAACAGUUCUCAUUAAGUCUGUAAAUACAUCUAUAGUUAACUUGUAAAGAGUUAUCCUUAUUGAACUUCUGGUUCAUAUUAGUCUCCCCUUAACUCAUUACAAGUUAUUAUUUCUCUCCCCUUAAUGCUGAGAAAACUAUUGAAUCAAAAUUAUAAUUAUAAAUCAUGUCAUAAUUGAAUCUCGAAUACAUUCAAAAUGUCUAAUAAUAUAAAGAAACUUGUAAUUAAUAUAUAUUUCCAACUUUUUCUGAUGAGUUACUCAUCUUUGUGCUUUGUGGUGGAUUGUGGUGGAGCAAUUGGAACAUAUACACACAUACAAAAAUUUAAAGAUGAGAAAUAUUUAGCUCUUGAUCAAAAAUCAAUUGUAAUGUGGAGUAUUUAUAACAUGUAAAUCAACAUAAUCUCAUGUUAAAAUAGAAAGUUUAAUUCUCUCAAGUAAUAGUUUAGACAUUAAUCAGAGGUGUUUAAUCAAUAAUUUCUCUAAACCAUUAUGCGCAAUCUUUUACAAAAGUUUUUUAAACUCAAUCUAUAAAAAGAUUGAGAUACGAACUCAUCAGUAAUAGUAAAAUGAAUUGUCUUAAUUGCAUUAUCUGAAACUAAUUGUUUAAACAAGCAAUCUUGCAAACAAUAGGUUGCAAAUUGAUAACACAUAUGUGAUUAUUUUGUAGAUGCAUCAACCAAAAUCAUAUAAUAUCAAAACCAUCCACAUGGUGGAUGACUGGGCUCAUAUUCAUUUCAAAAAUGCAAAACAUUGGAUCUCAGCUUUAACUAGUGAGUUUGUAAUAAUCAAUUAUCAUUGAGAACAAGCAACACAUGAGAAUUUUUAAAAUUAAAGAAUCUUCUGAAUCUUUAAUAAAUGUCUAUAUGAAAUCUCAAUUAAUUUUCACAUCAUAUAUAAUUCAAGAUGGUUUAACUGGUCACGCCAAAUAGUAAAUGUAUUUAUAUUAGUAAACUUCUGGUUUAUUUUAAUAUAUUUUUCAAUUGUACUAAUAAUGUCAAUAUAAAUUUUGACAAUUUAUAAUUUUAUCAUCAUUUCUUCUAUUUUGUAUCCACAUAUAAAUAAUAUUAUGAUAUUUACUUCAAUAAAUGUCUACAUCAACGUGAAGUCUAUAAUGUUAUUAACUCAAUAAAAGAAAUAUAAUUUGCAAUAUUCAAAUCAGGUAAUAUGCCAAAAUCUUUAAAUGUUCAAAUUGGCAUUAAUAAUCAAAAGUAAUUAUACAAUUUGUUAUAUUUAUUGCAAUCAUUCACUUCAAGGGAUGUGCAAAAUCAGUGGAACAGAUAAUUUAUUAUUAUGUUUGACCUUUAAAAAGGCAUUAGAUCAAUCCAAAAUACUUUUAAAACCCUUUUCUCAAGAGUUUUUCAUUAUCAAUUAACUAGAAAGAAAUAACCAAAUCAUUCAUGGAGUUUAUUGCAAAUCAAAUGUAUGGGCAAAACUAACAUUUAAAAUAUCAAACUUGAUAUAAUGCUAGUGCUAACAAAAAAAAAAUCAUAAACCAUUGCAUACAUGUAAGAAAUUCACUUCAAAAUCAUACAUCUCAUGUUCACUAAAACUUUUCCAUUUAUAAUUGUUCAUAUAAUUUCUCUAAAUAAUUAACAAAUAUAAAGUGUAUGAAUUACCUUUAACAACUUUACAAAAAUAACAAGUUUCCUAAGGUUAUAUAGUAAGAAAAUAUAAGGCAUUUACAAAAUCAAAUCACAUGAAUUGUUUUAAUGCUUCUUAUCAAAUAACAAUUGGCUAAUACAAACAAGAUUCAUAUAAAUGCAGACGGUCAAAUUAAUAUAGUAAUUCUCAUUUAAGUUUAUGAAAAUGUUUUCAACAAAAAUAAUUCAAGAAUUAAAAAUGACAACAAUUAAAUUUGAAAUUCAAUCUUAGAACCAACCCAAAAAUCAAUUUAGACAUUCCCCAAAAAGUCUUUAAAACUACAUACGCAUGUAUGAGUAUUGAAAAUUUUCAAAUUGUAUAACCAAAAUAAUAAAAGACAUUAAAAGAACGUAAUCUAUAUUCAAAUUAAAUUAAAUCUGAACAAUCAUAAAUUUCAUAGCUUUAUCAACACAAAUUUACAUACUAAUAUGUUUUUAGCCAAAUAUAUUAUUUAAUUAUAAAACUUACUAUAGCAAUAUAAAGAAGUCAAUUAAUAUUCAUUUUCAUGAACAAAUAAGAUGUUUUAAACCAUAACCCAUGAAACCAAAACUUAAAUAAAAUAAUUUGAAAUAUUUAAACCAUAAAUCAAAUUGAUUUAAUAUCUAAAGAUGCUAUAAUUGAGAAAAAGUGUAAAGAUAGAGAUCUAAUGAAGUUUGUCGAAACCAUUUUUUUGAAAACAAAAAUAAGUUAUCGACUUUAAAAACAAAAAUUAGAGUCGCCACCGAUCCUUUAUUAAGGUGUGAUCGGCUCACCAUAAAAACAAUUCUGGUCUGCAAAAUUUGAGAAAACAGGUUCGGGAGUCAGUUACGCACGAGGAAGGGUUAGCACCCUCGUAACGCCCAAAAAUCGGUACCAAAUUUGAUUAUUUUAUGUCUUGAUGUCGAAAAUUUGAAAAGAGUUUAAAAAAUUUUAACCCGUGAAUGUAUUAAAAUGAUAAAACAUUCUCAUUUCAAAGAAAUAAAACACCACACCCAGUAAGUUAGGGCACAAUAUUUUAAAUCUUCAAAAUACCGAAUAUUGCUUUUUGUUUUAGAAAUUCUUAUUUCGAGAUGACGAAAUGUCACGACCAGUAAGUUAGGACCCGACAUUUUACAUUCCCGAGAAUAAGCUUUUAUUUGAAAAUUGCAAAUUUAUUGUGAAAUAAAUACUUAGCUUGCUAAAUUCAUCGAGAAAUGAUCACGAUCCAGUAAGUUAGGACACGAUCUUUCUCGAGAAUCAUGAUUGCCAAAUAUUUAAAAAAAAAUUUAAAAAAAAUGAUGAUUUAAGUAUUUUGACCAAAAUCAAAAUAUAUUUUUCUUUAAAAGUAUGAUAAGAUGUUGAUGUAUGUACAUACAAAGAUCACGAAAAUGAAUCAAUAAUGCAAUGUACAUGCAUUUUAAAAAAUAAUAAACAUAAUAAUGUAUAAACAUAAUAUAUUGGUAAUUAUCAAAAAUAUGGACAUAUGUAUAUAUAAAAAAUUAAAAUAAAAAAUAUAUUUAUAAAGGUAUAGAAUAAUAUAUAUCUAUGUAUACGUAUAUAUAAAAAUAUUUGGAUCAUAAAAUAUAGAAAACAUAUAUAUAUUAUAAAAGUAUAUACGCAUACAUAUGUAUAUAAGGCUAAGAAAAAAUAAAAUAAUAAUAAAAUCUAUGAUAUGUACAUAUUAUAAAAUUGUAUAAACAUAUGAAUUAUAAAACAUGAAAAUAUAAAUAAUUAUAAAAUAUGAAUGUAUAUAAUAUAUAUAUAAACUAUAUACAAAAAAAAUUUGUAAUAAUAAUAAUAAUAAUAAUAAUAAAACGUACUACAUAUAUAUUUAAAACAUUUAAUAUAUAUAUUAUAUAUAUGCGCACACAUACAUACAUACAUACAAUAAUAAUAUAAUAAUAGUAAUAUAUAAUAUAAUAACAAAGAUAACAGCAACUUAAUAACAAUAAUAGUAUUAACAAACUAAUAUUUAAUUUAAUUUGUAAAAGCAAAUACAAUGGACUAAAUUAGAAUCAAAACAAAAUUAACAACACAAAAUCAAAUUAAAAUAGAGAAUGAAUUUGCGAAAUUCCGGCAACAUGAAAGGUCAAAAGGGAAAUUAAUCCCUCCUCUCCCAAAGUGCUGCGUAGCACUGGAUUAAAAUCAAACAAAUUUAAUGUUUUAGGGAAAAAUUUGAAAAUAGCAAAAAUAGUGGUUUUGAAAUGAUGAAAACAUGAGAGGAUUAAAAGCAUAAAUAACCCAUAAAUAAAACCCAUUUCAAUUGCAGCCAAUAAAACCCAUUUGAAGCCUUAAUCAAAACCCCAUUCCAACUUCAGCAACAGCAGCCGCAAGAACUGCUUCUUUCUCUUCUGCUUCUCACUGAAAUCUUCCCCUUUCAACUCCGAUUCGGAUGCAACGCAGCAAGGGCAUCAAUGGCGCGGCACCACUGGUAAGAACCUUCUCCUCUCCUCCUUAUUUCUGUUUUGCACACCCCAAAAAAACGAAACAAUAACAGAGAAAGCAAAAAAAAAAUCACCUUCAAAAUCUACUUUUGUCUUUCCUUUUGUAUUUUUAAUAUCUUUCUAAUACAACCUUCAUCUCUCCCAUUUACAGACUCGAAAUUGGAUUUAAAUGUACCCAAAAUUUACAAAAACUAUUUUCCUCUCCUUUUUUUCCUACUGCUAUCCCUUCCCCCACAAAAUAAUAAUCCAAAAAACCAUCCACCCUAAAUGUAUUCUGUUAUUUUUACAUCUAUUACCGUUUGGAUCAGUUUUUCGCAGGUAUGAGGGUCGUGGAAGGAAUGCGUCGUGGGUGGAAACGGUUGCUACAACGUGGGUCGUGCGGCACCGGGGCUGGAUGCUGAAGCUUCUAGGUUUUUUUAUUUUUAGUUUUAGGCUAAUUUGGGGUUUGAGAAAAAUUUGAUAAUGGGCCUUAGUUAUUUGGGUUAAUUUUUGGACUGGUGUAAUGAAUAUUUGGGUUGGUCUUGUUCUGAGUGGGCCGGGCAAAAAUGGGCUAUUACAGCUGCCUCUCUUUGCUCGUUGUCAUGUAAUGGGAACAGAGCAAAGACUAAAAAGCCCAAUUUUGCCCGGUCAUACUAGACCUUGGUGCUCCUCUUCUUUUUUAAAUAGCCUCAUUCCUUUCUAUUGCAUCUUCAGAGGUAUAGGAACUAGUGCUUCAAUCCACUCCACUGCAACAACAAUGAAAUAGGAUUUGGGUUUUCAAUUCAUUUAACUGCAAUGUUGGGGAAACAAGAUUCGCCGUCAUGACUUCAAUCUAUUCCACUACACUACCAGAGAAGUAAGAAUUACUGGCUUCAAUGUACUCCACUGUAACCUGAGGGAGGUAAAAUCUGCCAUCUUCGAUCUACUCCACUAAUGCCUAGGGAGAUAGGAUCUGUAAUCUUCAAUCUAUUCCACUGCUGCCCAGGGAGAUAGAAUUACUGGCUUCAAUGUACUCCACUGUAACCUCAGGGAGGUAAAAUUUGCCAUCUUCGAUCUACUCCACUAAUGCCUAAGGAGAUAAGAUCUGAAAUCUUCAAUCUAUUCCAAUGCUGCUCAGGGAAGUAGAAUUACUGGCUUCAAUGUACUCCACUGUAACCACGGGGAGGUAAAAUCUGCCAUCUUCGAUCUGCUCUACUAAUGCCUAGGGAGAUAAGAUCUGAAAUUUUCAAUCUAUUCCACUGCUGCCCAGGGAGAUAGAAUUACUGGCUUCAAUGUACUCCAUUGUAACCUCAGGGAGGUAAAAUCUUCCAUCUUCGAUCUACUCCACUAAUGCCUAGAGAGAUAAGAUCUGAAAUCUUCAAUCUAUUCCACUGCUGCCCAGGGAAGUAGAAUUCCUGGCUUCAAUGUACUCCACUGUAACCACGGGGAGGUAAAAUCUGCCAUCUUCGAUCUGCUCCACUAAUGCCUAGGGAGAUAAGAUCUGAAAUCUUCAAUCUAUUCCACUGCUGCACAGGGAAGUAGAAUUACUGGCUUCAAUGUACUCCACUGUAACCUCAGGGAGGUAAAAUCUGCCAUCUUCGAUCUGCUCCACUAAUGCCUAAGGAGAUAAGAUCUGAAAUCUUCAAUCUAUUCCACUGCUGCCCAGGGAAGUAGAAUUACUGGCUUCAAUGUACUCCACUGUAACCACAGGGAGGUAAAAUCUGCCAUCUUUGAUCUGCCCCACUACUGCUUAGGGAGACAAGAUCUGAAAUCUUCAAUCUACUUCUCUGUUAAUAUAGGAAGGUAAGAUCCGCCAUUUUCGACCUACUCCACUACUGCCCAGGGAGACAAGGCUGGUAUCUUCGAUCUGCUUCAUUGUCAGUACAAGAAGGCAAGAUCUGCUAUAUUCAGUCUGCUCUGCUGCAAACUUAGGAAGGCAAGGCUGAAGUUUCACCGGUUUGUCCUCUGAGGAACAUGACCUGUAUAAUUCAACUUAUGAACCUAAUUAUGCCUAGUGAUUAGGAUAUCAUGAUCAGAAUGAAUUAAAUGCUCCUAACUAGACAUGUAUGAAUGGUGUUUGCAUGAAUGCAAAAUUUUACUCUCCGAGAAUGAUCCCGCUUAGGUAGUUAUUACUCGAAGUUUAUUAAAGUCGUAUCACUGACGUGCUACAACGUCUUUUGUUUGGAUCACAUCUCCAAAGAAACACUUGAUCAAAUUGCCCCUCACUGUAAACCUCAAAGUUUCAUCCAUUGGGACGUAAAAUUUGUACCAUCUUUCUUCCGCUGUAACCCAAGGGUAGAAAAAUUUGGUCUUUUCUCAAUCCUCAUCUAUCGCAAUUCAAGGAUGCAAAAUGUGAAGCACUUUGGUCUUUCAUACCAAUCUCAGGGUGUCAUACCAAAUGCCUAUGCACAAAUGAAGGAUUCUUCUCUCCAAAGAAACCCCUUUUUUACUUGGUGAUUAUUGCUUGCUUGUUCAUCUAAGCCUUGCCACCAACCUAUCAUCCUGUCAUUUUGUUCAAUGUUUUUGACAACAAAAUAAAAAAGAAAGUCCUAAUUUAGACUUUUCCUUCUCAGAUUUCCAACCUUUAAACCUGGUGCGUUCUAAACAACAGUCAUGUUUCAGGCUCCUAUAUUGUUUAGAAACUUCUAGAGUAAUAUGCAAAACUUCCCUUGUGAAAGUUUUAUUAGUCCAUUAAUCAUUAUUCCAAUGCAACAUGCUUGCAAAAAGCUCAUAACAAUGGAUAAGAAUAAAGUUAGUUUUGAGCAUAGCUCGAAAUGAAUAAAUUAUCAAAAAUAGUAAAGAAAGAUAACAAAGAAAUUGAUUGGGAAUGCGUAUCUUGGAAAAGAAUGAAGUAUUCCAAGAAUAAAAAAUUCAAAAUAAAUAGUAUGGAGACGAGGUGCCCCAGAUGUCGCAGCUUGAACUUCUCUGUACAAACUUCUUGAAGACCAUUUUGAGUUUGACAUGUGUUUAGGAGAUCUACAUUACUCUGUCGAUGCCUUAAGAUGUCGCGUACCCUUUCCUGUUGACUAAGGCAUAUCAAGAUCACAGCAUGUCCCAUUCUAAUCAACAUUUGAGCUGCUCUGAUUACCUCAUGCCCAUUUUGAUCAAUAUUUGAGCCGCCCUUUUCGGGUUUUCAACUAAAAUUCCCUUUGGUCUAAGGCGCCCUUUGCUGGUUUUCACCUUAGCCUCUCCACUUUUAUUUUUUCCAUUUUUCAUUUUCAUUUGUUUUUUCACAUCAUUUUUCUUCUCUUUUUUUUUUUUGCGACUCAAAGUGCCCUUUGCAGGUUUUUACCUUGGUCCUCUCCUUCUUUAAGUGAAGUAUUUAUUGACUGAUUCUGAGUUUACAGGAUUAGACAAGUUUUUACUAUCCAUCUCACUCAAGAUCAGUGCUCCUCCGGAAAAUGUCUUCUUUACAACAUAAGGACAUUCCCAAUCUGGCACUCAUUUUUCUCUAAAUCUUUUUGUAGAGGAAUGAUCUUUUUCAAUACCAGGUCUCCUUCGUGGAAUUCUCUAGGACGAACCUUUUUGUUAUAAGCUCGCAUUAUCCGUUUUUGGUACAUCUGACCGUGACGAAUAACCUUUUUCCUUCAAUUAAGUUCAACUAAUCAUAUCGAGAUUAAAUCUUCAUCCUACUUCAGCUCAGCUAAUACCCGGAGAAAAAGAAUUUCAACUUCAAUGGAAAAAAAUCGUAAUAAGCUAAAGAGAAAGGCAUUGCCCCAGUGGAAGUUUUUUGUUUCUUUUUGUUUUUGUGUUGUUUUUUUUUUGAAUUGAAUCUGCACUCAUAAGAUUAGGCAAGUCCAGGUCAUCCUUUUCGAUCAGAAUCAAUAUUAUUCCAGAUAAGGUCUUCCUCGUAAGAUCUUCCACUUCAAUUAAGAUGAAAUCCAACAAGAAUACAGAAAAAUGACAACUUGACUCCAACGGGAUAAGCCAGAGAAGAAGGUAUUGCCCCGGUAAAGAAUUCUAACUACAUCGUUCAUGAUGUGAAUCUUGAACAUACUGCAAAUUUUUGACGUUGUACUGUUGCUCAAAUUACAAUAUCAGUACUUAACUCGGGCACGUCCUGGUAUGACCAUGCAAUAACAUCUUUGAACCCUUAAGGUAACUCAACAAGGUCUUACUUUGUUUCUCCGGUUAUGCAUGUUCCCUCAAGGUUACAAUCUCCAUUGUCUCCUCAUGAGGUAAAUUUGUUCACUUCUUGCUCUACCAUCCUCAACAAGUCUGGAGAUAGACUACGAUCUAUGUCAUCUUCAAAGUCAUGAGAUCCCUCUAAACACAUGUCUUGCUCAAAAGGAGAUUCUAAAUCUGUAGCAGUGUCAUUCAUGUCAUUGAUAUCUGGGGGCCCAUAAUAAAUAUCAAAGAAUAUACAAAAGAAUGUAUAAAUUAAUGAAGAAAUAUCUAUACAAUAUGAUUAUGAAUGAAUGAAUGAAUGAUGUGGAAGAAAAUCCAAAAGAAUGAAAGAAUAACUAUUCAGACAGACUGAAAGAAUAUUGGUUCAAAAAUGAUCGCAAGGAAGCAUUUCAUUAAAAUAACGACAACCAGACAUGAGCCUGUUUCAUAAAGGAAUUCUUAUUGCCUCUAGGCUAAAAGCAACAAGUGUGUUUUGAACAUUACUCUAAACAAGUCCUAAAUACUACAGAGAUUUCUUCUACAAUCCGAUUAUUUAGGACACUCCCAAGUUUAUAAGGAUGGAUAUCUAAAAAGGACCCUUUUCAAUUGUGUCUUCAUAUAUGGCAUUGAUGUGAACACCUCUCAACACUUCCUCAUACAUCACAUUCACCCCAUUAUCAAUCAUUAUUGGGUAGCGGAUUUUCUGCAUUGGAUGAAUCAUCAAAUUUGACAACGCCCAUGUUGAUGAGCCUUUCAACCAAUUUCUUGAAAGCGGUGCAAUUUUCUAUCGAAUGCCCCGUAAUUCCUGCAUGGUAUUCACACUGAGCAUUUGUAUUAUACCAUUUAGGAAAUGGGGGCAACAUUGGUUUCAAAUAGAAGGGAGACACCACAUGUGCAUUAAAUAGGCUUUGAUACAGCUCACUAUAAGACAUCGGUAUAGGCGUGAACUGAAGUCCUUCUGUAUUUGUCUUCGUGUAAGAUUCUCGCUUUAAAGGGCUCUGACGGUUAGUGAUUUCUGUCUUUGGUCGGCCCACAGUGAUUGGUUUUGAGUGACCCUUUUUAUAUCUACCUACAUUAUCUUCAUUAUUCCCCUUUUUCCUUGAGGCCUUUAAAAUAUUGAUUUGAGAGUUCCACUCUCGCCCCUUCCGUUUGUAACGAUCUUCAAACUAUUUUAGGAACUCCACCCUCGUCUGUUCUAUUUCUGCUUGAUCAUCAAUGAGAAUAGGAUUAGUUGAAUCACCUAUCGAGUUGGAACCUGAGCCAAUCUGGAAAUUCACUGGUGUCGAGGUGCUGGUCUGAUAUUGGGGUCGGAUGUUAACAAUUACCCUUUGUGGAUAUGCAUUUGGUUGUGCUUGGGUAUUUGUUGGGGUAAAGCCUGAAGGAUAUGUAGAGUCCUCAUUAUUAUCCCCAAAGUGGGCCACUGGGGUCUUUCCUCUUACUAACCCUUUAGCCAAUAACUGGGUUAACUGGCACAUUAUAUUUCUUUGGAAUUCUAACAACUGAUCUCUCAUAUCUUGCUAAAAUUUGGUCAAUUGCUCCUGUAUCUGCACUUGCAUUUGCUCUAAUUUCUCCAAACUUUGGUCCAUUUCUCUAGUCUUUGCUUGGAUGCCGUGAGGAUGUUGGUUUUCCAAAUUAACUGAAAUAAUUUUACUCAAUUAGGCUAUUUCAAUAGAUUUUAAUGCAUAUGAUGCAAUGUAAUGCAAAUGCAUGAGAUGAAUGCAAAAAGAGACGUUGAUUCUGAUUCAAUUCCAUUUAGAAAACUUUUCUAGAAGAUAAGUUUCUUUACAUAAAGCAGAUACAUAUAUACGGCUUUGCCCUCAUACUCCAAGCGAGGACAUCUUCUCCUUCUUCAUCUGGAUGCUAAGAUAAAUCUUGCGAAUUCUUCAAAAAGGGGUAUCUCCUCUACCUCUUUUUUACUUGAUCCUGGUUAUAAUCCAACGUCUGCCCAUCCCCGUAAUGCUCCUCAAUUUCUUUAAGGUAGUUGGAAUGUCAGAAACUCUUGAAUAAUCAGUUUGACCUUGAGGCACGAAGCAAAGUUAUGUAUUCAUCCAUCACCCUUCUCUUAUCACAUUUUCUUGGACCAUAUUCGGACAACCAUAUUGUCAUCCACUUUAUCAAGAAACUCAUUUUCUUAUGACAAGCUCUCUAUUUAGUAACUGAACGUGAAUCAACAUCUCUUUUCUAAGAUGCAAAUGCAAUGAAAUCAUAAUAAAAACAGCAUAAAAAACCAAGUCAGUACAAAGUAAAAGCAAACAAGAAAAUAAAAAAAGUACCUACUCGGGUGACCUCUAGGGGUUUGGCAUAGUUCUACCUAGGGCAAGUUCCUAAGGUUUACUAUAUGUGGUUUGGUUUCUAAGGAAAGGGUACCCGAACCAGCAGAUUCCUCGAUCCUCACCCAUUAUAGGCUCAUAUGGACCGAGUUCGGUUCAGGGGAAUACAUUUCCCUAUGGCUACACGGAGAUGAAAAUCUCACGAAGACAUAAGUACAGAUGUAUCCCGAAAGUGAUCCACUAUCCUGCACAGAGGUGAAAACCUCACGAAGGAGUAGCUUCUCACUCCCACCUAAAAGGGUGAAAUCGUCCAUGCAAUGCAAAAUGCAAAUAAACUAAUAGCCUUAAGCUAAUCAAGUAAAUAUAUAACAAUGAAAAACCAAUGAAUGCAAAAGGGAAAUCAUGGUUUAAAAAAUCUUUAAUUUUCAACACAAAGAUACCAAAUAAUCAAUUUAUGGCUCGACUCUCGAAUGUCCCCAGUGGAGUCGCCAAGCUGUCGAAACCAUUUUUUUGAAAACAAAAAUAAGUUAUCGACUUUAAAAACAAAAAUUGGAGUCACCACCGAUCCUUUAUUAAGGUGUGAUCGGCUCACCAUAAAAACAAUUCUGGUCUGCAAAAUUUAAGAAAACAGGUUCGGGAGUCAGUUACGCACGAGGAAGGGUUAGCACCCUCGUAACGCCCAAAAAUCGGUACCAAAUUUGAUUAUUUUAUGUCUUGAUGUCGAAAAUUUGAAAAGAGUUUAAAAAAUUUUAACCCAUGAAUGUAUUAAAAUGAUAAAACAUUCUCAUUUCAAAGAAAUAAAACACCACACCCAGUAAGUUAGGGCACAAUAUUUUAAAUCUUCAAAAUAUCGAAUAUUGCUUUUUGUUUUAGAAAUUCUUAUUUCGAGAUGACGAAAUGUCACGACCAGUAAGUUAGGAACCGACAUUUUACAUUCCCGAGAAUAAGCUUUUAUUUGAAAAUUGCAAAUUUAUUGUGAAAUAAAUACUUAGCUUGCUAAAUUCAUCGAGAAAUGAUCACGAUCCAGUAAGUUAGGACACGAUCUUUCUCGAGAAUCAUGAUUGCCAAAUAUUUAAAAAAAAAUUUUUAAAAAAAAUGAUGAUGUAAGUAUUUUGACCAAAAUCAAAAUAUAUUUUUCUUUAAAAGUAUGAUAAGAUGUUGAUGUAUGUACAUACAAAGAUCACGAAAAUGAAUCAAUAAUGCAAUGUACAUGCAUUUUAAAAAAUAAUAAACAUAAUAAUGUAUAAACAUAAUAUAUUGGUAAUUAUCAAAAAUAUGGACAUAUGUAUAUAUAAAAAAUUAAAAUUAAAAAUAUAUUUAUAAAGGUAUAGAAUAAUAUAUAUCUAUGUAUACGUAUAUAUAAAAAUAUUUGGAUCAUAAAAUAUAGAAAACAUAUAUAUAUUAUAAAAGUAUAUACGCAUACAUAUGUAUAUAAGGCUAAGAAAAAAUAAAAUAAUAAUAAAAUCUAUGAUAUGUACAUAUUAUAAAAUUGUAUAAACAUAUGAAUUAUAAAACAUGAAAAUAUAAAUAAUUAUAAAAUAUGAAUGUAUAUAAUAUAUAUAUAUAAACUAUAUAAAAAAAAAUUUGUAAUAAUAAUAAUAAUAAUAAUAAUAAUAAUAAUAAAACGUACUACAUAUAUAUUUAAAACAUUUAAUAUAUAUAUUAUAUAUAUGCGCACACAUACAUACAUACAAUAAUAAUAUAAUAAUAAUAGUAAUAUAUAAUAUAAUAACAAAGAUAACAGCAACUUAAUAACAAUAAUAGUAUUAACAAACUAAUAUUUAAUCUAAUUUGUAAAAGCAAAUACAAUGGACUAAAUUAGAAUCAAAACAAAAUUAACAACACAAAAUCAAAUUAAAAUAGAGAAUGAAUUUGCAAAAUUCCGGCAACAUGAAGGGUCAAAAGGGAAAUUAAUCCCUCCUCUCCCAAAGUGUUGCGUAGCACUGGAUUAAAAUCAAACAAAUUUAAUGUUUUAGGGAAAAAUUUGAAAAUAGCAAAAACAGUGGUUUUGAAAUGAUGAAAACAUGAGAGGAUUAAAAGCAUAAAUAACCCAUAAAUAAAACCCCAUUUCAAUUGCAGCCAAUAAAACCCAUUUGAAGCCUUAAUCAAAACCCCAUUCCAACUUCAGCAACAGCAGCCGCAAGAACUGCUUCUUUCUCUUCUGCUUCUCACCGAAAUCUUCCCCUUUCAACUCCGAUUCGGACGCAACGCAGCAAGGGCAUCAAUGGCGCGCCACCACUGGUAAGAACCUUCUCCUCUCCUCCUUAUUUCUGUUUUGCACACCCCAAAAAAACGAAACAAUAACAGAGAAAGCAAAAAAAAAAAUCACCUUCAAAAUCUGCUUUUGUCUUUCCUUUUGUAUUUUUAAUAUCUUUCUAAUACAACCUUCAUCUCUCCCAUUUACAGACUUGAAAUUGGAUUUAAAUGUACCCAAAAUUUACAAAAACUAUUUUCCUCUCCUUUUUUUCCUACUGCUAUCCCUUCCCCCACAAAAUAAUAAUCCAAAAAAACCAUCCACCCUAAAUCUAUUCUGUUAUUUUUACAUCUAUUGCCGUUUGGAUCAGUUUUUCGCAGGUAUGAGGGUCGUGGAAGGAAUGCGUCGUGGGUGGAAACGGUUGCUGCAACGUGGGUCGUGCGGCACCGGGGCUGGAUGCUGAAGCUUCUAGGUUUUUUUAUUUUUAGUUUUAGGCUAAUUUGGGGUUUGAGAAAAAUUGGAUAAUGGGCCUUAGUUAUUUAGGUUAAUUUUUGGACUGGUGUAAUGAAUAUUUGGGUUGGUCUUGUUCUGAGUGGGCCGGGUAAAAAUGGGCUAUUACAAAGUUCAUAUACCUUUCUUCUUCAACGGAGUCUUGAUGAUUUUAUUUCACAAUUUCAAUAGAUAGAGAUAUUAAAUCCUUCAUCAUCAUUAAAUAAAAUAAACUUCUUAUAAAAACUUUUCAUCUUGCCAUCAAAGAUCUUAGAAAUCAUGGAGAAUAUAUUUGAUUGUCGAUAAAAGGAACUAUCACUUUGAGCAAGAUCGUGUUCAUAACGUGUUAUAAAAUAAAGAGACAUGGAUGAAAUAAAGAACAAAUAAAAUAUGAAAGCAAUAGAGGAUAUACUUUAUUGAUCAAAAGGGAUGAUUGCAAUACUUCAUCAUAGUCUCUAUUUAUAGACAUAAGAAGUAUAAAAGAGGUAAAGAUCUAAUUCCAAUAACUAUUAGAAUUUAAAUUACACCAAAAUUUUAUAUUGAUCAUGAUGGACAUCCACUUAAUAAGAUAUCCAUAAUAAUGAUUAAUUUUAAAUUUUAUGUAAAAAAUAGUAUUUUACACUUAAAAUAAUAAAAAUAUAUAUUUAAAAAACUACUUUCUAUUUUUACUUGAUAUUUUUAGAAAUAGUUAUAAAAUGUACUUUGAAAAUUUACCAAAUAUUAUUCAAACGUUCAUUUUAUUUAAAUAAAUCUAAAAUAAAAAAAAUUAAAACCAAACCAAUCCAAAUUAAAUUAAAACAAAACUGAUUUUAUUUAAACUGAUCGCAUUCUUUGACACAAAUCCUACUCCUCAACGCUGUGUAUUCGGUGCAGCAAUUAAGUGGUGAAAACGGUGGGGAAACUCAUUGGUUUUGCGCUCCAUACGUCAAUGGAAAGACGUCUAGUUAUUUGUUGUCUUGUAAAAUUAUAUUUUUAGGGUAGAAAAACAUUUAUUUAAUCUACCAAAGUCUCAAAAAUUAUUAUCAAGGUUAAAAUAAUUUAUGUUUAUUUUAUUUUAUUCUCAAGUUUAAAAUCUAUGUUAUUAAAUAAAAAUUAUAUACCUUUUUUAAGUUUAGUAUGUGAUAAAAGUUUUUAUUUCACGUAUAAACCGCAUACAUCUUACAGAAAUAUUAUUUCACAUGACAUUUAUAAUUACUCAUAAUUUUUUAUUCAAAUUGAAUCUAUUAGGGAUGAGUUUAAAAUUAGUAUAAUAGUAAAUAAAUGUUUGAUGUAAUGGUAAAGCAUAUUAUAUUUUUUAAAAAUAUUUCAUAUUUAAAAUUUGAAAAUUGCAUUAUUAGGAAAUAAAUAAUGAAUGCUAAAAAUAAUUAAUCUUAACAAAUCGUAAAACGUUGUGUAGAAUACUUUAAUUAUAAAAGGAAAACAAUCAGAAUAGUGAUGAAAAGAAAAAUGUGGCCAAGUCAAGGUCUUUGCAUUGGCCAUAAAUGAAAACAUUUACUUGUGAAGUUAGGGAUGUUAGACUUUUGUAAGUCCAGGUCUUUGCAAUUUGCAAACGUUUUGAUUGGCUCAACCUAAACACGUGGGAGUGGAAGCAAUAGUUAUAAGCUCUUCAUUUGUUUGUUCUUCAAAAAGAAAAUCAAACUACAUUCUCACCAUGUUAAAAUUAAAUAUAAACUUACUUAGGGUGCGUAGUAAUUUUAAAUUUGUGAAGAUUUUUAAAAUGUUAGUAUCAAGGGGUGAAUCUGAAAUUUUUGGAGGAGCUAUGAUUAAGUUAUAUAUUUUUAUGAGAGUUUAAAUGUAAAUUUUCUAAUGUUUUAGCAUAUAUCUUUAUAGUUUUAAGACUAAAUCAAAAUUUUAUCAAUUUUAAGGGUUAAACUAUAAUUUUAUUCAGGGGUGAAGCUAGAAUUUUUUUAGGGGGUAAAAUUAAAUUGUAAUUUUUACGAUAGUAAAAAUGCAAUUUCACCAUUUGAAUAUCCUAUAUUUUUAUAAUUUUUAAAGGAUUAAAUCAAAAUUUUAUCAUUUUUAGGGUGGCCAAAGUGUAAUUUUACCUUUAUUAAUUUAAAAUUUUUAAAAUUCUAAAGGACCUAAAUGAAAAAUAUUUCAUAUUAGGGGGACCAGGACCCUUGCCAACCCCCCUAAAUGUGCCCCUGAUUUUAUUAUAUAUUAAUUUAAACUUUAAUAAAUUUUGAGGGGCCUAAAGCGAAACUUUCCCAUUUUAGGCCCAAGCCUUUGCCUGCCCUUGAAUUUUAAACUUAUGAAUUGAAAAUAUUAGCAUUUGUAAUUAUUUUGUUCAUAUAAAUAUUUUUUUUAGAAAGAUUUAGAAUAUUGGAAUUUAAAAUUUCUUUUAAAUUUUAAAUUCUUAUUUUUAUCUAACCAAGUAAAUAUAUUUUUGAAACUUUUGAAAACCUUAGUAGAAACUAAAUUCUUCCUCUAAACCCCUUAUCCAAAUAUACUCCAACUUAUACUCUUAGGGUUUAUAAUUUUACAUUCAAUAAAUAAUAAAAGAUAAUUAUUUGAGGUAUUUGUGGUGAAAUUUUUUAACUAUACGAAUAGAUUGAGAAAUUAACACAUAUAUUUAAAUUAUAUUUUAAAAAUUUAAAUAAACAAACAAAAUAUGUGAUAAAUUUUUAAUACCACUUGUAAAGAUAAUCUGACACUUCUAUUACAUUUUUACAUUUCAACAAAUAAAUAACUUGAGUUAACAACAAACUUUAAUUCAAAAUCAGUUUAAACAUGCUUUUAAUGAAAUUUGUUUAUAUUCUAAUUUCAACCUUUGUUAUGAAUUAACUUUUUUUUUCUUAUAAUAUAUCAAAUAUUAAAAAAAUAAAUCAAGGAAAAUAUGAAUAAGUAAUUAUUUCUCAAUUUAAAUUUGGACCUAUUCAUAAACAUUUAGUUUUUUUCUUUUUUUAAUAAACAUUUUCGGCUUCAACGUAUAUGUAUGGGACCUCCCAUGCAAGAUAUUUUAACUUGCUAAUAUAUGAAGUACUUUCAUUUGCAAAGUCAUACAAAACAUCCAGUCACACUACAAUAAUUGAACAUUUGUCAUAUCUCAAACUAAAGUGUUCACUCUACCUCUCUUUUUCCAUUUUUCUCCAUAGGCGGCUAAAUAAUUUUCUUCCUCUUGCUUUUUGAUUCAUUUUCAAAGAAACUUCCCAAAAUUUCGUAGUGUAAUAUCUUUAUGAAAAACCCAAUCUUUCAACCAUUUUUUGUUCAUUCAAAUCAACCAAAAAGGAGCUCUGGAAUCCCUCUCCAAAAAUCUUCCAACAUGUUCAUUCAUCGACUCCUUUUUGCUUCAAUAUUCAUAGUUUAUUGCCUCACAACGCUUACAAAUGGAGCUACACUUCCAGAUUAUGAAGGUGAUUCAUAAUAUUACUCUAGAAAGAAGCUUAAUUUGCUUAAAUAUUUCUUAUAGUAAAUUUCACUUUCUGUUUUUUCUAUAGUGAAAGCUUUGCACCUCAUUAGUUCGAUAUUGGGAGCGGACUGGAACUCUAUUAUUGAUCCAUGCAGUAGAGACAAUAGUUGGACAUUGGACCAGAAUGUUACUUGUGAUUGCUCCUUCAACGAUAACACUACUUGUCAUGUCACCCACAUGUAAGCAUAUAUAUCUUAUAAUGAAAACUUAUUCACCAUUGAGUUGUGACUAAACUAACUGAUUAGAUGAUUUUAUUAAGCAUAUUUAAAAUUUAUUAGAAAUGAAAGAGGGUUGAGAUUUUAGAAAUAUGAGAUACUUAAACUGACUCUAUUAUGUAUGGGUGUAAUUAUCAUGCGCUAAUGCUUGAGAGCAUGAUCAAGUUACCAUCCAAUAUAAACCUUAUACUUUAUCGCUUUUUAGUAUCUUAUAUAUACUGAAUUUUUGGUCCAUAACUUAUUUCUAAUGUUACCUCUUAAUUGAAUAGUUAUUUAGACUAGUUACAUCAAAAUUUGAUUGGGUUAUUAAUUUAUAAAAUAGUAUCAAGAUUUGCAACCGAUUCAAUUAGUUUUUUAUUUUUAUUUUUUAAUGAUUUAUUUAAUUAGAUUGUAUGGACUAGUUAGACCGACGAAUCAAUGGUUUAAUUAGGUUGAUUAGUGGCUCAGUUCUAAAAAUUUUGAAUGCCACAUCUAUUGUAUAUGAUUCUAUACGUUGAACGUUGUAAUUAAUAUAUAAAAUAGUAUCAAAUCAGUUGAUUCAAGAUUUGGUAUCGAUUUAAUUAGCUUUUUUUUAAUGAUUUAUUUAAUUAGAUUGUAUGAACUAGUUAAACCGACAAACCAAUGGUUUAACUAGGUUGACUAGUGGCUCAGUUCUAAAAAUCUUGAAUGCCACAUCUGUUGUAUAUGAUUCUAUAUGUUUAACAUUUUUAAUUAAAAUUUUAAAAUGUAUUCUUAAUUGUUGUAAUUAAUUUUUUUAAUUCAUUAAUCAAAUUGUUGAACAUAAUUAAAAUAUAUUAAUUUAUUUAAGAAAAUUUUUCUACUCAUAAUUAGAGCUUUCAUAUUAUAUUAAAAAUUGAUAUACUGUAGACUAAUAUUUUUUAAUAAUAUUAAAAAAUUAAAAGCAUAAUUAUUCAUUAUACAAUAUACGUUACUUCAUUAAUAACUAAAAGUAACAUUAUUUAAAAUAAUAAUUAAAAAAAUUAAUUAAAAUAUAUAAAUUAUUUGAUAAUUCAAAGAGCUAAUAAAAAAUUCUUCAUAAUUAUUAAAGUAUUUUUAAAAAUUAUAUAUGUAAAUUAGACACUUCGGUAUUCAAUUUUCUCCUUCGUCCUUUUUUCUAAUAGUGAUCAUAAUUUCAUAAAUUAUAUAUAAUUAAUAUAAGAAUAAAUUAUAUAAAUUUAUUUAUAAAAUUUUAUAUAUGAAAAAUAAUUUUAUGUAUUAUAUAAAGAAUUAAAAUGUGUUAUCUAAAACUAAAUUAAUAUAUUUUUACAUUUUUGGUUAAUGAAAACAUAGUAAUUUAAAUAUAAAUUAAUUUAAUAUAAUACAUAACCUUUUCUAUUUAUUAUUAUAUAAAUUUAUUUAAUAAGAGUAUCUUAAUAAAAUUAGAAUUUUUAGUUAUGAGUACCAUAAAUUUUCUUAUCAAUUAAUUUUAUUUAACUAAAUAUUUUAAAUCAAAAUUUUUAGUGUUAUCUAAAAAAUUGAUAAACUUAUAAAUAAUUAAAUAUUUUAAAUGAUAAAUUUAAUAAUAUAAGGUAUAUUGGUCAAUUUAAAAGUUUAAAUUUGUGCUUUUAUAUAUAUUAUAGAAUAUAGAUAUAUAAAAUAUUUUUAUUUUUUAAAAUAUUUUGUCCUUUUGAAUUGUAAUUAAAUUUUUUUUAUAAAUUUUAGAUUUAAUUUAAAAUUUUGUAUAUAUUUUACAAUUUGGAGAACAUUGAUAAGAUGUUUUUUUAACAUAAAUGUUCUUUUAAUAGUUCAAUUUGAAAUUUACAUCUAAUAAUUAUUUAGCUUUUUUCUUUUUCGCGUGAGACCCAUGUUCGGUAGCAGGGUGGAGGCAGGCAGGAUAUUCACUCUCGUAAUAUUAUUUUUUUAAUCUCUUUUAAAAUGUAGAAGAUUUAAUGUAAACCAUUUUAUUCUUUAAAUGAAAAAAAAAAAUUUCACUUCCAAAAGAAUCUUAAACCUUCUUAAAUAUAAAAUUUUUAAUUUUGAGCUUCUCAAAAAAGUUAUCUCAACCCUUGAAUAAAAGUUUUGAUUUCAUUUUUUGAUUUACCGAAACUCAUUUUUCAUUAUAGAUUUUAGCAACAUAACCCUAACUUUGUUUUUGUAUCAGAUUUCUCAAGGAACAAAAUCUUUCGGGUACUCUUCCACCAAACUUAGCAAGUCUCUCUUACCUACAACAAAUGUAAUUAAGGACAUUUCUAAAGUUUCUUUUUCAUGAUAUAUAAAUGAAACUUUUUUUUUUUUUCAUCAACUUUGCAUCAAUUAAUUAACUAUAUAUUUAAUAAUAUCUUACUUUUCUUACAGUGACCUAACUCGAAACUAUCUUAGUGGCCCCAUUCCUCCAGAAUGGGGUUCUUCUACACGACUCGUCAGAAUGUAUGUUUCUUUCCUUCUUGUCUAUGCAUAGUUCAUCUUUUGCUAAUGAAAAAUAAUGUUGCUAAAUGCAAAUGAUGUGCUGUAUUUCAGUUCCCUUCUUGGAAAUCGAUUAACAGGUUCAAUCCCAGUAGAGCUAACAAAUCUCAGAAAUCUUACCUUCUUGUGAGUUAAAUUAUAUCAAUUUCUUUUAUAUAAAUAAAUAUAUAAGAUGAUGAUAACUUUUUUUCAUCUUUUUAAUGAAUGUCUAAUGGUUAAUUAAUUUUAUUUAUUGAAAAAACAUUGUGUAGAAUCCUUGACAACAAUGGUCUUUCAGGAACUUUGCCUGAAGCACUAGGGAAUCUAUCCAAAAUUGAGCGAUUGUAAGAGAUAUUUUUUUUUCCUUUUUAAUUCUAGCUGGAUUCCAUUUCAUUAUAUGUGCAGUAUUUUUUAUCAUGUAAAUGAUUUAAGAUCUAUUUACUGGUUUUUUCAGACAUCUUAGUUCCAACUAUUUUACUGGUAAAAUACCUGAAACCUUUGCUAGUCUGACUUCAUUGAAGGAAUUGUAAGCAAUUCUAUUUUCUAGUGUUCCUUUUAAUACAUAUCAUUCGUAUUUUUCAAUAUAUUUUAUAUGAUAUAGUUUUGAUAAUUUUGUAUUCUCAACAGUCGAAUUAGUGACAACAAUUUUUCAGGACAAAUUCCUGACUUCAUAUUCCGAAAUUGGACAAAUCUUGAACAGAUGUGAGAAUUUAAUUUAACAUUUUCUUUAUAUACUUUAAGUUUUUUUAAUUCAUUAGAAUUUUUGUUUUAUCAAUCAAUUAAAUGAAUCUAUCUUUUUUGUAAUGACAGAUAUAUGGAGGGAAGUGGUUUGAGUGGACCAAUUCCAUCCAUUAAUGCUACUUUAGAAAACUUAGAAUACAUGUAAGCUCCAAUGAUCUUAAAAGGUGGUGACAAUAUUCAUUACAUAAAAAUAAACACAACUUAAUUUCUUAUUUAUGUUUGUAUAUGGUUCUUGAUAUUGUUUUACAGAAUAAUUAGUGACUUGAAUGGAGCUAAUACAACUUUUUCACAAUUGGUAAUCGAUGCCACUUUGCCUAAAUUGGAUAGAUUGUAAGCAUGAACUCUGGAAUAAAGCAAAGAUUUUUGGAAGUUAUGAGAUAUUGUGGAGUUCUAAAAAAAUAAUGGAAUUAUUUUGUGAUUGAAUUAUAGCAUGUUGAGGAGUUGCAAUCUCAUUGGAGAGAUACCUGCUUCUUUUGGGACAUUUACAUCCAUAAAGAUAUUGUAAGUAAUUACACUUUCUUUUGAGAGGUUCAAGUUCAGUUUGAUUGUAGACUUACGUGUGGUUUAAUACCCGUUUUACAAAUUUUCUUGCAGAGAUCUCAGCUUUAAUAGACUUAGUGGAAAAAUUCCAGAUGAGCUUUCUAAUCUUGAUUUCGAUAAUAUGUAAGGAUAUGGCUUUUAGUUGUAGUGUGUAAAUUGCAUUUUCUUUAUUUAUAUACUCAUUUGGAUUUUAUUAGGUUCUUAAAUGGAAACAAUUUUAAUGGAUCAGUCCCUCAAUGGAUACUCGAUACAAGAGAAAAAGUGUAAGAUUCUCUUUCUUAUUUAAAUGCUCAAUCUCAUUGAUUAUAGUUUGAUUAACCAAAAUCAAAAUUAUUGCACAAAGAUAUUUAAUUACUAUUUAUUGAUUCUCCUACAUUAAUUAGUAGUUAAAGAUUUGAUCUUCUCGCUGUAUAUGAAGUAGUUUUAUAACUCGCGUCCGGCAUCUAUCUUCUUAGUGAACAUACAAAUAAAAGGGAUUAAUCAGUGACUUGCUAGAUAUUGAAAAUAAUACUCUAAAUGCAGGGAUCUUUCAUAUAACAACUUCACAAACACAGGUGUAUCAGAUUGCCGACUAAAUAGCGUGUACGAUAACUUACUCAUCCAACUUCAUUACUGCAUCUUUCUUAUAAAAUAUCAAUCAUUUUUUUGUUAUAAUUUUUCCUCCAUUAUCGACCUGUAGGAACUUGUUCUCAAGCAUUGCAAGAGUCAAUAACACGUAAGUAUUAAGACAACAACAAUCAUUAAACUAACUCUUUCUCUUUCAUCUAACUUUAUAAUUGUUUUAUCAGGGGAAUUGUUCCAUGUUUAAGAAGCCUAAUUAGCUGCACAUCAGAACGUAAGUAUUUAUAUCUGAUGCACUAAUAUAUAUAUAACUCAAUAUUUUAUUCAAACUGUUGUUGAUUGUUAUUUUCCUCAGCUUUGCACUUUGUCCAUAUAAAUUGUGGAGGGAGAAAAAUAACUGUUAAUGGCAUCACUUACGAAGCCGAUUUCGAUCCAGCCGGGCCUUCGAAAUUUUACCGCAGUAUUACCAACUGGGCAUUUAGCAGCACCGGAAUUUUUCUAAGCGAUGACCGCCCCGACGACAUCUUAUAUUUGGAAAGUAGACAACUUUCUAGCAAUGGUGGCAAUGAACUAUACACAGAUGCAAGGGUUUCGCCUAGUUCUUUGACUUACUACGCAUUUUGCCUUGCCAAUGCAACUUACAAUGUAAGCCUCCAUUUCGCCGAGAUUCAGUUCACUAAUGGUGAAACUUAUAGCAGCUUAGGGAGGCGGAUGUUCGAUAUUUACAUUCAGGUAUUUUUAUUAUCAUUCUUGCUAGAAUUUCAGUUUAUAUUAUUCUUUAGAUAUAUACAUAUAUAUUACGUUAUCCGGAUUUGAACUGAGUGUCAAAUUUUUUGUAAGAGUAAUUUCCGUAUCUGUAAAAAAAAAAAUUUAAAAUUUAAGCUAAAUGUUAAAACUAAGCUUUACGACUUGUGCUGCAUGGAAAUUAGUGAAGUUAAAUGGAAUGGAUAUUAAUUGCAGGGAGAGCGGCGGAAGCAAGAUUUCAAUAUUGAAGAAGCAGCAGGAGGGGCAGGCCUAUCAAGAGUAGAAAGAUUCAAUGCAAAUGUAACCGAUGGCACUUUGGAGAUUCAUUUCAGAUGGGCUGGAAAAGGGACGACUUCUGUGCCCGAGAGAGGCAUUUACGGUCCGCUAAUCUCAGGAAUCUCUAUUUUCAAUCCCGGUUGGUUUUCAACUUCCAUUGACUCUUAUUGUCUCCGAUUAAUCGCAUUUAGCCGGAAAUUUAGAGAACAAAAACUCUAUUCUUGAAUCUAUAUUAUUAUAAAGGGGCGGAUUGAAUUUGGUUAGAAUAAAAUAAAAUAACUUUCUUUAAUUCUGAAAAACGUAAGAAUAAAGGAUAUAACUGUUAUCUAGUAUAAUUUUUUUUUAUAUAAGAUUAAAGGGUGGAGAUGGGUUAAUAUAAUUUUUAGCUUCUUAACGUGAUAAUUAGGUUCAUUUUGGUAUUUUUUUAUUAUCCCCUUUAGUAUCUGAAUUUCACAACUAAAUCCAUUUUUUAUCCAUAAAAAUUUGAUACAUUGGCACUUUAUUUUAAAAGAAAAUUCAAGUGAUGACAUAGCACAAUCUCAUAGUAUCAUGUCAACAAACUUUUACACUUGCCAAGUUCAAAGAUAAAAAUAGACCUAUCUAUCAAUUUUAUAUACCAAAGUGAACAAAAAAAUACAAAUAUCAAAAUAGACUUCAUUGUAAAAUUGAAAGACUAAAAGUUAUAUUAACCCAUAUUUAAUUUAUAAAACUACGAAAUUCAGAAAAACGGGUUCGGGAGUCGGUUACGCACGAGGAAGGAUUAGCACCCUCGAUACGCCCAAAAUUGGUACCUAGUUGAUUACUUAAUGUCUUAAUGUCAAAAAUUGAGAACCUUGAAGAAUUUUAAAAAUACGAUCCUUGUAUUAAAACAUUGAAAAUUUUCAGGAAAAAGGGGAUAUUUCACGUUAUUCGAAAAAAAGAAUCAUAUCCAGUAAGUUAGGACACAAUGUCUCAAAUUCCCGAUACGCGGAUGAAAAAUGCUUAUUUAAAAGAUAUUUUAUUAUCUUGGUUUUAGAAAUAAAUCAGGCCCAGUAAGUUUGGGCACGAUCUUUUCUUAAUUCCCGAGAUCGUUUAAAAACUUGAGUUUGAAAAGAUUCGUGUAUUUAGAUUUAUUAUGAAAAUCGAAACCCAGUAAGUUAGAGUACGAUCCUUUCGAAUCUAAACACGAAAUAUUUUUUAAAACAAAUUUUGUUAUAUCGAGUAAAAUAAAACACGAAAAUCGUAGUAAAAAUGUGAAAGCAAAUUACAUUGUUAUACGUGGUAAAAUCAUAAUGCACAUAAAAAUAAAAAAAUAAUACGAGCAAUAGCAACAAUAUAAAAUAAAUAAAAGUCAUACCUACAAUCAUAUAAAAUAACAAUAUAUAUAAACAAAUAAAUUAAAACAUUCAUUCAAAAUAAUAACGAAAAUGAAAUAAAUAAGUAACAAAUACAAUUAAAUAUAAAAAGAUAUAUAUAGACAUAAACUAAAAUAUAUAUAUAUAAAUUAACAAAAUAUAUAAAGUAUAUUUAAAUAUAUAAAAGAAAAAAUAAAUAUGUAUAUAUUUAUGAAAAUGAAAAUAUAUAUAUAGAUAUGUAUAUAAGUUGUAAAAAAUAUAUAAAAAUAUAUAAGUAUAUAUACAUAUAUGUUACAAAAAUAAUGUAUAUAUAUAUCAUAAAAAUAUAGGCACAUAUAUAUACAUAUACCGAAAUUUUAAUAAAAUAAAUAUAAAUAAGUAGGUAAUAAUAAUAAUAAUAAUAAUAAUAAUAGGACUAAAUCAAAACUGAAACGAAAUCUCAGGGCUGAAAUCAAAAAUAAAAUAGAGUAAGGGAUCAAAAUGUGAGGCGCGCGAAAAAUAGAAGGGCCAAUUAGGAAAUUAUUCCUAUUAAUCGAACGGCGCCGUUCUGCCAAGACCCAGGCGCAUGGUUCCUGGACCAAAUUGAAACGGAUGCGAAAAUUUGUGGUCAAAAUUGCGAAUAUGAGAAAACUUCCUUGAAAGCGCUUCAAAAUUGGAGGGACUAAAUGCACAAAUAUCCCCCUUUUAGAAAAUGCGUGGAUCCUCCCCUCGGGUCGGGUCACCGCGCGGGUCAAGGGGGCGUAAAACGGCGCCGUUUUGUAACCUUUAUUUAAAUCAAAAUUUUUUUAAAAAAAUUUCAUUCUUCCAUUGUUUCAGAAAAAAAAUUCAGAGGAAAAAAAAGAAUCCCCUCAGCCCCCCUUUUCUCUUGGCCGAACGGGCCACCAUUGACCCCGCCACGUGCGGUGGUCGGGGGCUCCAAACGGUCAGUUUUUAACCCCGUUUUAGGGACCGGCUGAAGGCCGGGCUUCAGAGCCGUAGGGUCGAGGAGCAAAACCCCGAACGUCGCCUUCAUGGUCCGACUUCGGUAGCCCGAAAUGGAACUCCGGCGACGGCGCAAGCGAAGUGACUCAGGUACCGUUUCGUUUCCUUUUUUUGUUUCUUUGUUUGUAUAUGUAGAGAGAAGAAAAAAAAGAAAAAUAAACAAAUCCGAAACAAGAGAAUCGCAAAUCACCUUCAAAUUUUUUUGUUUCCUUUUGAUUUCUGAAAGUGUUUUUAAAAGAGGGGAAAACCCCCUUAAAAUACGCUCAGUUUUUUUUCAAAUACAAUUGGUUUCCCCCCCUUUACAAACUGAUCUCCUUUAGGCUUUAUAGCCGAUUACAAUAUUAAGAAAAUGUGGCUACUGUUGCUUGCUGCCUUGCUCUGCUCUGUUCUUUUUCUUUUGAUUGCAGGUGCCAGAGGAGUUGGUGGUGGCGUGUGGGCAACGUUUGCAAGGCGGUGGAGCAGGUGGGUAGAGACGUGAUGGAGGCAUGGAAGGGACGGUGGCAGGUGCGCCAUUUGUGCUGACGGCGGCCGAAGUCAGAAGACCCUAGGUGCGGCGCACCUAGGGUUUGUUUUUGCUGUUCAUUUUUCUGAUUUUGUUGGGCUAGGGUUGUUAGGUUAUUUGGGUGUUGGGUCUGUUGGGUUUUAGGUUUGUUGUAAUGGGUUUUAGAUUGGGCUGAAAUGGGUUAGGUCAAAAUGGGCCUGUACAAGAUCAAUAAUAAAUAAACGAGUGAAGGAAACUGUACCAUCCGAGUUAUCACUUGACCAAAAAAUCUAUUUGAUCUCUAUUGCUUUUAAAAUUUUAAAUUUUUCAACAAUUGGAUAAAUAAGUACAAUUUAAUAAUUAUUGUGUAUUAUUUUAGUUUCUACCACUUUUUUAUUUUAAUCUUUGAUUUUUUUACCCCCAACCAAUACUUUAAAAUUAUAUUUUUGGGUGAUAAAAAUAAAAGUGGCCCAAAAGUUGGGUGACUAAAAUGAAAGUGUAAAUAUGAUAUAGCAUGUACAAUUAGCCGUCGUUAGAGAUUUAACGCUUGGGUAACUAAAAUGAAAGAGCCUCAAAAUUUGAGUGAUCAAAUUGCAUAAAUUUCAUUUUGAGUGACUAAAAUAGAAAUACCUUAAAAAUUGGGUCACCAACUAGGUAGUUUACUCAAGAAAAUUCUCUCUUUUUAAGUUGAAAAUGCAGGUAAUUUCUUUAUUAUCCUAAAACCCAUAUUCAAAUGAUAUUUGGAUUUUAAUUCUCCAAAUAAUUUAAAGAUUACCAUAUAUCCUUACUUUAUAUUUAAAAAAGAAUUUUAAGAAAUUUUAUAUAUAAUAAAUUUUAAUAUCAAAUCUUUGCUUCACUGAUGGUGGAGAGAAGAGGUGCCUAUGGGCUGGACCGGGUUUGGGUUGGGCCGGACCGGGUUUGGGUUUGGGUUGGGCCGGACUAAAAUUUUAGGCCUGUUUGCUAGGUCUAGGCUCGGCUCCAAAAAUGCGCCUAAAAUUUUGUCCAAGCCUAGUUCUGAUAAAAAAGCUAAAACCCGAGUUUGGCCUGACUCGUAUUAUUAUUAUUUAAAUAUAAUACAUCAAAAAUACUAAAAACAUUAAAAUAAAUGUUUCUCAAAAAAUUAAAAAUAUAUUAAAAAAUAAUAUGUAUACUUUAUAACACUAAGAUUAAUAAGAAAAUCCCUCUAAAAUAGUAACAAAAUUAACAAUAAUACAAGAAUUUUUCAAUAUCCAAACAAUAAAAACAAAUAGUAACAACAUAAUAAUGAAAUUGUAGCAAAAUAGUGAAAAAAAAACAAAAUAACAACAAAAAAAUAAAAAAUAGCAAGAAAGCAGAAAAAAAAAAGCUUUUUUGCAUAUUUGGGUCGGGUCGGGUCGGGCCCGGGCCGAAACAACCUUACUCGAGGCUCAGUAUUUUUUUACCCAAGCCUAUUUUUCGAGCCUAUAUUUUUACCCAAACCCUUCCACUUUUUGGGUGGGUGGGGUGGUCCAACCCACGGACAGGUCUAGUGGCGAGGGACUUUAGGCCGAUUGCUAAUCGCAGUUUAUUUAAUAAUACUUUUUUCCUUUUAUUUUUUUUAAUUUUAGUCCGCACAUGAUUUUUGUUUUGGUAACUCUGUUUACUCUAAAAAUUGUCAUGGUUCUUGUCCAUUCUUUUUUUUUUCUUCUGAAAGUAGUGAUGAUUUUAGUUUUAACUUUAGAUAUUAAUGUUUACUUCUAGUUGUAUUUUGGUGUAUAUAUGAUAUUUGCCAAGGUAAUGGUGCCACCAGAUUGAUUGGGAAUUGUUCUCAGAGGGCCUCAUAAUGGUAGAGCAAAAUGAUGGUACUUGUAAAAUUGUAAUCUAGGAUUAUGGAUAGGAUAUGCCAUAUAUGCUUUGGUCUUCUAUGCCUCAUUGAUGCAAUAUGCCUCUUGCGUCCCUUGACAAUGAUUUCUUGAUUGAUUGGAAUUCAUUGUCAAGUUGGUUUAAUGAUGAUAGGACUAAGGAGCAAAUUUUAGCGAUUUAAUCAAGGUGAUGCCAUCUCUGAUUUAUUUGUUUUUUUUUUUUUGAAAUUGACUAGUGGUGUGAUUAUUGACAAUUUGCCUUUCUCCUCUUUUAGGAUCAUUUAGCAAACAUGACAUUUUUGCAUCAGUUUAUAUUGUCUUAUUUAUCAUUUAAACUAUCUUCAUGUCAUUGUAUUCUUAUUUUUUAUGGUUCCUAUUAAUAAUAGGGGUUAUUAGGGAAAUAUGUUAUUUUUUAAAUAUAUUUAGGGAUUUAGGCCUUUUGUUUUUCAAAUUUAGAUAAACAAGUCAGUUUUGGGAGUCAAGGUGUCUAAUAGGGCGUGUUUUUUUCACGUGGCACUCGACACCUGGCACCCUACAAUUGGUUUAUUUAAAAAUAUAUCUUAAUAGUUGGGUCGCCGACGGUUAGAAAAUCAGGGUCAACUGUUGAUUUUCUAACCGUAAGCACCACUGGCUAUUUAAAAUAAAAAUAAGAACCCAAUGGUUAAAUCCCAAUGGUAAUUUUUCCCUAUAUAUACCCUCUACACUUUCAUUUUCUAUCCUAAUCUCUCAAAUUCUUUUCUCUCAGUUUUCUAUCCUAACCGUUUGUAAUUUCUUAGAUUUUAUUUGAUUUUCAUCAUUUUAAAAAAAAAAUUUGGACAAAGACAUUUUUGGCAUCUAAUUACAAAUGGUAAGAUUUUUAUUUUAAUUAAUAUCAUAAUUAAGUUGUUAAAUUUUUUUAUUUUUAUGUUUAUAUAUUUAGGACAAAGAUCAGAUUAUCGAAACAUAUAUUCACAAUUUAAGUGCGACAGCAUCGCCUGUUAUUAAACAACACUUGGAAGAGGCGGGAUUCUUGCAUGUGUCCUGUAUGCUCGGUAGGACUAAAUUGGAGCCCACACUUAAUAGUGUUUUGUUGGAAAGAUCGAGACUUGAGACACACACAUUCUAUCUUCUGUGUGGUGAGUGUACAAUUAUAUUCGAGGAUAUGACAUUACAACUUAAUUUAUCAGUUGAUGGGUCAGUCGUUAUGGGGGUAGUGUGCAUUGGUGAUUAGAGUACAAUUUGCCACAAACUAUUUGGCAAGGUGCCAGACAAGUUUAGUGGUAACCAAAUAGAUAUGAAAUCGUUAGACGAUAAUUUCUCACAUCUUGGAAAUUCUUCUAGUGUGGUUGAAAGACAACAAUUCGCUUGACAACUCUUCUAAUGUCGACAUUAAACAUGUGGGGUGGAGGUUCACAUGCCGUAAAAUCUGGUUUGGUUCCUCCAACAUUGUCUGGACCUUCAUUGUCAAAAUCACUCCCUUCUAGUUCAGUAGGAACGACCUCUUGUUAAAAGAAUAAUGCAAUUUCUGAACCAUCCAGCUCGGACUCCCGGAUUGGAUCAUCAUUGGUUUCAACUUCCUCUUUGUUCUCAAACUUCUCUUCGUUAUCAACCCUAAUUGCGGUUUCAUGUCCAGGGCUGGAUGUCCCUUUGUUGGUCCAGGUUGUAGGGAGAACAUCAUCUUUCUCGUCAACCCUAUGUUAAAACUAAUAUUACUUACAAAUUGCGCAUCCAUGUAACUUGAUGACAUACCUUCAUAACUGUUUCUAGCAUGGAACGUCAACGUUUUGAAGUUGAAAUCAAAAGCACUCCUAGAAUUUCGUGACAGGGUCUCCACAUUUGGGCUACCAACUAACCCCAAUUGUACGCUAAAGUUGAAAAUGAUGGUUAAAAUCGAGGAAUGCCUUCCCAUUAAUGAUUCUAACAUUCCUUGAUACGAGCUUUGUAACAACGUUGGGAAACCACCACACAACUGUGUGGUUGGACUUUCUGCUUCCUGUUCCUGAAACAAAUUAACUAGAAUUAUUGUCAAACUUGAACCAUCUUCCUUGACAUCGAAAAAUUGGGCAUAUAACUCUAGUAUAACAUUUUCAGUAGAGAAAUGUGUAUCGGGCAUUAGCUUGACAUCCAUGUCGCCUUUGAGCUCAAAUGUAUCAUAUCUAACAGGAUUCAUUGACGUUAGAUAUCUAUAUUUCAAGCUCAAAAUUCUCCUUCGGCUUGAAGUUAAGACUUUCCUUCUAAUUCUUAACAAAAGCUUGCUCAAUUUGAUGCUCUGGUUGAAAACCAAUUCUGUAAACUAGGUUGAUACUAAAACGACCCCAAUUUUAAUGUCACAAAUUUGAUUGUCAUAAUAAAUAACAACUCUAAUUUAUCUACUCAUUUUCGGCAAAAAAAACCCUGCUUCACAUGUCUAAUAUAAAAUUGAAAUGAAAACAUUAUAUAGAAAAAUAAAUACUUAUUAACCAAAUUCAAGCAACGACACUUACUUGAACUAAUUUACUUUGAUGGAUCGAUUUUUGAACUUUAGACUUUUCACAUAAACAAUCUUCUCCUUAACAUGCAAAUUUUCUUCUCAAAAUUUAAGUAUGAAAACUUCUUCAUAUUAAUCUUCAUUUGUAGGAAACUCUACCAUUGAAUAUGAAACAUAAUUUAAAAUGUUGUAAAAGAUCAGACAUGACAAGUUAAAAAAAGGCUUCUAACAACAAGCUUUUUUUUUUUUUAGUUUUUGAAGAUAAUAAUUCUGUUCUGCCACAAAAAGGAUGGGACAUAAAUUUUAUCCUAGGAUUCUUAGAUUUUCAAAAAUUUUAUCUCGAGAUUCUCAGCUAUUCAGAAUUCAAUCUAGCCAUUAAUUUUUUUAUUAUUUUUUACUUAAAGCGUUGGGUGAUGUGGCAAGCAGAGAGGGUGAAAGCGUGCCAUCUGGGACGCAUUUCCACUGAAAGCGCGUCCUACGGGGCACGCUUUGAUCCUCUCCCCCUGCCACGUCACUCCCCUUCCUGCAAGAAGCGUUUUUACCACCUAUCCCAAAAUUGAUUUAUUUCCUUAAAUUUCAAAUAAAAUAACCUAAAACCCUAAAUAUAUAUUUUUUAAAAAUUUACAUUUAUGCCUAAUUAUUCCAUUAAUAAAAUAUAGAAUUUUCUUUUUUUCUUUUUAAAAACUUCUAGGAAAUCGUGCAUAAUCUUUUACUAUUAUUUCAUCCUACGAAACUACAGUAAAAAUCAAGUUUGGAAGCGUACUAAGGUAGAAAAUACGACACGUUUGAACCGAAUUAUUUUAAGUUGUUAAUCUCUGACUUUUUCUAAAUGAGUAUAGUUUGAUAAGCAUGAAUUAAAGAUAAUAAAGUAAUUAGGAAUAUAUGUAGUUACUUGAGUAAUAAUUAAUAUCAAUGUGAAAAUGGUUUCCCCAAAAUCAUGUUCCACGCCCAAAUAUUGACAUUUAAUUUGUAUUUAUGGAAGUGUGUAUAUUUCAUCCCAUUGAAGAGAUAACUUGUUAGAAGAGCACUUAAUUAAUUUAAUAGGGAAAACAAAGAAUAUUUCUAUUUUCCAACUUCGUGUAAAAUCUACUAUCAACAUCCCAACAUUUUGUAAUAUUUAUUAUGUGAGUAAAAAUUAUUGAAAAACAAAGAUAUAUUUAUCUUUAAAAUUAUAAACCUUAGUUUUUCUUUUGAGCAUUGGUUUAGGCUUUUUUGUUGAUGCCUUGAGGGUCAAUGUUCAAAUCUUGAUAUGGUGUUUUUUAGUAUUUUUUAAUAAUUAUUUUAUGGGUAAACUAUAUAAAUAGACACUCAAUUAUUAGCGUGUUUUUAUUUUGAUCACUCAGGUUUAAAAUUUUCUAUUUUAGUAACUAACAUUAUUGAAAUUUAAUAUUUUGGUCACUCUUCUGUUAAAUCACUAACAAGAUGUUGGGGUGAUCUUUUUUCUUGGAAAAAUAACAAAUUUAACCUUCCAAUAUUUAUAGAUUCUAUUAAUUUUGUACCAAUCCUGAAAAUUUUAACAAAUUUAACAUUCAACUUUACAAUUAUGUCAAUUUAGUCUUGACUCUUAAAAAAUCAAAUUUAAAAAUUUUUAGAAAAUAAAAAUUUUAAAAAUUUAUUUUCGAUAAAAAUACAUACAAAAUUAUAAAAUAUUUAUAAUUAUAAAACAAUUUAAGGGGAAAAACCAUAAAGAAGAUUUAAACAAAUUUAACUUUUCCCCCUUUUUCAUUUUUUUCAAUAUUAGCAACCACCGUUUCAGGAUGGGUUAAAAACUACAACCUAAGGUCGAAAAUGGUAAGAAUUGAUGUCUUUAGGUUGUUGCUCAAAAUGAGUUUGUCAAGUGUGAGGUUGUGCUUGAGGGUGAGCAUGAUUAGGGAUAUAUAGGUGAGGAUGAGGUCUUGGUGACUUGGUAGGUGGAAGGCCAUGUCGGUAGCUCCAUAACCAAUUCCUAGCUUGAUGGCAUGACGACUAAGGAUGUCGAAAUCGAGGAGUUCAAAGUAAGGGUUUUGUGACAGUAGUUGUGGGCGAAAGCGAUGUCCAGCAGUCCACAAAUUUGGCAAGGGCUAAGGAAAAUGGCAUAACAUAUAAUAAAUAAAAUAAAACCAAAAAGUGUUUAAAAUUAUAAAAAUUAUUUUUAAAAAUUAAAAAUCAUUCAAAUUAUUAAAAGGAGUAUAAAAAUUAUAAAAAAUAUUUUUAAAUUUUAAAAAAUUAGUUAAAUGUUCACAUGUCAUCCACGUGGCAAUCUACAUGUAUGCCACGUCAAUGAAGUUAACAAAAGUUAACAUUUUCAUCCAUUUUAGGGUGAUUUGACAAAAAAUACAAUUUUGAAGACUAAAAGAAGAGAAAAGUUAAAUGGUGGACUAAAAUGAAAUUUUUUUUAUAAAAUCGGAAAGUAAAAACAAAUCAUAAUGCCUUUUUCAUAUGGAAAGAAAAGAAAAUUAUUUCAAUUCUUGUCCUCUAUUGGAUGGUAUCGUUCUUAUUUAGAUAUUUUUGUAGAGUUUAUUUUGCCAAUCCAAAUUUCUAUCUCCCUUUUUUUUUCUGUUUUCAAAAUUAUUUGUAUUCUAACAUUUAUUUUAGACAUAACUCGGACAUGAGAAAUGGUUGUAUGAAAUUGUGAUUUCACGCCAUCCAUAUCUUUUUCUAAUAGGACAAAUCAGAUUUUUCCUCUUGAUUUCAACAUUUUCCUCCUGGAAAAAUUUAAAUCCAACUGAAAAUGCUAAAAUUCAGGAGGAAUAAGUCUGAUUUGUCAUUCUCUUAUUAGAAAGUGAUAUAAAUGACGUGAAAUCACAAUUUUAUACAAUUCUUUCUCACCUGAAUAUAAGUAUAAGGCUAAUUUCACCAAUUCACCCCUAAAUUAAUUUUUUAAUAUCAAAAGUUGAAUUAUCAAUCAUAUAAUUUUAUCACUUUAUUAUUAUUAUUAUUAUUAUUAUUAUUUGAAAUAUGAGAUGAUAAUUUGAAGCCCUAGACAAUUAAACUUGAGUACAAAAAUAUAAUGGUAGCAAUAUAUGCAAAUCAUGCGCCAAUUAAGUAGGAAGUGCCGUGGGGAAACCCAUUGUUUUUGUGCUCACACGUCAAUAGCAAGACAGCUAUUUUUUUGUAGUCUUAUAAAAUCUUCUGUUCAGGAAAGAGAAAACAUUUAUUUAAUUACGCCGGGUCUCAUGCAAAUGGCAGCUAAGUAUUUGUUAACGAAAUAAAUAAUCAAAGUCAAAGUCUUUGCAUUGCCCAUAAAAUGAAAACACAGACUUUUAUUGAAGACCCAAGGUCAACUCUAAGUCAAGGUGUUUGCAAUUUGCUAAAAUCCCUAUACGUCUAGGAGUGAAAAGAAUAUCCCUUUUCAUGCCUACACUACUUUUUAAGGUGGGUAGUAAUUUUAAAUUUAAAAUUAAAGUGUCAAUGUACUGAAAAAUCAAUUUUAAACUGUUAGCAUAAGUAUUUCAAAAUUUUAGUAUUUGUAAUUACUUUAUUUGGGUAAAUAUUUUUUAGAAAAAAAUAUCGAAAUUUAAUAGUUAAAAAAAUAAUUACAAAAGAAGACUAAUGAUGUUAAGAUUAAAUAAUAGAAAUAUGCAAUAUCGAUAUAAGUAAAAUUUGAAAUUUAAGGUUUUUUUUUUAUAGUAGUAUCACGUGUACUAAAAUGAAAAUAGGUUUUUUUACCAUAUUAGAUGGGGGUAGAAUAAAAAUUUUGAGGUACUCAAAUCAUAUUUUGAAAUUGUUUACAAAUUGGCGUUUUUCAUUAUUUUUUACCAAAAUAAGUAAAUUCUUUUUUUUAAAAAAGAUGAAAAUUGUAAUAGAAAAACAGAAAGCUUGUGCCUUUCAAAGCAGAUUUAUUUUUGACAUGGAAAGUUUGGAAAUAUUCAUAUGAGAAAACAACUUAGAUAUUUAUUUCUUAAAAGACUUCAUGACAUGGAAUGGUUAGGAAUAUUCAUAGGUGAAAACAACUUAGAUAUUUAUUAUUAAAUGAUUAUACUUUGGACAGAAGUGUCCAAAAAAAGAGAAGUGUUUAUAGAUAAAAUUGGGAUCAAUUUCUAAAACAAUUUCAAGCUUAAAUUUCACCAAUAUGUUUUAUUACUUAAAUAACGAUAAAAUAUUGCGAAAUAUAGUAAUAUUAACAUAUUUUAUAAUUAAAAUUUAAAAAUAUGUUUUCUUAUUUUAUUUAAUUUUGAAUUAGCUUAUCCAAAUUUUAAAAUGUUUUGUCUAGCUAUUUGCAAAUUAAUCCAUCUUUCCCAAUUUUUUCCAUGUUAAUUUAAGAUUAUAUAAUUUGAUAGGAUGUGUUGUCGAAUUUAGAUUAAAAUUAGAUGAUACGACCAGUUCAACUGAUAACGUAUAAUUGAAAAUAAUGUAAAUUAUUGUCAACCAAUAAAAAAUAAAAAUUGAGAUGAAAACUUUUUUUUACUGCCGAACCCAUAUUAAACCUCUUGUAUUAGGAAUCGAUGAUUUAAGUCAACAAUGAUAUGGUUCUUAUCACUUUGUUGCUAGGAACAUGUACAAAAAUUCUCUUCCGAGUUCCAUCAUUCAUUUUUCCAAUCGAUAUGCAUGAAAAGUCUUCAUAAUUUAAAGUCCAAUAGAAAAAAAGGGAACGCGUGAAAACAAGCAACAAUUAACUCUUUUGAUCAUAACAUUAAAAAAAAUAAAUGAUAAUAGUAUCUGUUUGAUCGAUUAUAAAUAUCUACCAUGGGGCUGCUCACUUCUUCACUACUUCCCAAUUUCUUACCAAAACUCCUCCUCUUAGAAACAAUGACUAAUUCAAACUUUGUCUUGCUUUUCAUUGUCGGGAUUUUAGCAACUCAGGCAAUGUCUCGCACUGUGUAUGAAUCAGCCAUUGCAGAACAUGAGCAAUGGAUGGUUAAGCAUGGUCGAAAUUACAAGAACAAAGCUGAGAAAGAUAAACGCUUUAAGAUAUUCAAGGAGAACUUGGAAUAUAUUCAGAACUUUAAUAAUGCAGGAAACAGAACAUACAAGUUGAGUAUUAACAAGUACUCGGACUUGACACAUGACGAAUUCGUCGCAGCUCGUACCGGAUACAUUAAUCCAGGCAACACAAUGACAUCUAUGGAAACAUCGUUUCGCUACGCCGAGUUUACAGAUGUUCCG